UAGAAAAAAAGAAAAAGAAAAAAAAAGAGAUAGAAAAAAGAAAAGGAAUAACUACUUCAAUACCCAUUGUUCUUUAUAGAUAAAAUCUUUAGAUAAAUGGGCAAAAGUAGAUUGGCUAGUCUCGUUUUGUGGCCUUUGUUACUCGAGCAAUUAAGUCCGUAGGGGGAUUUCAAAACCUAGUGCCCUAAGACCGUUUGGUUUGGGAGUCACUGACCCAAAGCUCGCUACAUGGGUAACACUGUUUGCCUAAGAAAACGGACAAAAUAAAGUCAAUGCAAAAAAAAAAAGGAAAAAAGAGAAAAAAAAGAAAGUUUAUGAAGUUUGGCUAGNNNNNNNNNNNNNNNNNNNNNNNNNNNNNNNNNNNNNNNNNNNNNNNNNNNNNNNNNNNNNNNNNNNNNNNNNNNNNNNNNNNNNNNNNNNNNNNNNNNNNNNNNNNNNNNNNNNNNNNNNNNNNNNNNNNNNNNNNNNNNNNNNNNNNNNNNNNNNNNNNNNNNNNNNNNNNNNNNNNNNNNNNNNNNNNNNNNNNNNNNNNNNNNNNNNNNNNNNNNNNNNNNNNNNNNNNNNNNNNNNNNNNNNNNNNNNNNNNNNNNNNNNNNNNNNNNNNNNNNNNNNNNNNNNNNNNNNNNNNNNNNNNNNNNNNNNNNNNNNNNNNNNNNNNNNNNNNNNNNNNNNNNNNNNNNNNNNNNNNNNNNNNNNNNNNNNNNNNNNNNNNNNNNNNNNNNNNNNNNNNNNNNNNNNNNNNNNNNNNNNNNNNNNNNNNNNNNNNNNNNNNNNNNNNNNNNNNNNNNNNNNNNNNNNNNNNNNNNNNNNNNNNNNNNNNNNNNNNNNNNNNNNNNNNNNNNNNNNNNNNNNNNNNNNNNNNNNNNNNNNNNNNNNNNNNNNNNNNNNNNNNNNNNNNNNNNNNNNNNNNNNNNNNNNNNNNNNNNNNNNNNNNNNNNNNNNNNNNNNNNNNNNNNNNNNNNNNNNNNNNNNNNNNNNNNNNNNNNNNNNNNNNNNNNNNNNNNNNNNNNNNNNNNNNNNNNNNNNNNNNNNNNNNNNNNNNNNNNNNNNNNNNNNNNNNNNNNNNNNNNNUGGUCAACGCCUUAAACCAUUUUUAGAAUUGCCUGUUGAUUCGGAGGAAGAGGUCAUCCACCUCAUCGACCCUUGAUCAUGUAAGUUGCUUCAGUAGUUAAUAAAAAUCCCUUCAUCUCCUAUUCAGGUAUUUUUCCUCUUUACUCUCUCAUUUCAAUUCUCUCUUUUGCAUACAUUGAGGACAAUGCAUGAUUUAGGUAUGGGGAGGGCUUUAGUGUAAUUCUUAAAAAAAUCCCUAAAAAAUGAAAAAAAGUAGAAAAAUCCAAAAAUAGAGAUACUUUUUAGCUAAGUUGUCUUUCCCUCACUCGAACUUUAGGAGUAGUUGGUGUUUAGCAUAUUUUCGAAAAGUAUAUAUAUGUAGUGUCUUUUAGAUAAUUUGAACGUAGUUGAGUAAGGUUGUCUUUUUGAAGCUUGUAUCGACCGAUUUGUACUCUAAAUUCCAAGAUGGCACACACUUUGCACGAGACCUUUGAUGGAGAGAUUGUCUAGUGAUAUUAUUCGAUACCUGAGAGAGAACCCACAUGUUGAAACAAUGUCGAAUCGAACCUUUGCGAAUAAAAAAAAAAAAAAAAAAAAAUAGAGAAAAAAAGAUAGAAAAAGAAAAGGAAUAACUACUUCAAUACCCAUUGUUCUUUAUAGAUAAAAUCUUUAGAUAAAUGGGCAAAAGUAGAUUGGCUAGUCUCGUUUUGUGGCCUUUGUUACUCGAGCAAUUAAGUCCGUAGGGGGAUUUCAAAACCUAGUGCCCUAAGACCGUUUGGUUUGGGAGUCACUGACCCAAAGCUCGCUACAUGGGUAACAUUGUUUGCCUAAGAAAACGGACAAAAUAAAGUCAAUGCAAAAAAAAAAAAAAAAAAAAAAAAAGAAUAAGAGUUUGUGAAGUUUGGCUAGAUAUUUGUUUCGAUAGAGAUUGGGUCAGUUCAAAAUUGGUUGAAAAAGAGAAAGUGUUAUUAGACGAUUAGGAUCCAUCAAAGGCCUUAGAAUUCAUUACACUCCUUGGAUUUCUAGUAAAAUUUUGAGUCUAUUCAAGUAGAUUAGAGGCAAUUGUAUCUUGAUUAUUAGUAGAUGAGUCUUUAAGUCGUAUUUUCCUUAAAAACGCUUUUUGUUAACACCAACGAAAUUAGAGUAGAGUCGAGUAGACACUUGCUAGAAUGUCUCGAAGAUUUUAUGGGUAUAUCUUCUGUAAACCCUUAGGAGACAAAACUCCUCUUGUAGAGAUCGUCUACGAGUUUAACGGGUUGGUGAACCUAAAAUCACCCGUCACGCCUACGAAAAGGAGCCUAGGAAUCGCAUCUAGUUUUCUUAGUUUAUUUUCUUUUCUUUUGAUUUUUACUCGAGGACGAGCAAAAGAUAGGUAUGGGGAAGUUUGAUUAGUCCAUAUUUUUGCAUAUUUAAGUGCCUAUUUUUUGUUUAUUUUCGUAGUAUUAAUCGCUUAUUUAUUUUAUUUCAGGAAAUUGUAGAUAAAUAAAGAAAGAAGAGAAAAUGCAAGAAAAAGGGAGAAAAAGAAAAGAAAAGAAGAAAAUCAAAGAGAGUUGGCAAGCAAGGGGGCACAUGGAUGGCUAUGAUUUACCCAACACACAUCACACAUGGAUGGAUUAGAUUUAGCCACCCUACCCCUAAACCCUACAUUUCUAGCUAUAAAUACCCCCACCCCCUUUACUUGUAAUCAUCUUCUUUUUAACCUAGCUACCCACCUUUUCUACCUAGUCAUUUCUAUAGUUAGUAUCUUAGAUAGAUUUACAUUUUGCUAGCCCCAAUUUCCUUUCCAAGCUUGUAUACACUUUUUAAUUUCUAUGCAAAUCUCUUUUAGCUUAAUCUUGUAUUGUCUUUUUAAUUUAUUUUCUCCAAGUAGUAUGAUUCUUCUAAGUACCACCACAUGCUUUUAAGCUUUUGGGAAAUGAAGAAUCGUUGAGCUUGUGAUUAGUAUAGAUUUGUGAUCUCUUGAAUUAGUAAAUUAAAUCCUAGCACAAAAUUAAUUUGUGUUAGGGUUUAAAUUUAAAACCCCAAAAGAAGUAGUAGUUAAUAAAAAAAUUAUAUAAAAUUAGUUUUAAAACCCUCGGUUAGCAUCCCAUUUAUUUACUCUGUUUUCUGUAUUAAAUUGGUAUGCUCUGUUUUAACUACUAAACCCUCAUCCCCUGUUUUCAUUUUAUUAACGAACAACCACUGCUUUCCUUUUCUUUCUCAUUUUAUUAAAUUGCUGAGUUUUGAAUUGCUGCAAGUUGCUUUAAUUUUCGCUUCGUAAUCCCUGAGUCGCGAGUCAGUUGUGCUGGGUUCCUACUGUGUGUUAAUUUCUGCUGCGAUUUGUUUGCUUCUUGCUGGGUUCUUUCUUGUAUAAACAACCGAGUCUGUGUCCCAUGGUUUCUGAAUCUUUCACCGAGUCAGUUGGGCUUAUUCUUGUUUGCGUGUUUGUAGUUUUGUCCGAGUCAGCCUGUUAAUCGAGUUUUGCGUCUAUUAUCGAGUCGAUUUAUGUGCUCUGUUUCGAGUCCUGGGCUUGAUUCACUGAGUCGAGGCCCUGUUUUCAUCGAGUCAUAGCUGUUGCUGCGUUCUUACGAGUUUCUUUCCUGCUGUUCUGAACCCAGAAUCGCUUGUUUAGUGUGUUUUGCUGCUUUCUUUUCAUCUUUUUAAGUCGUUUUCUGAGUUGCUUCUUGUCCGAGUUUGCGAGUCUGUGGUGUAAUUAAUGUUCUGGGUUUGUUAAGUUUCCGAGUCAUUUGUUCACCGAUUUGCUUCGUUCGUGUUGUUGGUUUGAGUCAGUAGCUUGUUUAGUUGAGUCGUUUUCUUUGUAGCGAGUCACCGCCGAGUUCUGAGUCUGCGUCCUGUGUAUAUGGUUCGAGUGUGCGUGGUAGUCGCAGGUCUGUGUUGCUGAGUAGUUAGUUUGUGUUUGCUGUGCUUUUGAUCGAGUCACUGAGUCAUUUUCUAAAACUUUCGAGUGUUCUGAUUCAUUGAGUCUGUGCUUGAGUAUGGGUCGAGUUUGUUUUUCUGAGUCUUAGUUAGUCUGAAUCUGUGUUGCUGGGUUCGUUUGCUGUUUGGCUGAGUUUCUUUUCAUUUCUGCUGCGUUUUUCUUUUUGUUUGAGUUAGUUUUGAUUCGGUUUUGAGUGGCAGAUUAGUUGGAUUUUAAACGAUUUUUCUCUCAGCAUUUUGGUCGAGAAUUGGUCCCUGUAUUCAGUUUGGAUGUUAAGUUGGUAAUAGAUUAUUACUAUGGACCCAUUUUGUGUUAGUUGCGUUUUGUUUUUAGAUUUAAAUUCAAUCGAUUUCUUAGCUGCUGAGUAAUUUAGUCGGAUAUUAAGUUUAACUUUUGUUUUUCUUUUUAUAAUAAAAAAAAAAUAGUUUUUAAAACAAACUCUCUUCAAAUAUAUUGUUCUAACCCGCCUAGAUUAAAUAAUAAUAGGUUGCGAAAUAUAAUUUUAAUCUCUGUGGACUAAUCAUAAAAUUCUAUAACGAGGUUGUGCGCUUGCGAUUAUUUUUAAAAUCUCUUUUUGAGCACAUCAAUUGGCUAGAUUGAAGUUGGAAACAACUUGUAGCUUCAUUCCAGACUCGUUUGAAGUUGAAAACAACGUGUAGCUUCAUUUUCGGUUGUUUAAAAUUAGAAUCAACUUGUAGUUUCAUUCUUGACUCGUUGGAGCCCGGAAACAACUUGUUGCUUCAUUAUUGGCUGGAUUGAAGUUGGAAACAACAUGUAGCUUCAUUCCAGACUCGUUUGAAGUUGAAAACAACGUGUAGCUUCAUUUUCGGUUGUUUAAAAUUAGAAUCAACUUGUAGUUUCAUUCUUGACUCGUUGGAGCCCGGAAACAACUUGUUGCUUCAUUAUUGGCUGGAUUGAAGUUGGAAACAACAUGUAGCUUCAUUCCAGACUCGUUUGAAGUUGAAAACAACUUGUAGAUUCAUUUUCGGUUAGAAUCAACUUGUAGUUUCAUUCUUGACUCGUUUGAGCCCAGAAACAACUUGUUGCUUCAUUAUUGGCUAGUUUGAAGUUGGAAACAACUUGUAGCUUCAUUCUUGACUCGUUUAAGCAUGUAAACAACUUGUUGCUUCAUUAUUGGCUAGAUUGAAGUUGAAAACAACUUGUAACUUCAUUCCAGACUCGUUUGAAGUUGAAAACAACGUGUAGCUUCAUUUUCGGAUGUUUAAAAUUAGAACCAACUUAUAGUUUCAUUCUUGAUUCGUUUAAGCCUGUAAACAACUUGUAAGCAUGUAAACAACUUUUUGCUUCAUCAUUAGCUAGAUUGAAGUUGGAAACAACUUGUAGCUUCAUUCCAGACUUGGUUGAAGUUGAAAACAACUUGUAGCUUCAUUCCAGACUCGUUUGAAGUUGAAAACAACUUGUAGAUUUUUUUCCGGUUGUUUAAAAUUAGAAUGAACUUGUAGUUUAAUUCUUGACUCGUUUGAGCCCGGAAACAACUUGUUGCUUCAUCAUUGGCUAGUUUGAAGUUGGAAACAACUUCAUAUAAACAACUUGUUGCUUCAUUAUUUGCUAGAUUGAAGUUGGAAGCAACUUGUAGCUUCAUUCCAGACUCGUUUGAAGUUGAAAUCAACUUGUAGCUUCAUUUUCGGUUGUUAAAAUUAAAUUCAACUUGUAGUUUCAUUCUUGACUCGUUGGAGCCCGGAAACAACUUGUUGCUUCAUUAUUGGCUAGAUUGAAGUUGGAAACAACUUGUAGCUUCAUUCCAGCCUCGUUUGAAGUUGAAAACAACUUGUAGCUUCAUUUUCGGUUGUUUAAAAUUAGAAUCAACUUUUAGUUUCAUUCUUGACUCGUUUGAAGUUGAAAACAACUUGUAGCUUCAUUUUCGGUUGUUAAAAUUAAAUUCAACUUGUAGUUUCAUUCUUGACUCGUUGGAGCCCGGAAACAACUUGUAGCUUCAUUAUUGACUAGAUUGAAGUUGGAAACAACUUGUAGCUUCAUUCCAGACUCGUUUGAAGUUGAAAACAACUUGUAGCUUCAUUUUCGGUUGUUUAAAAUNNNNNNNNNNNNNNNNNNNNNNNNNNNNNNNNNNNNNNNNNNNNNNNNNNNNNNNNNNUUAGUUUCAUUCUUGACUCGUNNNNNNNNNNNNNNNNNNNNNNNNNNNNNNNNNNNNNNNNNNNNNNNNNNNNNNNNNNNNNNNNNNNNNNNNNNNNNNNNNNNNNNNNNNNNNNNNNNNNNNNNNNNNNNNNNNNNNNNNNNNNNNNNNNNNNNNNNNNNNNNNNNNNNNNNNNNNNNNNNNNNNNNNNNNNNNNNNNNNNNNNNNNNNNNNNNNNNNNNNNNNNNNNNNNNNNNNNNNNNNNNNNNNNNNNNNNNNNNNNNNNNNNNNNNNNNNNNNNNNNNNNNNNNNNNNNNNNNNNNNNNNNNNNNNNNNNNNNNNNNNNNNNNNNNNNNNNNNNNNNNNNNNNNNNNNNNNNNNNNNNNNNNNNNNNNNNNNNNNNNNNNNNNNNNNNNNNNNNNNNNNNNNNNNNNNNNNNNNNNNNNNNNNNNNNNNNNNNNNNNNNNNNNNNNNNNNNNNNNNNNNNNNNNNNNNNNNNNNNNNNNNNNNNNNNNNNNNNNNNNNNNNNNNNNNNNNNNNNNNNNNNNNNNNNNNNNNNNNNNNNNNNNNNNNNNNNNNNNNNNNNNNNNNNNNNNNNNNNNNNNNNNNNNNNNNNNNNNNNNNNNNNNNNNNNNNNNNNNNNNNNNNNNNNNNNNNNNNNNNNNNNNNNNNNNNNNNNNNNNNNNNNNNNNNNNNNNNNNNNNNNNNNNNNNNNNNNNNNNNNNNNNNNNNNNNNNNNNNNNNNNNNNNNNNNNNNNNNNNNNNNNNNNNNNNNNNNNNNNNNNNNNNNNNNNNNNNNNNNNNNNNNNNNNNNNNNNNNNNNNNNNNNNNNNNNNNNNNNNNNNNNNNNNNNNNNNNNNNNNNNNNNNNNNNNNNNNNNNNNNNNNNNNNNNNNNNNNNNNNNNNNNNNNNNNNNNNNNNNNNNNNNNNNNNNNNNNNNNNNNNNNNNNNNNNNNNNNNNNNNNNNNNNNNNNNNNNNNNNNNNNNNNNNNNNNNNNNNNNNNNNNNNNNNNNNNNNNNNNNNNNNNNNNNNNNNNNNNNNGCCAUAACACCUAUUCACCCCCCCCUCUAGGUGUAUAAUUUCAAUUGGUAUCAGAGCUGUGUUAUACUAAUACUUCUGUAACAGGAAUAGUAUCGAUCGAUAUGGCUGAUAACUUUCAGGGAAAGUCCGAUUUUAGAGCUCCUCUCCUCACGGGUUCUGACAACUACAAUUGGUGGAAAGGCCAAAUGGAGGCUCAUCUAUCCAGAGAUCCCCUAAUGCAAAGAGUUGUGCAAAGAGGUCCUUAUGAAUAUCGUGAUGGCGAUGGCAAAGUCAAAGACGUUGAUGUACUCACAACGGACGAGCUAUCAAAGGUUGCUGCCAAUGGAAAAGCAAGGAGUACAUUGAUCAAUGGGCUGAAUCAAGCUGAAUAUGACAAGGUCUCUUCUCUCAAAACAGCAAAGGAAAUUUGGGAUGCAUUGGAAACAUAUCAUGAAGGCUCACAAGGUCUAAAGAAGGUCAAGCUCGGAAAGCUCAUGAAAGAAUUUGGAAGCUUCGCUAUCAAGAAGGGAGAAUCCAUUCGUGAAAGCCAAGCUAGAUUCCAAGUUACUCUUAACAGCCUUGAAAGACUUGGGAAAAAGAUUCCUCAAUCGGAAAUCAACAUGAAUAUCCUGAAUGCAGCUCCGUUCGAAUAUGGUGCCAAGGUCACAGCAUUGGAGUCAGCUCUCAACAUUGAUACUAUGGAUCACCUGGCUAUAUUUGCUGAGUUGGAACAAUUUGAAUCUAAGAUUGAAGCUAACAGCUCUCAACAUUGAUACUAUGGAUCACCUGGCUAUAUUUGCUGAGUUGGAACAAUUUGAAUCUAAAAUUGAAGCUAACAGCUCAGAAAGCAGCAAGCUGCCAACAGAGAAGAUGAAGAAUCUUGCACUCCACUCUACUGCCAGCAGGCUGGAAUCAGAUGAGGAAACAGAAUCAGAUGAGGAUCUAGCUCUUAUGUCUAGAAAAAUCAAGAGGAUGAUCGAAAAGAAGAAUAAGAUGAAAAGAGAAAAGGGCAAAGCUUUUGGUGCAAAGAAAGAUCCAAAAGAUGAUGCAUGUUUCGAAUGUGGCAAGAAAGGACAUUUCAAAAGGGAUUGCUACAAGCUGAAAAACAAGUCUAAGCCGCCUAAACAGCAAGCUGAUUACAAGAACAAAAAGAAAUCAAAGGCACUUCUCACAUGGAGUGAUGAUGAAGAUGAGUCAGCUUCUGAUGUUUCAAGUGAUGAGAUGGUUAACUUGGCUCUUGUUGGUCUCGAUGGUUCAAUAGAGACAACUGAUUCAGAUUCAGAGACUAAUAGUGAGGUACAUUCUAUUAAUUCUGAAUUACAUUCUAUUGAUACAACAUCUUGUGAACUAACCAUGCAGGAUAAGAGUUGUCUAUCAAUUAUGGAACUCAUUGAUCUAAAGAAUGAGAACUAUGAGCUCGAGAAAGAAAAUGUUCAUUUGAAGAAAGUCAUAGGUGAUUUCUUGAAUGAAAAGAGUGCCAAGGCAAGCAGUGGAAUCAUUGCUACUCUCAAGGAACAAAUCUCACAACUUGAAGGGAACAACAUGCAAAUCCAAAGAAGGAAUGAUACACUCAUGAAGGAACUCAGCUCGCUGAGAGCAGAUCUUAAAGCUAAGGAUGCAAGCUUGGAGGCAUUCGAGUUAAGCAAAUCCCAAAGCUUAGCCGAAAUCUCUAUUCAAGCUGAAAAGAUCAAGUCAUUGGAGCAAGAAGUCAAAGAUCUUCAGAAAGCCAUGGGAAAGUUUGUUCAAGGAGAAGAAAGUCUCAAAUCUAUGAUGAAACAAGCUAAAGGUUCUCAUGACAAAGGAGGCAUUGGUGCAGCUUCUACAUCCACAUCUUCAAUGAGAUAUGAAGGGAAAAAUGGCAUUCCAUACAAUUAUGCCAUGCCUUGGGUGACUUGUCACAAGUGUGGAAAGAAGGGCCAUCUUGCUAAUAAUUGUCCAAUGAAGAAUACUCAAUCAGCAAGCUGGAAAAGGAAGUCAGCUCACAGACAGUAUGCUGACAACAGAAACAGACAGAAGACAGCUCCAAGACAGUAUGCUGAUAAGACCAGCAGAACAUGGAAGAAGAGUUCUAAAGUGGUCCAAAUGUGGAUCAAGAAAUCUGAUCUUAAUGUUCUAUAUGUUUUAUCAACUAACACUGCUGGACCCAACAAAAUUUGGGUACCAAAACGUUGAGUUGUUUGUGUUUGUUUUGUAGGUUUGUCUCGUGUCUAAAGUAAAGCCAAAUCAAUGGAUAUUGGAUAGUGGAUGCACUAGGCACAUGAGUGGAGACAAAUCUCAGUUUCUAAGCUUGAAGAUGAAGAAGGGUGGACGUGUCACAAUUGGUGAUAGCAAAACUCUUCCUAUUCUUGGCAAAGGAACUAUAGGUAAUAGUAUCAUUUCUAUUAACAAGGUACAAUAUGUUAAAGGUCUUACUUAUAACUUGCUUAGUAUAAGUCAGUUAUUUGAUGAUGGUCAUAUUGUUAACUUUGGUAAGGAUGAAUGUACUAUACUUGUUGGUGCUAACAAAACUCCUCUAGUUGCAAAACGAGAAGGAAAUAUAUAUGUUUUGAACUUUGAAGAACAGGAGGCAGGUGUUUGUUUAGCAGCUGUGGAUAAUAAUCCAGAAAUUUGGCAUAGAAGGCUUGGACAUGCUCAUAUGGAUCAUCUCAGCAAGCUGUCAGCAAAGAAGCUUGUUCGAGGACUACCAAAGCUUAAGUAUGUCAAGAUGGAGACAUGUUCUGCUUGUCAAUUGGGAAAGCAAACAAGGACUCCACAUAAGGCAAAGAAAAUGGUAUCUACUUCUAAACCUUUAGAGCUUCUUCACUUGGAUCUUUUUGGUCCCGAAGCUUAUAAGAGUAUUGGAGGUAAACAAUAUGCCUUUGUUAUUGUUGAUGAUUAUUCUAGAUUCACUUGGGUAUUAUUCUUGCGUACUAAAGAUUGUGCUUUUAGUGAAUUUGAGAAACUAAUCAAGUUGCUUGAGAACAAACUAGAUACAAGACUUGUAGGUAUUCGAAGUGAUCAUGGUGGGGAAUUCCAAAAAGACUUCAUUACUUAUUGUGAAGAAAGAGGAAUCUCACAUGAGUUCUCAGCACCUCGUACACCUCAGCAAAAUGGAGUUGUAGAGCGUAAGAACAGGUCCUUACAAGAAACAGCUAGGACAUUGCUGCAGGAGAGCAAGCUGCCAAGAAGCUUUUGGGCAGAAGCUGUCAACACAGCAAGCUAUGUUCUUAACAGAGUGCUUAUCAGGCCAAUUCUCAACAAGACUCCUUAUGAAUUGCUAAGGAAAAAGAAGCCUAACAUCAGCUACUUCAAGGUUUUUGGAUCUAAGUGCUUCGUACUCAAAACCAUUGAUAGGGAUGGUAAAUUCGACUCUAAAUCUUAUGAAGCUAUAUUUUUGGGUUAUUCUUUAACAAGUCGUGCUUAUAGAGUGUAUAAUCUUGCUAAACAUACUGUUGAAGAGUCUAUUGAUGUUUCAUUUCAAGAGUCUACUGAUGAUCUUGCAAGGGAUGAGGAAGAAUGUGCAGGUACAGGUACUAGCAGCAAGCUGACAGUGAAGGAAACUGGAAAUCAGCAAGCUGACAAGUCAACUGCCACAACUUCAGAAGGCAAUAAAGCUACUGAAUCCACUCCAUCUCUUGAAGAAACUUUGGAUAAGAUGUCAAAGCUCACAUUGGAUGAAUCCAGAGGUCAAACUUCAUCAGCAAGCCAAAAUGUUGUUGAUCAGACUCCUCCUAGGCAGACUACAAGGAAUGAAGAGGUCAUAGCUCAACAUAAUCUACCAAAAUCAACUAGAACAGUGAAGAAUCAUCCUCCUCAGUUGAUCAUUGGAGAUAAAUCAGCUGGAAUCAAGACAAGGAAAGCUCAAGCCAACAUUUGUGCUUAUGCUGCCUUCAUAGCUCAAGAGGAACCAAAGAAUGUUCAAGAAGCUUUACAAGAUGAAAAUUGGAUCAUGGCAAUGCAAGAAGAACUCAACCAAUUCGAAAGAUGUGAUGUUUGGGAACUUGUAGAUCCACCAGAGGAUGCUUCAAUUGUUGGAACCAAAUGGGUGUUCAAGAAUAAAGUUGAUGAAUUUGGUACUAUCACUCGGAACAAAGCUAGACUUGUUGCACAAGGAUACAAUCAGCAAGAAGGAAUUGAUUUUGAUCAAACAUAUGCUCCGGUUGCAAGAUUGGAAUCUAUUAGGAUGCUAUUAUCAUUUGCAUGCUACAAGAAGUUCAAGCUACAUCAAAUGGACGUCAAAAGUGCAUUCUUAAAUGGAUAUCUAAAGGAAGAAGUCUAUGUCAAGCAACCACCAGGAUUCGAGGAUGAAAAAUAUCCCAACCGUGUCUACAAGCUCAAGAAGGCACUAUAUGGAUUAAGGCAAGCACCUCGAUCAUGGUAUGAAAGGUUAAGUGAAUUUUUGAUCAAAAAUGGUUUCAUUAGAGGUAAAAUUGAUCCUACUUUGUUUACUAUCUUUAAAGGUCAAGAUAUAUUAGUUGUUCAAAUAUAUGUAGAUGAUAUUAUAUUUGGAUCUACUAAUGAUUCUUUGUGUAAGUGGUUUUCAAAGUGCAUGCAUAGUGAGUUUGACAUGAGCAUGAUGGGAGAGCUCAAUUAUUUCUUGGGGCUCCAAAUUAAGCAAACUCCAGAAGGAAUUUAUGUGCAUCAAUCCAAGUAUAUCAAGAAUCUACUCAAAAGAUUUGGAUAUGAGAAUAUCAAGGCGAAAUCAACACCAAUGAGCGUUGUCAGCAAGCUGACAGCAGAUGAAAAUGGUAAAGAUGUUGAUAUUCGAAUGUAUAGAGGUAUGAUUGGUAGUUUACUUUAUCUUACAGCCUCUAGACCUGAUAUUAUGUAUAGUGUUUGUGUUUGUGCUAGAUUUCAAGCAAAACCAAAGGAUUCUCACUUACAAGCUGUUAAAAGAAUAUUUAAAUAUUUAAGUGGAACCAUUACUUUGGGCUUAUUCUAUCCUAUCACAAAUGCUUUUGAUCUUGUUGGGUAUAGUGAUGCAGAUUAUGCAGGUAGUCAAACUGAUAGAAAAAGUACAAGUGGUGUUUGUGCAUUUUUGGGUCAAAGCUUAGUUUCUUGGUUAAGCAAGAAGCAAACUUCAGUUGCUCUAUCUACGGCUGAGGGGGAGUAUUUAGCAGCUGGUAGCUGUUGCUCUCAAAUGCUAUGGAUGAGACAACAAUUGAAGGACUUUGGAAUCAAAUGCAAGCAAACUCCUAUCUUUUGUGACAACACAAGUACAAUCAACAUUUCAGAAAAUCCAGUCAAUCAUUCAAGGACAAAGCAUAUUGAUGUUCGACAUCAUUUUCUGAGAGACAAUGUUGCAAAGGGUGCUGUCAAGUUAAUUUUUGUGGCUACAGCAGAUCAGCUAGCUGACAUCUUCACAAAACCUCUUCCUGAAGAACGAUAUGUCGUGCUGAGAAGGGAAUUGGGUAUGUGUGAUGUGCAGUCAGCAGGCUCUUAAGCAUGGUCCGGGUACUAUCAGCUUACUCCUAGCAUUUUACAUAAUUUUUAUUUAUUUUGCAUGCCGGUCAGUUUAAGUGUUUAUUUGAAAUCUGUGCUCUUAAAUGAUAUUGCCGUUGUAUGUUUAGAAAGUUGAAAUUUUGUGUUGAAUUUUGAUACGUGAUUAUGUGCUUAUCUGUGUAAUUUAUGAUAAGUUUAAAAUUCAAAUUUGUUACACUGAGUAUAUAUAUAGGUGUGAUAAGUGAUAAGUGGUUAUUAGAUGUUUUAAAGUGUUCGGGAGCUAAAAGAUUAACAUGAAUUAUUUUAGGAGUUUUACUUCGUUUAAUUUUAUUCCUAAAACUACUCCCCUGAUAAUUGUUAAAAGAGUUUUAAAAUCUCUACUCACUCCACACCUCUUCAACUACAUAUACAACCCUCCUCGAGACGCUAGGGUUUUAUCGCUACUUCUCCGAAAACUCUUCGUACUCACCAUAGCCUCAAUCGGUCUCCGUGUCGCAAUGAGGAAAAAGACGAGAGCUAACGUCAAAGCCCACACCCCACAGCCCUCUUCGAUUUCCCAAAAGAGAAAGCUAAUUGAUGAGGAUGAUGAUGAGUUGGUCACUGUGGAAAGCGGCGAUGAGUUGUCUGGUGUCAAUCGCGGUGAUACUGGAGUUGAAUCGGGUCAGAAGAAGGUCAAAUCGGAAGUUCUUGCUGUUCGCGGACUCGCCGGUCGGAAAGUUAUCUUGGGUAAGCCUAUUUCCGGCAAAACUUUCUUUACUUGUGGCAUUGUCAAGUUGUUUGAGGAUCUAGGGUUUCACUCUUUCUUGGUUGAUUUACCUAAGAUUUGCUAUCCUGAUUUGGUUCGAGAAUUUUAUGCAAAUCUUCAACUAGUUGGGUCGGAUCAGUUUGUUUCUUUUGUUUCGGAUGUUAAGAUAUGUUUGUCUUCAAUGUUUUUGGGUGCGAUUUUAAAAAUUCCACCAUCUACUGUGUCUAUCCAUACUAAGAGAGGUCCUAAAGAUGUCGAGGGUUUUUCUCACAACGACCAGUUGAAAUUGAUUACUGGGUCUGAGAAUGUUUCUGAUACUAUGUUUCCUUCCACUACACAACUACUUCCACUUGCUCAAGCACUUUUUAAACUAUCUAUUGAGAAUGUCAGUCCGAGACUUGGUACUAGGUCUAACUUGUCUUCACAAGAUAUUGUUGUUGUUUCGAUGAUAAUGGCUGGUAGAAAAUUUGAUUUGGCUGAAUUGAUUUUAAAGAAUAUGCUGGAGUCAGUUGAGGGUAAGUCAUCUGGUGGACUGCCAUAUGGGUUUUUGUUGACAAGAGUUUUUGAGUGGUUUGGGGUGUCCUUUGUUGGUGAGGAUUCUGUGUCUGCUAAAGAAUUUCUUGAUAUGAAAUUCUUAACUCAAUCAAACUUGAAGUUGGAUAAGGAUGGUCAGUUGGUUGUUGUUGAGGUGUCUCCACCUACACCUCCUGCUCAAUCUGUGAACGUUGUUGACUUGGGAAUCUCUGCACAAGAGAUUCAUGCUUAUAUGGAUGAACUUCGAGCAAAUCACAAGGAUGUGAUGGAUGGGCAGAAGCAGCUAUCUGAGCAGAUGGCUGAGUUGGUUUCUCAGGUUGGUUUUUGGAAAGACAUGAUGUUUGGGGCUCGAACGUCUACUGCUUCUGAGAAGUGCAGUUCUGGAAGCUUCGCUUAUGAGCUCUGCAAAAGGAUGUAUGGCUCUGGGGGUUCGUCUGAUGUUAAGGCCACUUUCACUUCAGAAGAUGAUGCUACAGACAGUCCAAGGCCAAGGUCAGCAUUGGAUGCCCUAAAGGAAGCAGCUGGAACAGAUUCUAAGUAUGCUGCUGCUGGGAAUGCACUGAUGGCUGAAAAUCUGAUUGCUGCAGAGCUUGCCAAGAAGUUUGCCAAGGACAAGGAUGAUCAGGACAAGGCUGGAACUUGAUUUUCUCACCUUUUUAAUGAUUAAGGGGGAGGAAAUUAGGAAAUUAAUAAUACUUUACUUAAGUUUGUGUUAUCUGCUUAAGUACAUUGGCCCUAAGUUUAUUUGUUUCUAAGACUAAGUUGGUUUGGAUUUGAAUUUGGUGAUCUCAGGAGGUUUAUCCUGAGUUAAUUUGUUUAAGUUGUUUGGAUAAUUAUCUAUGCAUAUUUGCUUUGGUUAAUUGCUUUCUGCGUUAAAUAUUGCAUAUUUGUGAAUAUUUGUGAAUUAGAUAUAUCUGCUAGAUUUUAUUCUCUGUGAUAAUUGUGAAAGUUUAAUGAUAUUAGAUUGCUAUAUUUAGGGGGAGUUAAUUACUUUUCCUAAUAUAGUGUAAUCAUCAAAAAGGGGGAGAUUGAUACUCUCAAGGUUUUGAUGAUGACACUAACAGCAAGCUAAUAACAUGAAACUGAUAUGUGUUAGCAUGCUAUCAAAGGUUGUUUAUGCGGACUAACAGUAUUUCAGGAUGUUAGCAUGAUUAUAGCUGUCAGCAAGCUUACAGGGAUAUUUACAAGCUAUCAGCAGGCUUACAGCGUGAACAGAGAAACAAUCGGAUAAAGAUCAAAGUCUAUUUUCAAGGAGAUUUAAUAGGAAACGACUUUGUAAGGAUUCUAAUAUUUGUAUAUAUCUUAUAUAAAUAUUAGAGCUCAGUUUUAUAAAGAGUUUUCUUCAAAAACGUUUUCCUAACAAAUAGGAGAUUUUAUUUCAAAUCGAUCUUAUCUUUAACAAACUCCUAUUUAGUUUCAAACGGGUUUUAUUUUAAAUACUUUACUGAGAUGAUUUCAAACGUGACUUAUCCUUUACUCAGUAAUCUUACUUCAUUCAAACGUUCAUCAUUCAAUUCAAAUUUAAACGUGAGGUUGUUACCAAGAUCGUUGGGAAAUUUGUUGGAUUAUGACCGUUGGUAUGAUGUAUAUAAAUUUGUGUGUGCUUUCAUUUUUGGUAGAGAACAAGGAGAACACACCAAGCUUUCUGAAAUACAACUCUUUACAUUGCUAAAUCUUUUAUUGAGCUCUAGUACUUAUAUUUGCAUAUAUAUCUAUAUUGAGAGUUCAUAGUUUCGGUUGUAUUACACUUAUUCAUUGUAUUGUUCAAGGUGUAAUGUUUUGUUGCUGUGUAUCCAGCUUGUGAAACAAGGGAACAAGGGAACUAGUUAGCUAGAAGAGUAUACUUGGGAAGUAUAGGUCUUGGUAGGCUUUUGGUUCGUGGUUCAGGGGUUUCAGCAGGCUGAUAACAGGAACAAGGGAGAAAGGGAGUUAUAUUAUUGAAUCUUGUAAUCGUUGAUAUUAUUGAUUAAUAAUAUAAUCUCUUACCAGUUGGUAGGGGACCAGGACGUAGACCAUUAGGGUUAGGGGUCGAACCUGGCUAAAAUUCUUGGUGUUGCUAGCAUACUGCUUUACAUUAUCUGCAUUGCAUUUAUCUUGUUAGCAGGCUAACUGUUUACUCUGAAAAUUAACAGCAGGCUGUCUUUGACAGAUUAAUUAUUCGGUAACUUAUAAAAAUCGGGUAUAUUAGCCAUAACACCUAUUCACCCCCCCCUCUAGGUGUAUAAUUUCAUACUCUAUACUGCCACUAGGGUUAAAGGGCUAGCUAGGACAAAAUAUAAUUACUUAGAGCUAUACAACAGCAAUAAAUAUCCUGCCAGAUGGGGGGAAAACAGGCAGUCGAAAUAACAAAGUAGGAAUCCUUUUUCUAAAUCACCAAAGUGAGCAUGACAUCUCUACCGGAGCUGGCUUUAAAGAUAGCAUAUCUCUUGAAUAGACGCCGCAUUAGAAAAAUGUUGUUAGUGCUAUGCAAACUCACACCAGUAACUCACUACCAACCAUGUGGUGGCAGCGUUGGACUUUUGGAACACAUGCUGAUAUUGUGAAGUUGCUUCAUCCUGGUUUCUGGGUUGCAUAACCCUGCAUAUUCCUCAAUAAAUAGCUAAUUAGAGAGUACUUUGAUCAUAUAUGCAUAAAUGGAAAAAUUUCUCCACAAUUAAACAUCAAACAUUACUGAGGCAACAUUUGCUCCUCCCAAUUCCAAUUUACGGAGUGAAGAUCAGCAUUGGGAACUGAAACUUUAAAAAGUAGGUUUUGCUUUGAUGAAAUUUAUUUCAUGAGAGCCUUACUUCAGUUCAACAGGAGUCACAGGGUAGAACUGGAGCUAAUUAGAAUGGAUCAUUUUCUUUAGAUAUCUUAGAAUGUCUAUGACUUUUGAGAAAUAUAUCUUUCUAUUCCCUAAAAUUAAGAUUACUUCUCAUAGGUGAUAUAUCUUCCCAAAAUUUAGUUCUACAAACCUGGUUUCUUUUUGCUAAUUUUCUUUUCCAAAUCGUAUAUAUAUUCUAGUAAUUAAUGUUCUCUUAAUUCCAAGAGGCAUCCUAGGAUUUCAAAGAGGAUAUAGAUCUCUAUUGUCUAAGUUGUACACUUCUUGUAGGAAAAAAAACAAGGAGAAAUUAUAUGGUUUUUUUAGAAAACCCGCGUCUUCUGUAUAGCAGAUUACAGAGGAAGAAUACCAAAUCCUGCCAGUUGCUCCUAUGACUCAUAUUAACAUUUUCUGAAGCCUAUAUCUAAAGAUGCCUGUGUAUCGGACAGAGCCAAAAAAAAAAGAACACAAAAUCAAUAAUUUCUUAAAACCAUGCCCAAUGCACAAGAUACGAUGAGCUGAAUAGAACUAUGUUCUUAAGACUCCAAAACUCCUUUGAACUUGAUAAAUAAAUCGACUGCGCAGAUACUGUUAUGAUGAAUAUCCAUGAUUUGUAUGUAAGCUUAGUAUAGUUCCCAAUAAGAUUUUGCUGAUAUAUUAGUAAACUCUUAGUACCUGAACAUUUUGGUAUAUCCCAGACUGCAAUGGAGGUAGAGGUGCAUCGUGAAUCACAAAUUGCUCUGUUAUCUUCAUGCCAAACAUUCAGUGCAAGCAUCCACGAGCCAAUAGUAACAUCCUCAUUGUUAAACAUUCUUAAACUGGCAGUUUUGAAUUAAAUUUAACAAACAGAAAGAACAAAUCUAUAAGCAUAACCAACAGAUUAAAAUGUAAUCAACCUAUGUGUACUGAACUUAUGGCCUCAAUGGUAAAAUCCUUUCUCUUGCUACCACAUCAAAGAAAAAAGGGCUUCUUAUUGGAAAUGCUACGACAUCCCCAAGUAAAAAAAACAACAAACCUAUAUAAUGACAUACCUAUUGUUCCUUGCAAUUACCAGUGAUGCCACGACCCCUGCGGAAAGAACAUAAAUAGGUCCAUAAGCAUGCAUGAAGUAUCCGCUGCCUAUUACGUCCGCUGAUUUCUCAAACCUGAAAUUUUUAGCGAGGAAGUACUUUCUUAAUAAAGAACAGAAUAUAGCGCAGUUUUGUAUAACUGAGGCACAAGGCAUAUAGUUAUAUUAAUUUACCACUUUGAUUUUGGAUUGGUAAACACGGGUCCUUUCUUCAUGCAUCCAAUGUAAGUCAGUGCAUGGGUUCUUUCCUUAGCUAGAAGAGUUGCAAGCCUAUCUGAUAUAUUUUACACAUAAGUAUAAGUGUAUAACUAGUUAAAUAUAUGUAUGACACUGCUAGUUUAAAACUUGAGGUGACAGUAAAAUACCUGGACGCAGAUAAAUGUCAUCAUCAGCUUUGACGUAAUAAUUUGCUUCGAACAGUUGAAAAGCUGCUUUGAAAUAUGCCAAUCUAUGGUUUCGGAACAUGUACUGAUAAGUUCCAAUUAGAUAUUAUAAAAUUAUGUAUUCAGAUAUUCAAAUCCUUACGAUUUGUAUUUAAGGUUUCGGUAUUCUUCCUCCACAUCUAAAAUCAGAAAGUCAUUGUACUCCUCGAUCUCUUUCUCAAGCUCUGCCAUUUUUCUUGCAUUUUUAGUUCGACCAAUAACAAACCUAAAAGCUAAUCCUGUAGCUUGCUCCAACCUACAUAUGGUAAGAAUAAAAUGAUAUCCAUUUAGUAAUACUACUAACACUUUUAUUGUGUUCACAACAUAAGACAGUCAUUGUGGCAUUUUCAUCAUGAGUCAGAAAAGAAGAAGAAAUUUGAUUUCCUGGUUAAGUUUCAAUGCAAGUGCAACGACGGACUUAUAACUUUCACAGCAAAGAACCAAACUUAUCAUGUACAAUAAGACUGUACUAACAUGUUCCGCUGCUUAUUCAUAAAAAUGUAUGGUGAAGUGAGGAACCAUUGAAAGAUGUACUGUACAGAAGCACAAGUGAAAUUCAUUCACAACAAAUAAAUUCAUCAUUUUUUACAGUGUACACAAAACACAAUGAAUAGAGGCAUGUCAGUUGCAACAACCAAAUUUUACUCCUGAAUUAGCUUAUCAAAAAAAUGUUGAUAGCUAAAGUAUAAUAACAAUGGACCAAGAAAACUUGUUACUUUCGAGUUUAUUAUUCUAUCGAGAGUAAAAAUACAAUAUUUCAGGACCAACAAAGAUAUUAUUUUAAGUACAUAUUACUUUUUCCGAUUGAGGUCCGACUGUAGUACCUAAGAAGAGCAUCAGGAUGAGAAGGAAACCAUGUACUUCUCAGAGCCCGUCUGCGAUCACGUGACCCGAACCCGGUUUGUAUACCCACCAACCCGACAAAUUUGAUCCUAUCUGUCAGCACCCCAUUGGUCAUGGACUCUCCACCUGGUCGUUGAGAGAGCGAAUAGAACGGGCGGAACGUGUCCUCCACGCGCCCACAUCGGAAAGUGGGGAUGGGUCCGAGCACGGCGUAGAGAGCGAAAAUGACGCCGGAGAGACAAAAGAUGAAGCUGAGAGAGACUAGGAGCCAUGUGGGGUUGUAGAGGCGGAGAAGAAAGAUGGGUUUUCUUGGGCUUGAUGAGUUUCCGAAGGUCGGGAGAUAAUCGGCGGUGGCUAUAAUGCCGGCGGCCGAGUUGAACGGAGAGAAUUUACGCGGCAUUACUGUACCCUCAUGUUAUACAUGGACUGCCAGACGGUAAUCAGGUGAUGAUUGAUUAACAAAAGGAAAAUGCUUGGUGCACAUAAUUGUGUACAAAAACAUGUACAUGAUGACAUGUGGCGGAUUUUAAUUGGAUGGCCCCCUUGCAUUUACACCAACCACCUCAAUUAAAACCCACCACAUCACUUGCCACAUCAUUAUGUACAAAUUUUCUGUACACAAUUAUGUGCACCUAGCACUACUCUUAACAAAAUUAUAGUGCAGUAUAUAAAAAUUUAACGGGGUUUUAGAUAUAUCAUAUUUUCAAAUAUAUGUUUUUUAAAAAUAUUUCUGAAAAUAAAGAAUUUUCAAACGGUUUACUACUAUUGCAACAAUAGUUGUAAAUGAUCAAUCAAAAUCAAUUGCAAAUACGAUUUCAAAAAUCUAAUACAUGAAAUCACAUAUUAUUACAAUAUGUCGUAUGAUAUUCUGCAUCGCAGAUUACUUUACGAUUCUUAAAUGCAAAUAUUAUAUUAUAACACGACUCUCCAUCUAAUGGUCCGAGAUUGUAAAAAAAAGUCAAUAUCUGUCUAAAAAAAUUUCAUUCAUCUUCGAGAAAAAAUCGGAUAUUAUUUGUAUCCGAAAUAAAGCAAAUAUUAUCAGUAUCCGAAUAUGUGAUAUUCGAAUCCGAGAUUAAAUACAUGCAAGAUAUUUAAAUUCUAUAUUAUAUAAUUAAAUAAAAUUAAAAAUUGAUUCUAUUAGCUUGUAUUGUAUAUAUGUAUUAAACAAUACUACAUUUUUAUAGACUUUAUAUAAUUAUACAAAUAUUUUACAUAUAUAAAAAUAUCAUUUAAAUCGUAAAAUAUUGUUCUAAAAUCAUCAUAAAUAUAAUGGGCCUAUAAAAAAUCUGAUAUCCACCUGAAAUAUCCACAUUCAUAUCAGAGAAAAAACAUAUAUUAUUCGUAUCCAAAGAAGCGGAUGUUAUCUGUAUCCGAAUCCAAUAAUUACGGACACAGAUAUAAACAUAUGUGUAUUCUAAUUACUCGUUUGAUAGUCAACAAGAUCUUAUCGGAGUCCGAGCCUGCCGAUCUCCAUUUAUUACCACUCCUUUAUUACCACUCCUCCACAGACUCCUCAUUUCCUAUCUAACACGAUCUCACCAGAAUCUGGCAAUGUCCUCUUGUCACGGCCAUUCCCGCACACUUAUUUCUGGUGUGUUCGACGAAGAGAUGGGUCGAGGUAACAUCAUCAAUGAAUGCUAUUUUAUAUUAUGGUUUGUCUAGUAUGUGUCUCUUGGCAUAUGGCGCGGAAUUUUAUAUAUUUGGGAGCUUUGUGGUUGUUAUAUAUAUAAGAGGGUCACCAUUAUUAAAAUAUAAACACCAAUCAAAAACUCCCAAACAUAUAAAAUUUCGCGUUUAACAUGUGUUUAUGGAAAAAACCGUUACAUUAGUAGUUUUUAUUUUAGAAAGAUGUUCUUAAAAAAAAGAGACCACGGUGAAAAGAUUUUAACAGGGAUGAUGGGUGUUGGGCUCAAAGAGUGGGAAUUGUGCAUGCCCAGACCUACCCAGACAGAUCCACUACCACCAGGGUAUCUAUCUGUUGUCGGGCCCAAUAUUUUGAUUAUUUGGGUAUCCAGUGUGAUCACGUAAGGUAAAAUUGUAAAUGCUUACUUUUCUCCUGGUUGUUGUCUGGUGUUCAAUUCUGAGCUUUCAUCGUUUUUCAUUUGAUAACCUUCUUAAAUUGUUUAUAUUUCAAUUUUUCCCAGAUUAUAAAUUUACAUUACAUGAUAUAAAACUAAUGUGAUAUAGUAUUUUCACAACCUUUCCAAAUUUAUGAACUAAAUAUUAACGGCUUACAUAAUUUUACUUAUUUUUUAUUUCUCACACUAUUAAUACUUAUAUUAGUUUUCGUGUUCAAACCAACAUAAACAAUUAGGUAGAAUGAACGGAAUAUUUUUUAAAUGAAGAUAAAAAAAUGGUAAAACUUCUUUUAUAUUGUAAUUUCUUCAUCAAAAAUUAUAAAAUUAUAUUCUAAACGUUUCAAAAAAGUAAAGUUGAAUAACUCUUUUAAUGUUAUUUUUUAUAUAUUUUAUAACAAAAAAGAAUAAGAAUGAAUAAAGUAGUGUAACAGCUAAUCUUUGAUGAAUAAAGGAUAAAGAAUAGCAAAUAUUUAGGAAAUUUGUUUGCUUAACUUAUGUAAAUAUACUAAUGUGGAAUAUUAUUGUCAAAAUUAAUUAAUAUUCUAGAAGGUGAAGAAAGAAAAACGAAAAUUACCAUGUGUGGACUGUGGACUACAAGCAAGAGCCAAAAUAGUAUUCUAUGGUGCCAUUUUCUUGGAAAGACGCACACUAAAAAUAUUAUAUCCGAGAAAAAUCUUUGUACUUAACUGUUUUUUUUCUCUGUUUUCAUAUUAAAAUAAAUAAUAAAUUUGGAAUUUUAAAAAUUAAAAAUUUAUUUGACUGAGAUUUUAGUGGAUUAUAUAUGAUUUCUAGAUUUAUGAAUUGUGUGUUCAUUUUGAUUUUAUGCAAAUUCUUUAUAAAAUGUCAUAGAGUUGACAUAAAAAAUUUGAGAUUUAAACAAAAUAUUUCAAAAUCAGUGGUGAAAUUUCGAAAAAAAUGAAAUACACAUAACAAUAUCACACAAAAUUUUUAUUUUAUGAAGUACAAAAAAAUUCAAGAGUAUUUGAAUACUAUCGAAUUUUAAUAGAUUUUAAAUGAUUUCAAUUAAAUACUAUCAGAUUUUUUCAGUACAAUUUACAAAGCUAAUUAAAUAGUCCAGAUCAUGUAACAUAUUUAAAAUUUUAAUUGAAAUGUAACAGAUUUUAAUGAAUUUUAAGUGAUCCUAAUUGUAUAUCAUCAAAUUUUUAAGAAUAAUUUAAAAAAUCUAAAAGAGUGUAUUCAAUUAGAAUUUUAAAGGAUUUUUUUUUUACUUACAAAAUCCGAAAGUAUUCAACUCGUGUUUUAAAAAGUAUCAUAAACUUGGAGUAUUUAAUUAGGAUUUUAAAUUAUGUUAUAAAAUAUGGUGGUAUUCAAUCAUGAUUUUAAAUCAUGUUUCAAAAUUUGAUGGUAUUAAUUACUCUCUCCGUCCCCUUUUACCUGUCCAUUUUGCAUUUCGAGAGUCUAAUUGACCAAUUUUUGACUAAACAUUACAAAUUAUCUACUCAUUAUUUUUAAAAUCUGAAAGUUGCAUAUUAAAAUAAACUAAAUAUACUUUCUAUUGAUAUAAUUUUUAUUAUUUUUCUCAAUUAUUUGAUACAUGUAAAGUUCAGUCAAAAUAAAGUCAUUUUGACUGGUCAAAAGUCAAAAUGGACAUGUAAAAUGGGACGGAGGGAGUAUUUAAAAUCUAUUAAAAUCUGAUGGAUUUUUUUAGAUUUCAAUUUUAUGGAUUGCUUGAUGUAUUUUAAGAUAUUUGAAAUCUCACCGAAAUUCAUGAGAUUUUAAAUUAUUGUGCUUAAACAUUCUAUAUCAGUUCCACGACAUUUUAUCUAGAAUGCGCAUAAAAUCAAAAUCAAAUAGAAUUCAUUAAAAUCUGUAGACAGUUGUAAAAUUCAUUAAAUAUUAGUUGGACACACCCACCAUAAUUAAAUACUAUUGAAUUUUGUAGCAAUUAAGUUUAAAAUUCUAACUAAAUAUCUCAAAAUUUUAAUACUUUUUAAAAUCAAAAUCGGAUGUAUCUAGAUUACAUGAAUAAAUCUUUUUAAAAUCUUAAUGAAUACACCCCUUAUCUCAUGUAUACUUUUUAUACGUUUUUAUUCUUAUUCCCAACACUUUUUCUAUUUCUUUUAAUUUCUGUUAUCGUAACGAAAGAAGAAAGAAAUGAGCUAAGACAAAGAACUAGUAUAAAACAACGUAUGUACCAACUAAACAAGAUAUAUCAUCUCUAAAGCUUGUCGCAUUAGGGAAAAUGGAGGGUGAAGCAGCCACAGUAACCGUGCUUGAACACUGCAAAGUGAGUCCAGCCCCAGACGGUGUCCCCGUGACAUCUCUGCACCUCCCAUUUUUCGACUUGUUAUGGCUCACUUUCCAUCCCCUCGGCCGUCUCAUCUUGUAUGAUUUUCCGCACUCCACCAACCAUUUUAUUCAAAAAACCGUUCCGAUUCUGAAAACAUCACUCUCUCUCGCCCUCAAAAACUUCACUCCCCUGGCUGGAAAAUUACUAAUUCCCUCCGAUGCUGAUUCCAACGCUGAUUGCCUGAUCCGAUACUCGGACGGAGACUCGGUCUCUGUCACAUUUGCUGAGUGCAACGGCGAUGUUAAUCAUUUCUUUGGAGGCCAUGCACGCGAUGCAGACGUAUUAAAGCCUCUUGCUACUCCAAUCUCUUCGACUAGUCUGUUUGCUAUUCAGGUUACGGUAUUCCCGAACAGGGCCAUUUCUAUUGGAAUCAUGAACUCCCAUGUGGUUGCAGAUGGGAACACUGUGUUCAAUUUUAUACGAGCAUGGGCUUCGAUUGCUAAACGACUCUGCAGCUCUGAUAUUGUGUCUACAGAGGAUUACAUGAUCCCGGAUUAUGAUAGGAGUUCUAUUAAGGAUCCCUACGGUCUGGGCACCAUGAUUAUGAAAUCUUUAGGACCGCUAAUUAAACAGGUCCAGAUAAAAGAAUCUUCGGUCCCCAGGGCCAGAGCGACGUUUGUUUUAACUGAAUCUAAAAUUCAAGCCCUCAAGAAGACGGUUUUAGCCAAACGGCCUGAAUUAUCCUACGUGUCAUCUUUCACCGUCACGUGUGCUUAUCUCUGGACAUGUUUCGCAAAAUCAAGAUACAAUGUGGAGAAGGAGAAGCACAGGCUAGAUGAGCCUCAGAACUUCGGGUUUGUCAUGGACUGUCGUGCUCGACUGGAUCCGCCCCUGCCUAAUUCCUACUUCGGCAAUUGCUUAGUCCCCUGCAUCGCAGCGCAGACUGGGAGAGUUAUGGCAGGAGAUGAAGGGCUAGAGGCUGCCGCAGAGGUGCUGGGAAAUGCAAUUGCUGUGAAGCUCAAGGAAGGUCCCUUGCACGAUUCGGAGAAAUGGAUGGAGCAAUUCGCGGGGUUAAUGAGAGGGGAAUGGAGUAUUGGCAUUGCUGGCUCCCCGAAAUUGGACUACUACAACAAUAUUGAUUUCGGAUGGGGUAAGCCUCUCAAGUUCGAAUUCGUGAACGAGACAUUAUCGUUGUCGAGAUGUAAAGAUUCCAAAAUGGACAUUGAAAUUGGAGUCAUUUUGCCUGAAGCUGAGAUGGAUGAGUUCUCAACGCUUUUCAUCCAAGGCUUGCGUGAUUUGGACGGCUAAGCUGUUUUCAGAAACAACGUUUCUCAUAUUUUCUGUUUGCUGGUUACGUAUUUUCUCAGAACUCUUAUUAAAAAUGGGACAAAACAUUAUAUGUCUUCUAAUAACUGUUUUUUAGUUUUUAUAAACGCACACAGUUUUUCUGUUAUCAAGGCAAAAGUGCUUGAAUGCUUUUCUUAAAAUGUCCGGUGGUUAACUUGUUCUAUUAUUUGUGCCAUUAUCAACUACUUGCUAGCCACUUCCACGAUAACGGCAGAUCAAUAUUGUUGGAUCUGCGGAAAGAGNNNNNNNNNNNNNNNNNNNNNNNNNNNNNNNNNNNNNNNNNNNNNNNNNNNNNNNNNNNNNNNNNNNNNNNNNNNNNNNNNNNNNNNNNNNNNNNNNNNNNNNNNNNNNNNNNNNNNNNNNNNNNNNNNNNNNNNNNNNNNNNNNNNNNNNNNNNNNNNNNNNNNNNNNNNNNNNAAAGAGUGUUUACCAAAUAAUCUUUGUUAUUCUGUGAAAUUUUGAAACUCGAAUUGUUCAGUAAACUGUUUAAAUUAACCGAAGGACCUGUCCCUAGCCAUCGGUUGUAUCCAACCAGCUAUUCGCAGUAGCACCCACAAAUUUGCGCUGGUAGGUAAGUUGAAAAACGGCCUGUGCUGCUCUGUUUUAGCAGCACUGAUCCCCUUAAUUUUUGUUGAAAUUUUGGCAGCACUUCUCUGUUAAUGCAAGUUACCAGUCCUGUUUUUUUUGUAAGCAACAACCAACUACAGUACAAGUCAUCCCAUCAUCCAACUAAAGAAGAAUUACAAGCAACUCAAUACAGCAUACGAAUACACACAACCACCGACAUAAACACAAAUAAAACAAAGCCAUUAAAUUACGAAAAAUGCUAGAGCACCCAAAUCUAUUUCCAAAAUGAAUCGUAAAUGUCACUUAUCAUGAUUUAAUUAACUAAACUCUAUAAAAUAUAAUAGGCCCCGAGUAUUCACAAUAAUCUCAACAACUAAAACAUCCCAAACUGACACAUCAUCAACGCCAUGUUACUUGGGAAGAAUUCUAGGUACCGAAUUUGGGGUCUCUAGCAUUAUUCUUACAUUACAACUACGAGUAGACAUUAAAGUAUAACCACCACAAAUUUAAGUUCUAUCUAAUAAAAGUUCUGAUAAAAUCACAACUAUAUAGAAGCAUUGUCAAUGGUCUCAUCUUCCCCUUUUGAAGCUCACGUGCAAAAUGCAUUAUCAAAUAUAAUUUGUCUGACUAAUAGGUCCUGCCAAUUUGUCAUCCAUACCUGCAAAUUGUAAACAAAAACGUGAUUUUAUUCAUGACAUUCAACACCUGAAAUUUCAACUAAAUUAAAUCUCUUAGUUAUAAUAAACUAUAAAGUAAACUACUAAUUUCCGCAACUAUAGUAUAAGUAAUGUUUAUAAUGUUAUGUUGAUAUAAUUUUUAUUUUUAAAUUCAAGUUUAUUAGUAGGAUGUUUAAAAUUAGGGACACGCAUAAACGAAAAACUGAUGAAAUAUAUCUGAUUGUAAUGAACUACACUAAAAUAUUGAAUUUGGCUGGUGAAACCAUCAACUUACUAACUCUAUAUUUUAGGUAGAACACAUUUUGGGUUGGUCUUCAAUCCUGAUUGACUUUCAGGUAGCAGAAUACUGAUUGAAUUUGCACCUCAUUUUUGCAAGAGAACUCCCUGAAACCCAUAACCUAUAUCCCAAGUUAGAACUGAAAGGAACAUUCCAUCUGCAGUAAUCUCUCUAUAGUGAUCUAGAUACAGCCAAAAAAUCAAGUUCGGGAUUAUUGAUAAGUUAGAGAAAACCAGAGGCCUAGUUAAUUAUCAACUUGCCAAGUACCAUAUAAACCCAAAAAUCCCUCUUAAGACGUAGUCCCUCGAUAAGCUCAUUUACAACUUAUACAACCCAACUUAUACAACUAUCAGCAUCAUAUACAACCUAACUUAAUUACAAUUUUCAACUGUAACUCAUGGGUCCAAACUACAUGCCUCGUCUCCGGUACUAAAAACAAUUCAAAACUUUUAGAGAAACAAACUCCAUCUACAUAUAUCUAUACAUAAAGACAUUGUAAUUACAUAAAUAAUAAUAACAAAAAUAAUAACCACCAAAAUAAAUAAGCAGCAACUCAAAUUUUGUUUAUUGUGGAGAAAUAAUGCAAUACUAGCAAUGCUAACUGCUACUAACAGAAACAUUCGCUAAUUGGAACAAAUCGAACUGUAACCCUAACCCCAAUUCUAAUUAACAGCCUAAACCUAAUCCUCAGUUCGACCGAAGAGUAUAAUAUGAAGAAAACGAACAUACCUGUUAAUCACCAAUGAACUUGCAGUACAAUCGCAGAAGGUGAUGGGAUCGUCUUCUAAUCGCUGGCAGCCUUGAAAAUGAUGGUUAACUUCUAAGCGGGAGAUUGAGUAGGGUUUUAGAGGACCUUUCUUUUGAAUCGAACCAGUCUACCAGCUCUUUUUUUAAGCCGGAAGCACUAAUGGUAUUUUCGUAAAUAUUUUUAAAAUUUCACCUUCAAGCCAAAAAAGAGCUGGUAACUUGAAGCGAAUAUUUAAUCUCAGCCGUUGGAUCAUAGCUGGCCGAAUAAAACGUCCCUGGCCAUUCCUGGCCAUCAAUGGCCAGGGACGAGCUCCUAUAAAAAAUAAAUACAUAAUAUAUGUCUUACUCGAGUAAAACCCAAAAUAAGUAUUACAAGGCAAAAGGUCUCAUGCUACCUGACACUUACAAUUGAUAUAAUAAUAUUACAAAAAAAGUUUUGAUUUUCAAUGCUAUCAUCUUUGUUUCACAGAUUAGUAUGCAACUCAUACUUAUUGAUUAUGGAUACAACUUGAGCAUCAUGAGACUCUGAACUCGGAACUGCUACUGUUCAAUUUUUGUGCUUUUAUAUAUGCAGAAACAGCCUCUUCUACAUAGCACUGUCCUAUAUAAGUUCAAAGAUUUCAAAACUACCUCAGACUCUCCCAAGUAUAAUUUACUAGAGAAUCAGUUGCGUUCUCGAAUUAUCCUUUUAAUCAAAUGCGUGGUCGAACAAUUCUUCCUGCUUUUCUGCAUGACAGCUGAUCAGGAAGAGACUCGUCCUUAUGAUUCUGACUCACGAAUUCCAGAACCACUGAAGCUAAUUCAUCUUGAUGUGAAGUAUAUUCAUGGUCUGCUAGUUCUAUAACGAACAGUCUGUGGUUUGCAAUGUACUUGCCAAACUCCAUGGCAUCUUCGACCGGUAUCAUUUCAUCCUUGGAACCAUGAACAGUCAAGACCCUGCAAAAUAUAAGAUGGGAAACAGCAAAAUGAUUCAAAAAAAUUCAACCCAUUUAAAAUGUGAAUCCAUUAUUGGUGUUUGAUGAAGACAGCAGCAACUUUGAAUAUGUCACUGGACUGAGAAAAAAAUUCACAGUUUCUGCAUAUAACAUAAUGUAACGAGUUGAAUUUUUUCACCGGCAGUUUCGUUGGAUUGCAAGGGAUGCUGCACGCAUAUCGGUUGUUAGACGAUCCAUUAAACUUGCUUCAGUCACUCGAUACUCUAUCUUGCCUGAGAAACCAUUUAGUUCAAACAAUGAUUCAGAAACAAACAAGGUGCUACUAAUUCAUUAGUGGUAAAGGGGUAAACAUGAUGUAUAUAUUUAUAUGCUCUCCUCAAGCAAAAUGAUAUAUAAGGGGUAAACAGAAUGUCAAAUUAAAUAAAACAUUGGAUGCAAAAGCAUUUGCCAAAAACAGGAGAAAACCACCCUUUAAACAAAAAAAAAAAAAAACCAAAUAAAAAAAUUAGCAGUCUAGAUUUAAAGUUACAUUCCUGCAGACAUACAAAAGAAAUCAAAAGUAACUACCCAGGGCAGACAACAAGCAUUUAAUUAUGGACUUAAUAUUUUACUCAUUUUUUUGUAUAUAUCGAUAUGAGUAUGUAGGCUGAAUGAAGUUUUUAAUAUUGCUUGAAGUCCCCCAAUUAUUUACCAUCUGCAGAAAAUUCAACAUCAUUCUCCAUUAAUGUUUUCUUGAUGAAAAGAGGUGCUAGAAUGUAAUUAUGCAAAGGGUUCUUCGUCCAGCCUAUAUAUGUAAGCACCUCUUCUAAGCCAACAACUGCUUUUUUAAGGAGUAUAACAAAUGAUAAUAAAAAUAUAUGUUUUUUGUAAAUUAAGCAUAGGAAACUCCUAAUUUUGAAAAUAAGGAGUUUAAUUUAAUCCCAAAUAAAAGUCUAAAAUGCAUGUAUGCUCACCUUUUCUGUCUUUAACAUCAACAAAACCACUUUGUUUGAUUCUUUUCAAGAAGUCUUUACCCAAACGCCCUCCAAUGCCCCUCUCUAGAUUAAAGCGACCUGAAAUGUUGACAACUGUGCUAACAUCCCUGUACUUUGAAGCAUACAGCAGCACUACAUUGCCUCCUGCAGAUAUACCACAUACCCGUAUCUGUACAAUCAAAAAUAUAUCUGAAAAAGUAUAUCUGCAUUGCUAUCAUGUAGAAUCUAUUCAAGUUUACUUAAAAUCAUAUCUUGUCCAGUAGUUUUGAAGUGUGCAAAUCAAGUUCCAAGAGUUCGAGGUCAGGGGUACGAUACCAUGAUUGACAAAAACAGUUCUUCAGGAGUUGGGACUACCUACCAUAGCAAAAGCACUCCAAUAAGUGUAAUAGGAUGCUUCACACCCCUAUAAAAGGAAUUAAUAAUUUUCUUAUUUUGUAAAUUUGGGAGUCAGGACGGGGGUAUAUGACAAAACAAUUAUAAGAACUAUCUCAAUGCCAGAGCUGGUUUUGUUUUCUAAAAGUGCUAUUAUGUUGAAUCUGUGGUUAAUAUAUGAAGAAUUAAAUUGUAAGUUGCCACAUCAAAUCUUUUUCCUGCUAUUAACAAAGAAGACUUUAUAAGCUUCAAGUGAAAAACAAAAACUGCCUGCCACAAGCUCCUGGGAGAAAACAAAAUAAUCUAUCUGCAUUUGGUCUUUAGAUAAUACACUGUGUUUCAUAAAAAAAAUUACACAAUAACUUAAAAAUUAUUACUGCAACAGAAAAAGAGAAGAAAGAUAUGUAAUUUUUUGCAUAACAUCAUUAAAAUGUACUCCCUCCGAUUGUUUACGUUCACUGUUUGCACGCAAUUUGAGGCUCCUAUAAAGUACAGUUCCAUUUCCAUAAUGUUUUUUUUAUUGUUUUUUGAAUAAAACUUUAAACGUCAAACUUUUAUUCUAGAAAAAAAAAAUAUUAUGGAACUAUACUUUAUAGGAGCCUCAAAAUGCGUGUCAAAAAGUAACAUAAAGAACCUAUUGGGACAGAGGGAGUAUAUGCUCAAUAUUGUUUUAUUGCUUACCCGCCUUCAUAAAAUAACAUACCGUAUAGUUCUUUCAAGUAUAUAAAGAAUAAAGCACCACAGCUCUGUUCUAUGUUAAGAUUUCAAAAAGAAAAGAGACCUUUACUGUGCCCUAUAACAGCAGCAAUGAGACGUUUCUUGGCAUGAAAGAACUCAACAACAUUGCGCAACUCAUCAGCUUCUCUACGAUAGUUACCAUACUGAAAAGAACCCUCACUUUCCCUAAUAAAACGUAAAGUUGGAUUACUCACAAACAGAAUUGUAAGCUCAGACAAACAAUAUCAGUAUUUGUAUGAUGACUAUUAGUUGAAGUAAUUAAAUUAAACAGAAUUUAAUAACCAGUUUGUGAUGAAUUCCGAAAAGACAACAAUUUAGUCCACGUGCAAUAUUUUCACACAGAACUUUAUCAAAUAUGAAUGAUAAUUGUACAAAUACACACACACUGGUAUGUGAUGGGGAUCCCAGAUCAGGUUCGAUUUUUUGGUGAUAAACUAAUUUUCAGGUCCAGCAGUUGGUUUUAAGAGCCUCAAACUCUGUUCCUGGUUUUCUAGCUCAUAUCACAUCUACUAUACAUUUUCAUCUCUCUAAUAUUAUCUAGUUAACCCAUAUUCUAGAGAGCAAGAGAGGUAUAAGGAGGUAUAAAGACUUGAAGAAAAAAAAUAUCUGUUAUCUGUGCCUGCUUGGGCAUCCAUGUUUUAUUUAUACAUGUAUCCCUGUUAUUCCCUGGUUAUAGUAAGGUGGUAACUACAGUACGAACACAAAGCAUAUUGCCUAUUGUAUUGUAUCAAAAACUUCAUCAUAGUUUUCUUUAGUGAAGCACAAAUGCAGCAAUGCAUUGUAUUACAUCAACAACUUCAUUGUACUUAUUUUCCUUUUAUGAAGUGCACAAGCACUUAAUUUCUUUUAUGAAGUUAUUAAGGAGUGGAGAACAAUUUUUAGAUUUAGAGAGGAAAAUUCUGGGUGUACCUUGCUGCUAGCAAGAGAACUUAAGGAUAGACUACCACUAUGUUGCACUUGAAUGCUAGCUAAUUUGUCAGGAAUAAGUGGCCAAACAGCUGAAUGGAUAUUAAAAUAAAUUUAAAUUAUUAAACACAAAUUGAGAUCUUCCACCUCCUUUGUGUUCAGAUUUUAAAAACUUACCCAUUACCCGUAAAAUCAAAGCGGAAGGCACUAAUUCCAUUAUUUGCAAAAGCAGCAGCAAGGUUCACCAUAGGAAUUCUCUCCUAGCAAUAAGUUAGGGAAACAAUAAAUACAAAAGGACAGUGUGACUGAAAUAGUGAAAUCCCAACAACAGUUCAACAUUACAGGCUGGCAACAUAGUAGAACCGAAGAGCAAAUUCAAAAACGAACAUAAGAACCCUUUUGGGAGAACUCAAUAACAGGCAACGGGAAUCAAUGUGUAGAUAACAAUUAAAUGGAGAAUAUUAUCCAUAAAACUGCCUGCAAAGUGUUGACAAAGUGUGUAUAAUCAAUAAUGUACGACUCAAUUGCUGUUAAGGACCCCUAAAUUUCAUGACCUGAUACUGAUAACAGAUUAAUCGUGCAUAACGACAUGUCAUGACUUGUAUGCAAAGACGCAGGUGAACUUAAUAUCAAUUGUGUACAGGUGGAUGUGUAAAACUUCGAUACAAUGCAACAUCCCCUCUAAAGUAAUACAAAAUUCUCACUAUGAGCUUCCUUGGCAGAUAUUACCUACCUUCGAAGACCUAAAGCCAUGGCAGAUAAUUACAAGCUCCUUGGAGCCUGUUUCAUGUAGUAUGCCGACAAGCUUCUCGCCAUGGUUGUUUCCUACUAUAAUUCUCUGCAACUGAACUGAAAACAACACGUAGGUUAGCUCUAUUAAAAGCAUUCCAACAACUUUAUAAAGCUUCAAUUACCUAGUGAUUACAAUUAGUUAGAAGUCAGAGCAACCUCAAGAGAUUACAGUUAGUGAUUAUACAUGAACUAUUAACCAAAUAUUUUACCCAUAUUUUACACACGAGUAAUCACUACUAAAAUUCAAUAAUUAAGAAAAAGACGCAAAUUACCUGGGUCUGAUACAGCCAUCCCAGGAGUUUGGGAAAUUUUAAUCCGGUGGCUCUUUUUAGUAUUUUAGGAUUCACCAAACAUUGCGGGUGUUUGGCGCUUAAAAGCACAGUCUCUGAGCAUACUCCCUCGUCCCUCCUGUGCUAGUUGACUUAGGAAACUUAUAAAGUGUAUUGAUUAAAAUUUUUAUUUGUAAAUGAAAAUUGCAUAUUUAAAAUUUUAUUUAUAAAAAUAAAAUUUUAAAUAUAAGUAAUAUAACUACGUGGUUAAUGGACUAUUUAAAAUCACCGAGCCGAUCUAAUUUGGGAUGGAUGGAGUAUUAUAAGUUAAAAGCACUUGUUAGUUCAAAAAAUAUUUAUAAAAAAUUAUUAAGAAUAUCAAGUUUUUGUUGUAUAUGUGUGUUUUAUGAAAACUUGGAAAAUAUCGAAAUUAUUGAUUAUUUCGGUAACUAUAUACGAUUGCUCAAAUCGGUUUAAGAAAGCGUAUUAAUAAAUAAAAUGUCUGAGUAAUAUUAGAUUUGGUAAAUAUUUUGAGGGAAAAGUUUUAAAACUUCAACUAAAAAUAUCAUAAUAAUAUUAACUCAAUUUUAAUAAAUUAUUUAUUUAAACAUUUAGAUUAUUUUAUUAGUUAUGAUUUCCACUUUUUAUUAUAUAUAUGAUAUAUUUUAUUGUAAAUAAAAAAACUAACAACAUAAAUUUUUUGAAUUGAACACCUCAUAAAAUUUAGUCUUCCAUAACCAAUUUUCAUAUUAUUCAUGAUAAAUAAAUAAGAGUAUAUAAAUUCUCAAUGUAAUUUUAACUUCUUCUCAAUGGCAUGCAUCUAAAUUUUAACUAGUUUUUUAACUAGCUUACAACCUAACUUGUUAUUUGUAAGUGACUUUUUGAAUAAUUUGUCGGCGUUUAAAGCAACUAAAAAUUACUAAAUUUCAUCAAUUUUAUAUAGUUUGCUCCAAUUUCCUAUUUUAACAAUAUCAAGUAAAUUUUUAAUAUUAUAAUGUUGAAACUAUAUUACGGAAGUUUAAAGUAUAUUGUCAUGCAAAAUUAUCAAGUUUCGGAACUGCUCUUGUGUCAUAUCAUUUUGAUGAAUAAACUGUUCUAAUGCCAACAUUAACUUCAAAAUCUUAUAUUUUUCAAAAAAUGCGCAUUCAUGAAAUCAAUGUAUUGUUUAAUGAAUAAAAAAUAUUUUAAAAAAAGUCCAACCAUUUCCAAAUUCCAAGUAUGAAAAAAGGUUCUGAGUUUAUUGGAGACUAUUUUGAUACGUUCUAAGAAUCAUUUGAAUUUCCAACUGAUGUUGGUAGAGAUUUCUAAUCAAAGCAUUACAAUUCCAAGUUCGGAAAAGUAUGGUAGAUAAAGUACAUUAAGAAAACUAUGUAAAAUAAAUAAAUUGCUGCAGAUCUAAUUGAUUUAGCAAAAGAGAAAAUUUAAUCUCUCUUCUACACUUUGUUUUAAGCUCCAGGCUGACAUAGUGGAAUGAGGAUUCUAAUGAUGUGGUACAUAGCACUACAGUAAUGUCCUUGACUAACUAUUUGCCUGCUAAUAUUAAUAUGCACAAAAACCAUUACACAAUCCUAUGCUAAGAUCCAACAGGAGCAACACCUUUUCCCUUGGCUGCAGCAGCAGCGGCAGCGGAAGCUGCUGCAGAAGCUGCAGCUGCCGCAGCUUCUGCGGCUGCCGCAGAAUCUGCGGCAGUGGGUCCUGAGGGGGGGACUGGGGUGCACUUUAUAUUGCUUUGGGCUGCAACCACCUUUUGUUCUUGCUGGUCAGAAUUGAACUGAGCGAGAAGGGCCUUGAUCUGACUUCCACUAAGCGUCUCACGCUCAAGUAAAGCAUUGGCAAGUGCAUGGAGCUCCUUCUCAUGGGUGGUGAGAAUGGUUUUUGCAUUAUUAUAUGCACUCGCCAAUAAUUCUCGGACUUCUUCCUCAAUGAGAAGUCUAGUCUCAGUGCUCAUGCUUUUUCCAUUGUCAUCAUAAUUGUGAGUAACAACCCCUACUUGUUUGCUCAUUCCAAAUUUUGUAACCAUUGCUCUGGCAAGAUUAGUUGCUUGCUUGAGAUCAGAAGAUGCACCUGAUGUAACUUCAUUUUCACCAAAGAUAAGCUCUUCUGCAACCCGCCCGCCCAUGCAAACAUUAAGCCGAGCCAGCAUCUGCUUACGGGAUAUACUAGUUUCGUCCUUAUCUGGUAACUGAGAAACCAUGCCAAGAGACAUACCUCGAGGAACAAUAGUUGCCUUGUGUACUGGAAGAGCCCCAUCAGUAUGGAUUGCUACCAACGCAUGGCCACCCUCAUGGAAAGCGGUUAGCUUUCUUGAUUCAUCUGAUAUAACAGCUGACUUGCGUUCACUGCCCAUCAAGAUCUUGUCCUUGGCAUAUUCUAAAUCAGCCAUGCUCACCGAUUUGGAACCAUCCAUAGCAGCCUUGAGAGCUGCAACAUUGACCAAAUUUGCAAGAUCUGCACCAGAAAACCCUGGAGUUCCUCUGGCAAUUAUCAUCAGAUCGACAUCAUCUCCCUUUAAAACCUGUCAAAUGGUGUUUAGAUACAUAUUCGAUAGAGUUACCCACAAUCUCAAGUAUUUUAAGUUUCAGAAAUAACCGCCUGCCUAUGGCUUCAUCACAAUCAUAUUAGGUGCGAUUUAAAGCAAGCAUACAGAACACCAACAGAAAAAGCCUCGGGAAGUGUCCUUAGCUGAGACACCAAAUAACCAUGAUUAUUAAUAAGAUAAUACCAGCCAAACCAGAAAAAAAAUAGAAGGGUCAGGGAAGAGUAAGCUGUACAAAGGACCCUACUUUUAAGGUGGAGGUUAGUUUUUGUGAAGACCUAUGCUUUAAAAAGGUUUAUAAGAUUUUAAAAAUUAUGCAAGUAAAUUAAAAGUUCCUUAAGAUAACAAGAAACAACAAUGGCAUGAAGUAAUGCAUAUACAGUAAUUUAAAAAGAAAGUGCGUAAGUACUAGAAAACCCUCACAUAUACAAUUAAAUGGUCACUUGCAAUUUUAAAUGAUUCGAAUUGCUAGUUUGCAGAGAGAAAUCCCAAAUACAGAGACUCUUAGUCAUAAUUGACAAACUAGCAAGCACUUUUGAGAAUGUUGGGGCCUGGGGGUGUUAUCACAUGCCCUGUUAGCAUGUGAUAAUUAAAUCAAAAUCGGAAUACUACUGUUUUCACAAAUAUGUCAUCCCUUACAAGUUUGUUUUUACUUGUUCUUACACGCCAAUGCACUCAUUUAAUUUAGUGAUGCUCAUGGAAGAUAAGUCACUUUAAAAACUACCUUAUAAACAAGAGAGUGACUCAUAGAAACUUUAAUGUUCAAAUAAAAAUUGAUUGUCAAGUAGAUGAUUACAAAUACUUUAUUAAUUUUAAUUAGUGGUAGUAGAGUUUAGUAAAAGAAUUUGUGACAACCCGGGUCAAAUCCCGAGUCUUUUUCCGAAAAUCGGGUCAAGUCCCGAAUUCCGAAUUCGAAAAUAAGCCGAAAUACACUGGCCCAAUUGCAACAACUUGGGUAAUCCACAAGCCCACCACAGGCCCCCAAAAGAUCAUGAUUUGUUGGUGCAAUUAGUAGUAGUACUUAUGUUUAUAAACUGAACUAAAGUCCUCACACUUCCCGAUGUGGGACUGGGGUGUUACAAACUCCCCCACUUAAAUUCCUGACGUCCUCGUCAGGCCGAAACGGAUAGCCCAUAGGCCCAGAUCGAACCUCUCUAGCUAUUGUGGGAUGAUACCGGCUGGCUUCGUGUCCCCGCCUCCGGAUCUCUGUCCAUUGCGGGAUAAUACCACCAGCCUUCGUGUCCCCAACUCCGGCAACUUGACGAAUCAAGCUUUCGAGAGCCUGGCUCUGAUACCAUAUGUGACAACCCGGGUCAAAUCCCGAGUCUUUUUCCGAAAAUCGGGUCAAGUCCCGAAUUCCGAAUCCGAAAAUAAGCUGAAAUACACUGGCCCAAUUGCAACAACUUGGGUAAUCCACAAGCCCACCACAGGCCCCCAAAAGAUCAUGAUUUGUUGGUGCAAUUAGUAGUAGUACUUAUGCUUAUAAACUGAACUAAAGUCCUCACACUUCCUGAUGUGGGACUGGGGUGUUACAGCAUUGAACUCUGGAAGCUAGGUUAUUCUUAGAUUCGCUUCUUAUAUAUUUAUUACAAAGGAUUGUUAUUUCAAAGUGCUCAAAAGGGUCUGUUUGAGAGUGCUGUUAAAAAUUGCUAUGUUGUCAGAAAAAGUGCUGGUAAAAAAGGUGUUGUUGCAGAAAUCAGAUAACUGUUUGGUAAUAUUUUUGAUAUUUUCCUAUUUUAAGUUGUAACAUAAAAAAAUAAUGUUUUGGUGAGGUUUGAUAAUAAAAUCUGUAACAGCUUCCUACAAUAGCUGAAAAGCAGUUUUUUUCCAAAAGCAUAGGAGGACCUGCUUGUUCUAAAAGCAGCUUUUCAGCUAAAAACUCUUGUUCGACAAAGCUGCUGAUAGAUUUACCAAACAGUUUUUCACCUUCUUUUUAGCAAAAAGUUGUUGCUGUAUGCAACAACAAUGCCAAACAGUACCUAAGUAGUGGAAAUGUAAAAUUUCAUACAACAAGCCAAUACAGUACUUGAUACAACAGCUGUUAUAUACAAUAUUCAAUAAAAAAAAAAUCAUACUAUGAAUUCUAAGGUUGAAGUUCUAAGUUGAAAAACUGGCUUUUUAGUUUAGAAUUAAACAUUGUGUAUUAAGCACUAAAAUUUGGUUUCUUAUUUAAUGUAUUUUGCUAAUAUCGUGCGUAGAUGGACUAUAGUUAAGCCCAAAAAAACCCAUAGUAAAUCAACCUUUCUAUGCUUUCAACAAGUUCUAUUUUUGGGUUUUAGCAUGCAGCCACUAACAAUUGUCAAUUACCAAAUGAAUUCUGACAACAGAAAUUUUACCUUUGAAAUGUGAGAUUCCAUAAUCUGCCUUCGGCCUUCAACAUCUGGAUUUGGUACAACAAUGUGACGAUCAAAUCGUCCAGGUCUCACCAGUGCCUUAUCUAAUGAUUCAGGGAAGUUAGUAGCAGCAACUACUAUAAUCCCUUCAUUUUGUUUAAAGCCAUCCAGUUCAACGAGCAAUUGGUUCAAAGUCAUCUUCAUGUACUGCUGAUCUUUUGGGUUGCGACUACCUCCUAUGGCAUCUAUCUCAUCAAUAAAAAUUAUGCAUGGGGACCGCUUCUUUCCAGCUGAAAAUAGAUCUCUCACUCUUCGGGCUCCAACACCAACAAACAUCUCUUCAAACUCACUGCCGCUACAUGAGAAAAAAGGAACCCCAGCUUCACCUGCUAUAGCCCUUGCCAACAUAGUUUUGCCAGUGCCAGGAGGACCAACAAGCAGAACACCUUUUGGUAGCUUCCCCCCGAGACGAGUAAAGCGCUGUAACAAACAAGAAGCUAAGAAAUGCACAUGUAAAAUAAAUACUAAUGCCCAUUCGAAGUACUGUUUUUUUAUCUUCUAACAAAGAGGCAGUGGUACAAAAAGUUCUCUAAAAUUUUGAGAUGAUGUAAUUACCUUAGGAUCCCGAAGAUAGUGAACAAUCUCUUCUAGCUCUGCUUUUGCUUCAUCAACACCCUUCACAUCAUUAAAUUUUGUCUUAGAUUCCAUGGUUGGUUGCACCUCUUCUUGGAGACCAAGCCCUGCAGUGUAGAAAAAAGAAGAGGGUAAUGCUAAAAGAAAAAAAGACGUGUUUGUAGAAAGAAUAAAUCUCAGCAUACUAACAUAUACACUACUAACUCGCUACCUACAAUUUAGGAGCAAGUUAGAGCACAUCUUCUAGUUACUUUAUCACUUUCUACUAUUAUUUAAUGUCAGUUAAGGAUUAAAAAUACAAGUAAAAAAAAUCUAACCUAUAGUCUAUUUCCUUUUUAAUGCAUUAACUUUGUGAUCACAUAUUUAUCUUUUAUUAUGUAACAUUUUUGUACUUUAAUAAGUAUUAUAUAAAGUAACUUAUAUCAUGAUAUUUGAUAUUAAAUAAAAUAGUAUUUCUUUAUUUUUAAAUAAGAUAAUUUAUUAAUUGUACUUUACUUCUUUUUUUUUAAAUUUCAAUAGGAUGUUUAUCACUAUACAUAUGAUUCUCCAAAUAUUUUUGCCAUGAUUUGAAACAAUGUUAAUGUUAAUUCACUCAAAAGGUAGAAUACAAUGUGAUAUAAAGUUAUAUAAAGAUUUUUGCAUAAUUGUUUUUAACAUAAUCACGUUCAGUAAAAAAAAUUAUAUAUUCUAUAAAUAUAUUAAUUUUUGGUAAAUGUUUAUGACACAAAUAUAUAUGAUAUAUGAUAUAAUUUUCAUAGAAUACAUAUAAAUAAAAUUUUAUAAUAUAUAAAGUAACGUUUUUUUAAGGAAAAGUAUUGUUUCAAAAUAUGACACACAUCAGGAUCUAAAAGGGGAAAAAAUUGUACAUAAGUUUUGAUAGCAAUGAUACUCUUACAUUGAAACUAUAACAAUACUCUUACGUCAAAAGUCUAACAGAGACAAAGAAAAGAAAACCGAAUGAGAAGUGAUUCCUAAUCUAUUCCACAAUUCUAGGUCGUGAGUAAGUAAUGCAUACGUAUGUAUGCCAAGAUUUAUUCUUGGAGAAAAUUUAUUAUGAUACCAGUUUAUAAGUAGUACCUUUAGUUAUUCCUCUAUCCUCGAUAAGUGCCCCAACACCUGAAAUUAUGAGAAAGGCCAAACCUAAUGUUCGAACAGUACGCCACAACUGUUGUUUAAAGCUUCCUCCCUCAGUAGCCACCGUAUGUAUAGGAGCAGAGGGUGUUCCCAGACCACUGUCUUUUGUCCUUUUACCCACACUUCCAAAGGCUGAAAGGCCGCCAAUACUUUCUUCCCGCAUUCUACUAGAACCUGAAGCUCCUGUGUGGAAUUGUGUAGAAUUAAUAGUGAGUAUGACAUUUGACAACCCAAUGGAAUCAAUAGGACUUACUAGUGUAAACUUGAUCCCUGAUGUUCAUAUUAAUUACAUAUACACAAUAUUGCAUGUGUGUGUGUACAUGCAUGUGACUUUGCAGACAGUGAUAUGUUCAUCUCAAACAAAAGGUCUAUUUGGUGUCCCCACCCCAACGUCUAAUUUUUAAAUGGAAUGGCUCAGAAACAAUAUGUCCAUAUGUAUUGCAAUGGAUUAAACACAUGUUAAUAAAUUAUGAAAUAUUAUUUUAUCUAUUGAGAAAUCGCAACUAUAAAGCUAACAAGGCAUCUUUUGCAGCGAAAAUUGCAAAUUGUAUUUUUAAUUCUAUCCUCUGGAUGACUUCUAAUGUUAACCAUUGUCAUGGUUUUAAACCAAAACCAUAAAACGCAAAGUUGGGGACCGUUAUGUUGGUAAAGGUAAUAGAGGAUUGACAAUUCAGCCUAAAAGUGCAAUAUAUGUACAAAACAAAAGAUUUCCAAGAAACUUAAAAAUUCGGUGACCAUAAUUAUGUACAGUAUAAAAAAGAGUUCGAACUCAGAAGCAAGUUCUGAUAAGAAACUCACCUCUCUGUAACAUCUUAAGCAACUCACUCUCAUCCAACCUAUCAACUCUAACUAAUGCCUUGACAUAUUCAGCAAGUGCUGAUUGGCUGGUAUGCAAAGAAGGUUGACUUUCAAACAAUCUUAUCACUUCAUCUGGAUCAUUUCGCCGUAAAAGCUCUCCAAGAUAAGCUGCAUCACCUGAUCCAUCUGUAUCACGUACUCUCCGAGCUAAACGUCCAAUAUAACUGGACUGAAAACGACGAGGACCGCCAGACAGACUGCUCACUGCACAAGAAUGAAAAGGAAUUCAAUAAACUUAAUAUAUUGCACUGAAGAAUAAAAAGAAGGGCUUAUACAUGCACAAUGUUUUUCAAAUAGUUUCAUGAAAUAACUGUAUACUUGUUUAAACAGUAAAAAUAAUUUAAUAUAUAAAGUAAAGUAUACUACAUCCAAUUGACAACAAAAGACAGAGAUCUUAUUUCAGAAUGACCUUAGGAACUGAUAAUUAAUUUAUUGUUAAGGUAAUAGAUGUAGAGGACUCAGUUUUCGCUUGAUAAACUUCUUUAAACGAAAAAUAUCAACAAGCAUAGACAUACAGGUGACUGAAAGAAAUAAACAUUUAAAUUUUUAACAAGCUAAUAAUAUAGAACUGCAGACCUACAACCAUGUGAUAUAAAAAAACAUGACGUAAACCCCACCCCCCUUCUACCUAUCUUUAUGUGAAGACUGAAGAACAUCUUUUAAUUACUAUAACCAUUGGUUAUAUACAGAACAGUGUAUGUAUUUGAGUUCAAAGACUUUUGAAGUUUCAAGUCUUGUCAGUUUAUAAAAUAGAACAUUAAUCAACAGAUCAGAUAUAUGUGAGUAAUCUAAUAAGCCAAACGGGAAAAAUAUAUGGAAGGGAUAUGAAAUAUAAGUAUCCCUAUAAAUGCCCUUUUACAUGAAGAAAUUUCAACUUGCAAAAUAACUUUUUCUUCUAUUCCAAAAACAUGUAAUGAUGUAUUAACAUAAAACAUUAGUCAACUGGAUGGUUAUAUUAACAUUAACCUAUCAAAAUCAAGUUGGGAAGACUAACAUCAUGUUUGGUUUAGGUUUAUAAUUGUAAUUUAAUUCUUUCCUCCGACCCAUUCGUAAUCACCUAAACUAGAGCGCAACCCCCAAAAUGAAGAAGGAAUGCUCAUACCAAUUUUCUACCCACUUCUCAUCAUUUAUAUUUGCACUCUUGUUUUAAUACAAAGAAAAUCCCCCUACUACCACCAUUAUCCCCCUUUAAUUUCAUUCAUUCCAUUACAUUGUUCCCCACCAAACAGAGCUUAAGAACUAUACAAGUGCUUGCAUUAGAAUAAAGAAAAUUCCCCUAAUACCUCUGCUUCCGUCAAUCGCCCUUGAAGUAAAAUAAGACCUCAAAGACAACUUGUUCAAGUGAUUGAUCUCUCCGUGCUUUUCUGCAAACUGUUCAAUAAAAAGGAUUAACAGCAGAAAGACAAACUAUUUACUGAAGGCUGAGGCACCAAAAUAAUAUUAAAUUAAAUACUAAGAAGUGAAUGGUUCUAAAAUUCCCCGAUUUGGCCGAUUAAUCCCUGAUGAAUCCUCUGCAAGGUGCCUCCCCGGUUUGAUUUUCAAAAUCCAAUUAUUCACUGUAAUUUUUUUUACAUAAUAUGCUAUAUAGUAAAUCAAACUAAUAUAUCAAAUAUUAUUAUAAUAUUAUAAAAUAUCCAAUUUUUAAUCCCAUUAAUCCCUAAUCAGCACCUCCACCGAUUAUUACAACUAAGCUAAGAACACAUAAAAUAUCCUGAUAAAUGAAACAUAACAGAUAUUUAUGCAAUACCCAGAUAUAAAUUGUCUCGCACAAACCGAUGAAACAAGAAUCAAAUUAAAAAUAAAAAACAAAAUAAUCAGCAUAAAAAUAGGGGGGGGGGGGGGGGGGGGGNGAGCGACCUGGGUGAGAAGGCGCCUAAAAGCCAUUGUGGAUCAAGAAAACCCGAAACGAUCCAAACUUCGUCAGGAUAAAAUUUGUGUAAUGUAUGAGUGCAUAUGUACACGAAAAUUCGGAGUAACUAAUAGAGGAGAAAGUUGUUAGGUUAUGCAAUGGUCGCGAAUUGUCAUGACCGGGAAUGGUUUCUCUAGUUUGCGAAGAUACUACUACUGUCCGAGCCGUCGCAGAACAAAAUUAGCAGUGAUAUCAAAUCCCCGUGAGAGCGUGACUUUGAGCUUCUAGGAUAAACACACGCGUAUUGUGUUUAGUUUAACUAGCGAAAAAAGCCGCGCUACGGGCGGCGUGAUAAAUUUUGAUAUGAAUCAUGAUAUGAAUCAGUAUUAUAAUAGUAUAAAAAUUAUUUUGAAUCAUCAUCCCGUUAAACAUAUCACAAAUAAAAAAUAUUAUAAUUGAUAUACAAAUUUGUUUAAGUGGCCAUCCUUCGAAAUAAAAUACUAAUAAUAAAAUUGGUUGGAACACCCCUCCCGUCAAAAACAAUAUUAAUCCAUAAUUAUUACUUUUAUGAUAAAAUUAAAUAUUAUAAUUUAGAUCAAAAUUAGUUUGAGCCGCUCUCCUGUCAAACACAAUACUAAUAACAAAACAUCAUAAUUUAGAUAUUAGUUUGAGUCGUCUUACUGUCAAACACAAUACUAAUAAAACUUAUUCUAAUUAUGAUAAUAUUAAAUAUUAUAAUUGGAUAAAAAUUAUUUUGAACUGUGGUCUCGUUUUAACAAAAAAAUAUAUUAUAACAUAGAUAAAAAAUUAUUUUAGAAAAUAUAUUAUAACAUAGAUAAAAAAUUAUUUUAGCCACUUUCCCGUCAAACAUAAUACUGAUAGAAAAAUUAUUAUUAUUAUUUAGAUAAAAAUUAGUUUGGGUCGCUUCCCGUGCCCGUCAAACACAAUACUAAUCAAGAAUCAAUUACAUUAUCAUAAACUCAAUAUAUGAUUCCUAUUUUAUAUAUCCUAUUUCAUUUGUUAAUUAUUUUUAUUUUUUGAUUCCUAUAUAUUAGUUAAAAAUUAUUAUUUUUUUAUGGUUCUAAUUUUUUUUGCUAUUCGUUUUUUAUUGACUAUUAUCUUUACAAUCCUCUAUUUUAUAUUCGAAAUUUAAGAAAAUUAUAAGACUAAAUUGAACAUAAAAAUUGUACGUAUUACCUUACAAAUCUUAAAUAUAAAUUGUAUUUUAUCUAUGAUUGUUAGUUUAAAUAAAUAUAAUCCUAUUCCUUUUAGCAUUCCUAAAAAGAAAAGAAUUGUACUAUCUUUAGAAUCCAAAAAAAGAAAAAGAAUUGUAUUAACUUUUGGAAUCCAUGAACUUGAUUUUUUAAAUUAUAAUUAUAUUUUCUAUCCGAAAUUUAAGAGAAUUAUAAGAAUUUUUUUUUAUUAUUUUUAGAGUCCAAUAAAAAAAAGAAUUGCAUUACCUGUAAGAUCCUUGAACUUGAUUUUUGUUAAAUUAUAAUUAUAAUUUCUAUCCGAAAUUUAAGAAAAUUAUAAGAAAUUUUUUUUAUUAUUUUUAGAGUCCAAUAAAAAAAAGGAAUUGCAUUACCUGUAAGAUCCUUGAACUUGAUUUUUGGAUUAUAAUUUUAUUUUCUAUUCGAAAUUCAAGAAAUAUAUAAGAUUGAAUCGAAAUAUUAUCGAAAUUUUAGAGUAUUAUUAGCUUUAGAAUCCGAUAAGAAAAGAGUUAUAUUAUCUUUAGAAUUCUUAAACCUCAUUUUUUUGAAUUAUAAUUAUAUUUUUCCCUUCAAAAUUUAAGAAAAAUUAGAAAACUGAAUCGAACAAUUCUGAAGACGCCCGCAUCCUCCUUUAUAUAUAUAUAUAUUGAUGUAUUGCCUAUACGAUACAUGUAGUUCAAUUUAAUAAUUAAAAAAUAUUUAUAUAUUUUAAAUAAAUAUUUUGUUGAAAUUACCUAGAAUAUUUAAUUAAAUAAAAAAUUCAAAUACUGUUGAAUUCAAAUUUAUCACUUCUUAUAUUUAAUUUUAAAAUAUAUGGUUUGCGAUUGAAAAUGUAAUUUUGAUUUAAUUUUAAAAAGUGAUUUCUAAAUACAAUCACAACUAAUUGCUAAUCACAACUAAUUGAGGAGAUGGAGAAGAGAAGAAGGCAAGGAAGAAUGAUUUAUCUUUUACAAUUAAUGAGAUGGAGAAGAGAAAUGAGGAGAAGAAGGAGAGGGAGAAUGAUUUAUCUUUCAUGAUUCAGAUAUGUAUUAUAAAAGUUGACAAAGAAAACGACGAGUUUGAAGAACAUUUUUGGUGAGUUGAAGAACAUUUUCGGUGAGAAUGAUGAUUUUGGGACCGAUACCAUCACCGCUAAAGAGAGUGAUGGUUAGGGAUGACAAUGGGUUUAAUCGGUUCAGAAUUGGUCGGGUGAAACUAUCCUUUCUAAUGAUGGUGUAGUGUUUGGUGAGUGUGGUUGCGUAGCAGGUGAUUGUUCAAUUAUUAAAAUUUUAAAGUUGUAUUUAUGAUUAAAUUUGGUUGAUGAGUUGCACAAUAGCUGCAAAACUAAUUUUUAAAAAUAUUUUUUAAAAAUCGGUAAUCUUGAAUAUAUUUUUUUGAGUAUUUUUUGAAAGAACCCUAUAUUUUGUAUGUUGUUUAUGAAACUUAAAUAUUAGAAUUCUAAUAAUAUCUUAAUGAAAUUUUAAUUCAAUCUAACAAUUUUUAUCAUUUAAUUAUGGGAUCUAAUGAUUGUAAAAAUGAUCAAAUAUUUGUAUUUUGAAUUUUAACAAUAUUAACUUAUAACUUGUGUCAUUCAUGGAUAAUUUUUAAAAAUAUAUGUUUGUUUUAAUAAUUUAUAUGAUGUACGAAUAUUUUAUAUUAAUAUAUAUAAUAUAAUGUAUUUUUUUUAAGAAGCAAAAAGAAGACGCAAUAUCUUGAUUCAACAAAAUUGACAACUUCCUAAUACUUCUUGCAUGUUUGUUUCAUUACUGGUUGUAAAAUGUUGCAUUGAAAGAUGCUUGAUAUUAAAUUCACCCAGACAUGCUCUUGGUCUUGAUUUAGUUUCCAAUUAAAAAAAAUAGGAAGCACGAAAAAUAGAUAUGGAUUUUAUAAUAAGAUUUCAGAUCACUUACAAUUUCUAUUUUAAUUUGAUUAUAUCAUUAAAACACAAUGUCAUAUAUUCCGACAAAUUUUAUACAUGUCGUACGAAGACUAUUUUACAGCUUGCUCCCGAGUUUUUGUUAGGAGAGAAAGCGAGUGAAAGCAAGUGUUGCUCCCGAGUUUUUGUUAGGAGAGAAAGCGAGUGAAAGCAAGUGUUGCUCCCGAGUUUUUGUUAGGAGAGAAAGCGAGUGAAAGCAAGUGUUGCUCCCGAGUUUUUGUUAGGAGAGAAAGCGAGUGAAAGCAAGUGUGCUUUCACUUUCAUCUCACUUUUGGAGUGAAAGUUUUUGGAGUGAAACUAUACUAUAUUUGCACUCACUUUCACUCACUUUCAUCUCUUUAAAAAACUCGGGAGCAUGCAAAGGAGUGAAAGUUAGAUAACUUUACUUCCUCUUCACUUGCUUUCCUCCCAUUUUAAAACUCGGGAGGAGGGUGUUAGCUAAUCAUUUGUAUCCAACACUGUUGAAGACUUGAAAUGGCUCUAAUUAAAAUUUAUUUUUUUUUCUAAUAAAAAUUUUGGGUACAUAUUUAUAAUUAAAAAUUCUAAAUAAAAAAUAUUAUUAUUUUAAUUAAAAUUCUUUUAACAAAUUUUUAUUAUAUGAUCAAAGCAUCCAAAAUCACCUCCAAAUAGUCAAAUCAAAUGACCAAUAAAAAGUCCUGACAAAGAAAAAUGACCUAUAAAAAGUAUUCCAGGGAAUCUAAAUAUAAGGUUGCCACUUGCAUAUCAUGUACCGUUCGAUAUUUGCACGUAUUUUGAGAUUCUUAUAAAAUAUAAUUAUAUGAUUUUUUUAAAAUCUUUUAUUUUUUGAAUAAAGUUUAAAUAUCAAAUUUUUAUUAAAGAGAUAUUUUUUAAAAAUAUAUUUUGAAACUAUAAUCAAAAUGAAUCUUAAAAAAGAUGAAAAAAAAAGGUGGGGAGAGAGGAAGCCCGUGAAAUGUGAAUCCCAACUUUCUUUAUUAGAUGUGCACUCGUCAUACUCAAAAAAGAGCAUCAUAUCAUGUGAAAAAACAAAAAAGUAUGGCUUCGCCCGGGCUCGAACCGGGGACCGUCUGUGUGUUAGACAGACGUGAUAACCAACUACACCACGAAACCUUGAUGUUAAGGGCUGGAAGUUUAUUUUUUUAUUGAUAUACGAUUCUCAAUAUAAUGUAAUGGGAUGAGUAAUGACUGAUCAAGAUUCAAGGGUAGUGCAAAGAUAUUAUUGACCUAGAGAUGGCAAGUGUAGUUAUGUAAUUUGUGCUUAAAGAAUAAGUAGUUAUUCACGGUAGAAAGCAAUUAUCCGAAUUUGUUAUCCCAUUUCAACCUGAAAUAUAUCCUUCCCUUGACCGUGACCAAGAUACUCUCUUUAUUCCCAUAAUUACAUCAGCACUUGCUAGAUAUUUUAGGAUUUCAUUAAGCUUUUAUAAUAAUAAAACAUAAUAAAAUAUUUCAUUCUUUUUCCUUAUAAAGAAAAUAAUAUAUAUGAUUCAGUAUCACUAAUUUCAAGCUUUCAAUUAAUUCACACCAAAAGCACCUGACAAAAAAAAAACAAAAAACAAGAGGAUACCUGAGAAGAUUCCAUCAGAUUUUUAUUUUAAUUUUUCACCAUCAAAUUUGUAAAAGAUAUGUCGUUCCGACGAGAUUCAAAUUUCUAUGUAUUUGAGCAUAGCAAAGAUAUUUAAGUAAAAUUGAAACAUAUAUAAGCUAAAAUCGACUUAAUGCAUGAAAUACAAAAGCCUGGCUGCUACAGAAUAAAUUACAAUACCAUCAUCAUCAUUCUAUUUCUAUUCAAGCUCCCCAGAGCACCUAUUUCAAUGAGCUUGGGAACAAGAUGACCACUCAGAUGAAGUGCCACAAGGCUCUCAAACCCUCCCACACGUGUCCCUCCGAUGAACACUGCCGGCGCAUUCUCCCCGGCGGCGGUUACCUCAUCGUCCUCAAGCUCGAUCACCGUUGGAUGAACGCCGAUAUUCGACAAAAGCUGCUUCAUCACGUGACACAUGCAGCAACUAGAAGAGCGCGUGAAGAUCACGACGGGGUUCUCGGAAAUCAGCCGGUGGAUUCUCAUCUCCGGUGACUCGGAGACAUCGAUGGCAAGUGAACAAGUAGGUGGAGUGAGUUCUAGGCGGACGCCGCCGUCGUGCAAUCGAAGUCCGUUCAUGUCCGGCCGGCGGGAGAUAUUAUUUUGUGUAGGAGAGAAAUAAUAAUAUAAAGUGGCAAACAAAUAAUGAAACAGAGACGGAUGGAGUGAGUUGUAAUUUAUAGACAAUCUUUGUAAUUAGUGUGAUAAGUAAUAUUAUUUAAUUUUUUUGAUAAAUUAAAGCUACAAAGUGACGUAUAUUGCUAAUGAUGUCAUAUUGAAGAAAUAAAAUUACUGGGAUUAUAGAGUACUUUCGAUGAAGAACUAAGAAGACAUAGCCUCUCUCUCGUCGUAGCCGUCUGGGGCUUCCAUCGGUUUUCACCGGUGGAAAGCCCCGAAUCACUUGAUUGCUUUGUUUUUCUUUCUAGUUUUCUGAAUAAUACAUCUUCUCGGGAAACUUAGAUCUAAAACCAUCGGAGAUUUCCCUGUCUCUCUUCCAAGCGGGUGAGUUUCAGUCUGAUUUCUCUUGUUUUUGUGGUUUUGCUCCGGAUCUAUUCUCGGGAGAAUUCUUAGAUCUAAAACCAUCGGAGAUUUCAGUGUCUUUCUUCUCUGUUUUCAAGCGGGUGGAUUUUCAGUCUGAUUUCUCUUGUUUUUGUGGUUGUGCUUCAGAUCUAAGGUUGUUUUCUCUCCCUGGUGAGAGUUUUGUUUUUCGCUUCUUAAUUGUAAGCGGGGUUUUUGAUUUGGUGAUGAAAGUUUGUAUGGAAUCGCCGUUUUGGUCGAUAGCUCAAACGAUAGCUCUGUCAGGGCAUGAUGAAGAGGGUACCAGUAAUUCAACGAGGAUGCAUGAAACGGGUACUUGUAUUUGUAUAUACAUUUUCUUCAAAAUAUCGUUUAACUGUCUCCUUAUGAGAACAGGCGAUUGCAAAUUACUGUUUGUUCGACUCGAUCAUUGGUGUAGAUGCCGUAUGGCUUUUUGUUAUUAGAUUAACACCUUUGCUUCAAAAAAAAAAAACUAAGAAGACAUAAUUAUGUGAUAUUUUUUAUUUUGUAUUAUGCUGAGUAUAGGAUCAUUGGGUUUUUUCUUCUGAUGAUGAAUAUAAUAUAUAAUAUUAAUAAGUAACGAAUAUUGGAACUCGCGUAUGUUAUAAAUAUCGUGUUUAUUUUUUCAAUUAUUGGAGAUCGAAAAUAAAAAUGUGAGCUGUGAUUUGGAAGUAUGUGAGCUAAAGUUAAUAAGAGAAAAGUGUUGCUAAAUAUUUGCAGCACAUGGGCUGAUGGGCAUCACUAAUUUCUACGUGCGUCACUCUCUCUCAGUCUCUCCGAAUUAUUAUCUGCUUAUGACGUAGCAUUUGGUAGGUUAUUAUCGAAAGUGCCACACCUUUUUUUUUUUUUCUUGAAUGCCAGGUAUUGCAAUUAAGAAUCAAAAUUAAUCUAUUGGCAUAAUGAUUUAGGAAAUAUUUUUGAUAAUUUAGAGAGUUUUAAGCAAAUCAGAAUAUAAUCAGUAAAUUUUUAUUUUUUUUUAAAAUUAAUAAGAGGGUAGUCAAUUUAUUUUAAUAAUUCGGGAUUUUAAGAGCACUAACAGUAAGCGAGAUAUAUUUGUCGGUUAAGUGAAAAUAUAAAAAUAAAAAUGAGUUGAUUACAAAUUUAAACAAAAAAAGAGUGAUUUAUUAAGCAGUAAAGCAAAAAGAAGGUGAAUAAAAAAAGAGUUGCAGACGCAGAGUAAUGAAAGCAAAGGAGGGGGAGUGGAGGGGGCACCAGCCACCAGGAAUAUAUAAAAACAAAAAAGAGAGAACGUAGUGAAGUAGUGUUUAAGGAGGACCGUCGGUGGUGGCUUAUUAUUUUUGCGGUGGGCUUGGAUUACGUCGCCAUUUUCACUCUUUCUUUUAGAUUCAUGGAAUAUUACGGUCUCCAUGGAAUCUUGCAAGUCCUGUCAACUUACCUUGCAAAACCAGUACUCCCUCCGUUGAAGUUGAAAGCGUACAUUCGGGAGGGAGGGUCUGGUGCGUAUUAAAAAUUCAUAUAAAAUAUAAUUUAUAAAUUAUUUUAAUUUUUUAUUUUUGAAUAAAAAUUUAGUGUCUAAAUAUUUAUUCAAAAAUAUAAAAUUUUAAAAAUAAGGUAUUAAAUUAUAUUUUAUAGAAAUCUUAAAAUACUUGACAAAAUACUGUAGGCUGUAGCAAGAAAAUAGCCGAGAUUUAUAUAUAAAAAAAUUAUGCUGAUUUUUAAAACAAAACAUGAGUGAAUAUCAUUUUAUGGCUGGCGAUACUUCAACUUGAACAUAAAUUAGUCCUCCUGGGCCGAACUAAAAGGGUUUCCAACUCAAAGUCUUUACUUGUAAUAAAAGAAAACUGAAGAAUUUCACGCUUUGAUACUGUUAUAGAAUUCGGUAUGCGUUCCAAUUCUUGCAUUGUAAAGCAGGAUCAAAUUUUUCAGGACAUCAAUAUUAAUAUUGGUGUCCAAAUUAAAUGGUUGGAAAUGAUAUAUUAUAAUUUUUGGUAGAUUAUAUAAAAAUAAGUAGAGGGGUCUCUCCAAACCUUGCUAAAAAUAAUCUACAAUUUGGAAAUCUGUAGUUUUGUCUGAAACCGAGGAAGUUCUGAGACAUAUUGAUGAACACAGGCAAGACAAAGGAUAUUAUAUCUGUUUUCAGACACACUUGAAUUCUGAGUUAUUCUGUAGUUUCAGCACACAAGACGGGUGACACUAACAUACAAAACAUCCUUGGCCCAGAAUUCAGGAUUUUGAUGUACGUUUGAUAGCUCUAACCUUAACCCCAUGCUUGAAAUUGAGAACUAUGCCAUAGUCCAGUCCCAGAGGUUUUUCCAUGUUGGGUGAGUGACAGAAUACAUAAUUUCGAUACAAAUGAAUAAUGGAGAGUUUGAUUUCUUGUAAAGAAAAUUUACUGCCGAUGCAUGCCCGGGGUCCUAUUCCAAAGGGGAUGUGUGCAUAUGGAUGCCUUUGCUUCUCUUCUUCACAGUUGAGAUCAAAUCUUUCUGGUUUGAACUUUUCGGGCUCUGGGAAAUUCUUCGGAUCUUUUGCUAAUACUCCAAGAGCCAACCACACCCAUGUCCCCUGCAGAUUCACAUGCGGAUCAUGAUCAUACACUAAAAAUUUACUUUCAAUUUUGUUUCUUUUAGGCCUUUCUUUUCUGGCUAGGAAUAGAAGAUGUUACCUUUGGGAUGAUGUAGCCACCAAUUUCGACUUGUGCUGAUGUCUCUCUAGCAACUAAAGGAGACACAGUAUAAAACCUCAUGGCUUCUUUAAUCACCUGCAAUAUUUGCUGAUGUUAAUUUUUAGCAAGAAAAGGUAUCACAGGAAGUGUUGAAUUCAAGAAAGAAGAUCAACUAGCCUGAUCAAUAUAAGGGAACUUGUCUUGUAGAUCAUCAGCUGUUGGGAUCUUUUCUCGGGGGCCAAAACCGUCAAUCUCUUCAAGCAACUUCUUCUCAACUGCUGGAUGCGCAGCAACUAGGUAAAUGAUUGUGGAUAGCGUAAACGAUGUAGUAGCUGACCCAGCAAGAAGAUGCUCGUAUGUCACAGCACUUAUGUAAUCAGGAGUGAAGAACUUAGACACCGUCCCGGACUCCCUUGCUUUUAAUAUAAGUGACAAGAAAUCUUUUGAACCAUUAUCCUUUUGUGCCAUUUUCUUCAUGACAAUCUCAUUAAGCCGACUACUUAAGUUCUGGUUAGUCCUAUCUACUUUCCUGUCUAGAGUCCCAGGUAUUCUCUUAAGAAUCUGCCGAAAUGGUUCUUGAAGUAUUGGAAGUAGGAGACCAAGAAUGAUCGAAAAGGAAGCUGAUAAGUCCAUCUUUAGAGUAGUUGUGGAGUAAAUAUGCUGCUUAAUGAAGUCCUCAACUCCCUUAUCGUUGUCAUUGCUUGUCGAAUUUUUGACUGAAGCAGUGCAUUGCGGCUUAGACAAACCAAAAUCGACACCAAAAGCAGCCUGUCCAAUUACAUCAGUGGCCAACUUAAGUGAAAGGUCAGAAAAAAUUAUAUCUUCUUCUUUAGAGGGGAGAAUUUGAGUAGCAGAAACGAUGUAGUCUUGCAUUACUGGAACUAGUUUUGCUAGGUGCGAUGGCUGGUAAACAGAAAGUAUCGUGUUCCUCAUGGUUGACCAUCUGGUAUCCCUGGCAGAAUCAACAGUUCACAAAACAGAGAUCAUAAAACAAAAUAAGUUGCUUCUUAACAGCCUCGUAUAUAAUUCCUCUACCUCAAGAGCAAAAGUAAAAAAACAUACCUGGUGAAAAAUAGACCUUUUUGAUGAAGGGGAGAGGAUGCAAUGGGAGAUGGAAUGCUUCUGUUUGGGAUGUCCUUGAAUUUUUUAAUUCCAACUUCUCUACAAAGCUCUGCAUCUGCUAUAAUUAUAAGUGGUUGUCUUCCCAUGUGAAACCUGAUCGAUAUAACAACUGACUUAAUAUAUUAUUAGCUCAAAAUUACUUGUGUUUCUUGCAAAUUACUUGGAAAAAGAUAGCACAGUCAUUAUCUUGGAAGAUAACUUUGUCACUAGAAUUAAGUUGUUCAGGACUUCAGGUACAUGCCCCUCAUUAGAUUAAUUCACGAUAAAGGGUUACUUUGCAUUAGAAAUUGCAUGUCACUUCAAUUAGUGUCGCAUCCCUGACCCUGUUCCACUAUUACGAGUAGAAAAAGGCAUUUAAAUGAUACUAAUUUACCAAGUAUGACUUUACCAUAACUUGCUGCUCCUUUGAGAACCAAGCAGUGAUGGUGGGGUAUCUUAAAAAAGAUGUUUCAAGACCUUUAACACAACUAUUUUAACUGGUUGUAAAGUACAUUCAAGUCUGUUCCACCAGAUGUCAACUUUUAGCUGGUAAGCAAUAACACAUCAUCUCGAAAAAAUAUCACAGGACUUCAAGCAUGCUCUCUGCCUGCAGUUUACAAUACUAUGCCUAUUGUAGAUAUGCAUGGUAUUGGAAUUCAAGCAUUUAAACAUAAACACUUCAGUCUCCAGGGAUCUCAAGUGAACCUUAGAACUAGGGUUGACUUCUGAGAGAUACAGAUCUAUCUGAUAAAAACCAAACCAAACUAAUCAAAUGAAACUAUGCACUGACCUGAAAAUGGGGCCAUAACGUUUGGCAAGAACCGAGAACACAUCAGGACCAUACUUAGCAAGCAACGGCAAGUGACCUACAAAGGGGAAAGAAGGAGGACCAGGUAUUCUCCUAACUCUCCAAUAAGGUCCAUAGCAGUAACACAAAACAGCAGCAAGCAAAGCUAACAAGGAGCAUAUAGCUGAAGAGACAGGUAACCUUGUCAGCAUCAGUCCAAGCUCUGCAAGUCUGUGAGAAGCUUCACUUAUGAAGUCCAUUUUGUGAGGAGAAAUUUGUUACUGGAAGAAUUUGAUGGUAAAUGAAAUAAAUAUAAAGAGGGGUGUCAAGAAACUAAGAAAGCAUCUUAAUGAAGAGCAAUCAGCAGUUUGGUAAUUGUCCUUAUUGUACAUGAUAAACAAUGUAGGAAAAUGUAUGGUGGGUCCUUUAUAUUAUACUAUUUUUUGUUAUAUUGCCUUAAAUUUUAAUCAUUCUUUCCACACUUCAUUAUGCUGCUCUUAAGCUGUUGGAAUCUUUGGCUUUGAUUAUGUAUCACUGGUAUAAAGAAGACUGAGAACCAUAGCCACUGUAUCACCUUAGAAAGGAUGAGUUAAUUAUUCCACUCCCACUCGUCUGGUUCCUAAGCAAUAUGACAAACCUGUGGACUCUGUAAAUUGUGCUGAUAGAAUCUAAAGAAAAUGAAGUUUUAGGUCUUUUUGUCAUGAAGCCUACUAUGAUUGAAAAUUUUGUUUUUCAGUUGUCAAUUGACCCGCUAUUAUGUUUUUAGGCACUGUUUGCUACCACUACCACCGGGAGGUACAGUCAUUAGAUAUAUACCAGUCAUUAGAUAUACCUGCUCACCCGAAGUGCAAGUCAAUUUAUUUUAUGAGUAAUGACUUUCACAUUUUCUUAGUUCCUAGUUUUUGGAAGUGAUCCAGGUGUUUCUCAUGAAUAUCAUAUAAAGCAAAUUUGCUGAUUUAUGGUAAAAAGGUCAGUAUAUACUUCAUUAAUAUUUUUAGUAGGUGUGUUUGAUGUUGAAACAUGGAAAUAUGCUUCCUUAAAACACCAUGGAUUCUUUUUAUAUCAAGUUUGUCUUGAUGUUUGGUGAUGACUGAUGAGAUUUAUAUCAUAUAUAUAUUAAUCUAAACGGCUUAGAAUCUGUAUGUGUUUGUAUAUUAUAAGCAUUAUGAGACAAUGACAGUAUCGAACCAAUUUCAACUCUAGUUUGUCUUCUUCUUUAAGAUAGAUUCCGCAUCAACAUUUUCCUCGUUGAAAUCUCCUCCCGACCUACAACAAACCAGCUGACCAACAAAUCUGAUGUUAAUCAGCAAAGAGUAAACUUACUUGAUAUAUUUACUAUGGAUUUGGCUCGAUUCACUUGAUCAGCUAGCUUGUCUCUCUCAUUGCGCCUUUUCCCUAUCUGAUAACCAUGGACCCUGUAAUUGACCUAUUCCAUUAUCAUGUUUCCUUCAAAGCAAAAGAACAUAAUUUCACCUAUCAUAGACAAUACAAUGUCACUGACAGCUAUUAGUUCCACUAGUAACAGUUGCCAGAAUGUCUUACUAUGAACAGAAUAACUUACCCCUACUAUUAUAGGUACGUCGAGAAGCUAAUCCUUCAUAAAUGUGAAAUGGUGGAAUGAGAGCUAGCAGCAAUUCAAACAAUGUUAGUCCUGGUACUAUGAAUAGCUUUCAGUUUAGAUGUGUAUGCAACUGUUGACUACCACUUACAUGGAAUGAGAUAACAAAUAAAGAAACAACCAGAAAUAGUGUAGAAAAUUCUUCUGUCCAAGCAAUCAAGUGCCAUAUCCUAUGGACUCCUGCGCUCCUCUCGUAUAGAGAUGAAGGACCACAGCAACAACGUGCUUUGAAUGUUAUUGAUGUAGGUUAUAAGUUAUCUGCAUCAACCAAGUUUACUAAUUAAUGAAGUGGCAGUAACCAGCCGCCAUCAAUAAUCUCUUAGCAAAUUUGCAAGUUUUUUAAGUCUCAUACAUGCAGCUAAUUUGGAUACUGUUGCCUAUCAAAGUUUAAAGCAUAUAGAGCGACAAUUACAACUGCAAACCUUAACACUUCCAAGUUAAAACUAUUUCUCAUAGGCAAAACAGAAGGAAACAAACAAAAAAAACGGCAACUUAUGCUGCAAUUUUGCCCUCAAUUCGAGUCGAAUGCAGGACUCACUUUCACUAUUAGUACCCAAAUCAGUGUUCUUGCACGGCAAACUCAUAACAUUACAAUAUCAGCUAUGAGCUAAAAGGGAGAACCCUAAUUCUGUAUAUCUUACAUACCACCACCUAAAAGGAUGACCCAGUGUUUUGGAGUACUUAUACUCCCAGGGAUAAACAAGAUUUCUUUUAACCCACCUAUACCAAGUUUUUCAUUGCUAGGUUCUUUUUCUGAAGAUUAUAUAGAAAGUAGUCUACAUGUAUAUAAGGUGCAGAAGCCCAGUACUUGCAAAUGAUAUAAUUAGACACCAUGUAAAUCUACCAAUAUUAAUUAAGGUGCAGAAACUCAGUACUUGCACAAAAUAUAGAUCUUGACAUACAGAUAAAUAUUUCAAACUCAUGUCUGGACCUCCUCUUCAGUAAACAGAUAGUUAUAUCCUAGAAAGGCACAAAUGAAAAACAAAUUAACGUUCACAGGGUAAAUUAAGGACUGAAAAAUGUAACAAUAAAUUCAUGAAAUUUAAAAGGACUGAAAAAUGUAACAAUAAAUUCAUGAAAUUUAAAAGGACAUAAUAUCUUGAAAAGGAUAUAACAUUGUGUCUCUUCCCUGCAAAUCCCUUCACCCCUGUUUUAUAAAAAAACAUAUUAGCUACACGCUUUAAAAAGAAAAAGCAGAGGAACAAAUAGAAUAACUGUACUCGGUACCAACGAUUAUUAGGGGAUGAAGUUGAAAGAGACGACCACAUUAUGACACCACGUACAACACAGACACCUGAAACAGAAUCCUUGGUCAUAAUUGACCAUUCAUGGAUUUGACCUGAGAUAUUCCAGUUGAUCAAUAAGUGGCUUUAGAUCCUCACUAUCCCAGUCUGGUGAAUUUGCAGCAAAAUCUUCCACUUCCACACCUGGAAGAUCAAUAGCCACCUCUUCUUUUUCUGCAUUCACAGUUGCAAGAUUAUUAUCAAGCAACUCCUCCCAAAUAAUCUCAUUUACAGCAUCCAACUCUCCACCACGCGAUGAAACCAUUUCCUCCUUUACACCACUAGUUGCCCCUGGGUCGAGUGCAUCUGAGAAAAAUGACUCCACAUCCACUCCCGUAUUUGCUAGCUCUUCUUUUUGCUGAUAAGAAUAAUCUAAACUCUGUGUUUGCAAGUCCUCCAAACUUUGGCUUGGGCUCAUAGUUAGUCUGCGUUUCCUCCCCAUAUCAAUUUGAUUCUGAUCCAUCUUUUGCACAUACUUGUCCAGAUACUGCUGCAUAAAUUCAGGACUCCUAAGUGCCUGUGCGAGAAAACUCAUCAUACGUUGCUGCUUAGACUCCAAACUCUGAAUUUUAUCCUCCAUUGCUGCGAUUACAUUCUGUGAGUCCUGCUGUUGCUGUCUGAGUUUCACAAUUUCUGCAGAUAGAAUACUGCGAUCAUGCCCGAGUUUUUGAAGCUCUUCUUCAACUCCAUAAUGGCCUAAUUCGACACACAAGCCACCUCCUUGCUGCUGUAUUCCCUGUGAGGUGGCAUUUCUCCUCCUUUUGAUAGUCUUCAAGAGAUGCUUCUGACCUCCCAGAAACCCCUCAUUCGCAAACUCCCAUCUGUCGGGAUCCACUUUCCUGAAACCCUGCAAUUUCAAACAUUUUAUCCCGUCAGUAAGCUUGAAAACAAGGUAUUAAGAAUCCCCUUGAACACAUUCGAUUUCCAAAGAAAAAAAUCAACAUUUUAUACAUUAGUCUUCAACAUUUCAACAUAAAAGCAAUCAACAAUCAAGACACCAACUAACAACCAAAAAUCAUAACAAAGAACCAUAAGAAGCAAAUCCAACGAAAAGACAACAAAGAAAAAAUUAGGAUUACCAAUGUGUAACAGAACUAUAAGAGCAAUCACCCUAGUGAAUAUUUAAUCGACUGAAAUUGUUUACCCUACAGAAUCCUACACAUUCUUGGACUUGUACAAAACCUAAUUCAAAAUAAAUAAAUAAAUUAAAAUUCUCGACCACAUGCAGCAAAUUAUGAAUAUGGAAAUGAAGCUUAAGCAAAAUCCCAACUGAGCAAACACAGAUCAAGAGAAGAAGCCACAUAAUAUAAUCCAGUACAAAGCAGAAACAUGAAAGUACUUACAUAGGUAUUGAGCUGGCGAACAAAACUAGAGAAAUUACUAUGUUUGAAGCAUUUGGAGAGCAGACAAGUCGAGAACUUGUAAGGAUCCCAAACGAUGAAGCUAUUCUUAGCAGCACUCCAAGACACAACCGUGUCAGUAGCCGGGUCUUGAACCAUAUCAUAUGUCUUUGUAAGAAAUGGAGGUGGCCCCACUUCAUGCAAUCCCUCCAUUGGCUGAGGUGAUGAACCAGCUGCUGCUUGUUUCAUUUUCUGCCCAUCCAUUACUACCAGGUAUUUAUGUGAAGAAUAUGAUUGAGGAAGUGAUCAAGUAGAUUAAGCAAGUGAUUAGUUAGUGAGUGUUUGAGAGAGUGGGGAGUGUUAAUAUUGAGAGAUGAUUUAGACUUUAGAAAGUUCUUGAAAAGGAUGGAAUGUUCGGGAGAAGAGUGGGCAGCGGUUGAAGUUUCUGACACUUUUGUCUCCUCUUGUCAACUUGUCUUCACUCUGAGUGGACGCUGCUGGGCCACACAGUGUGAGUACUUGGGCUUUGCAUCCAAUCCAUGCUUACAGUUUCAGUCUCAACCAGAUUUUUAGUGACAGGGAACUAGUGCCUACAUUUGUCCUCCCGAGAAACGAGAUUUUUUAAUUUUUAUGGACAAGCCGUCGAUUAGUUGUAAACUGUAAUGUCCUCGUUUGACUAAUUUCAAAAGUCGCAUAAUUAUUGGGGACAAAGGGAUACUCCGAUUUUAUUAUAUUUUUCUUUUUAUUAAUAAUAUAUAUUUUUUAAUUCAAAAGAAUAAAAUAAAAAAAUUAAUUUUAUUCCAUCUCAAAUCUUUUAAAAUUACAAGUAAAAAGUUACAUACACCAUAAAACCCAAGAAAACAGAUUUAAAAGAUAUAGAUUUUCAUUAUUGAAAAUAAUUUGAAAGUACGCGAAAAUAUCACUUUAAACAUUAAUGAUGAUUUAAAAAUAAGUGAAAUUAUUGUAAUAUAACACCAAAAAUGAAUACAAUAUAGUACCAAAAAGUAGGUUUUGAUACCAAACACAACAAUUUUAAGUGAUGUGAUUGUUACAUAACCCUCUAUAUUUUACUCUAAAUAAAGAACAAGAGAACAAAUUUGUUUCAUAAGCAGGUAUACAUCGCUGUUACUCUUCUACAAUAAAAGAGAGAGAGUAUGAUGUAUAUAGAGAGAAUGGAGUUCUCAAAAUUAUCCCAAGUGUGAAUUGCAAAGGGGUAAAGUAUUUUUAAAGCGCACGAUAUGCUGUUGUCGGAUGGUGUUUAUUAUUUCCGAUGAAAGCCGGACCAGGUGGUAAAAAUUCCGACCGAUUGUUGGCCACUUGGCUACAACUGUAAGAACAUAUCAAACACAACCUUCAAACCAUUCUUUGCUUAGACUGCUAAACUGCAGUAAGCAGAUACAGACUAGGUUAAAAACAAUAAAAACGAAAUAGUGACAUUCAUUAGCUAAUUCAAAAUAUAGACCACUACAACUAUAGAAAAUACAGACCGAUGCUUCUUGCUCAAGGGCACCUAAAAAUAUCAAAUUCAACUGCUUUAUGCCAGGCCACAAGUAUGCUCGACAACCCCAUCAACAGUCAACAAUCUUGCAUUCCACACCUUCCACUACACCUCCAAAGUUCAUUGACGAAUGUACACACACCAACCCCAAUAUUACCCUAGACCUUUACAUGUAAGCUUGUAUUUCAACUUUCAAAAGUGAUUUUCUGCAAUCUUCAUGCUGCAGUUCAUACCUUCUGUCUAGGGGGAGUUAUCAAAUGAUGCAAUGUGGUUGCUUGUAUAACAGCGCUUGGGCUGGUAUCCUUGCUGCUAUGGAGGGAUACAGCUCGUCGAAGACCAAAGGUUUUAUCAACACUGGAUCGCUUUGUUCUCCGCCAUGGCCGUGGAAUAUAUCGCAGCAAGCGUGUUGAACAUACGAGUAAUAUCACGCCUGUGAUGAUUAACAGCCUGAAAUUCAAAAAUAUAUCAUGUUCGACGGAUACAAAAGCUUAAACACCUAGCAUGAACUUUAUAUACAAGGUUUUUUUCUUGGUUUCACCUAAGCUUCUCAUUUCAUCCCAUGAAAUACAUAGAAAACAGUGUCAGAAUCUUUCCACACACUGCUAGGCACAAAGGAGAUGAAAAAUUAAACAAGCAUUUUGCACCAAGUAGAACCAACGAAUACAUGAUCUGAAAGUAAUUGCAAAGACAAUUUGUCCAAUCUUAUUUCUUAACUAUAACUGCUGGAUCAGAAUUUCAAAUUUAAACUUAACCCUCAAUUCCUUAUAAAUAUGUAUUUACAACCAUUCUGGAAUCCCAAUCAGAUUAGUCAUCAUUUCUUACAUGAACGUGAUUUAUAUUAUAUUCCGAAUAAAUCUGAAUCUGGCAGGGUUAGGAUUAAAGUAUGUGGCUACAAGCCACAAUUUUGGGGGCUCAAAUCCCUCCAAAGAGCCAUGUUUAGCAUAGUUAGUUUAGGGCCAGGUUCUAUUUCUAGUGACAGCGACAAGGAAAAGGCAUCAAAUUUACUCACCAUCCAAGCAAAAGCCAUAAACGGGCCACUGGAGCAGAAGGCAACCUCUCCCCAAGAGCAAGCAUACCAGCAAGUACACCAGUGACGAUAGAAGCCACAGCAGCACAAGUGGACACCACAAUCGCCCUCCCAUGCUUCAAGCCACGAGUCUGUUUUAAGGCAAGAAGAAACGAAUCUAAGCAUGUAUAAUGUAAAAUUUAAUCCUCGCAAAAAAAAUUUGUGACCUGAUAAACAAGGGAGAAAAUAUGAAAGAGAAUGGAAGUUAAAAAACAAAAAGGCGAGUCCAGGAUUUGUAGUGCUUCUAGUUAACAUACUCUUUUUUUCCAAAAUUUCCCAAGUUAUUACUAUAUAUCCUGCUUUUUUAAUAAUGAACUCCAUUUCUAGGAAGGAGUUUUACUUGGCAGAGCAAUUUGUUCUCCAAAAAGAGUCCAUUUGUGUUAAUAAUACACUCUAAAAUGACACAAUGUACCCAACUUCAAUCUUAAAAACUGCAUUGUUGUGCCAUUUACUCAAGCAACAAUUUAUUACAUCCUUGGCGUUUGCAAAAUGCUUCAACUAGGAGGAAACUUAAUGAAUAAAGACAUUUGCAAACCUGAUAGACAAAUCCUGUCCCGCUACAGCAUAUACUUAUUGAAACACAAACAGGAACAAGCAAUCUAGAGAAACCCUGCUCCAAGAAUAGAAAUCCCAUUUUUGAUAUGACAGAUGCAAUCCUGAAAUUGUUAUAUGUACUCUGAGACAAUGUACAAACAUGAGGAAUUACAAAAAAACUGAAGACUAACUAUCCAUCUUUUUGUUAAAUAGAGGGGCUUUCGUGAGAACCGCUAGGAAUAUUAAAAAACUGAAGACCAUCCAUACUAUUGUUAAGUAGAGGGGCUGACGUGCGAAGUGCGAACCACUAUUGAACAUAACUGGAGAACGCAGGUCUUGGGUGCAUAAACGGUCAUCUUGUCCGGAAAAGUUAAAGGUUCACGAAAAAAAAUGCAAAUAUAGUCAUCUUAAACAAACUGGUAACAAUGCAUGAUGGACUAUUCCAAUAUAUUAAUAAAAGAAAAAUAGAAGAGAAGCUACGAGAUAAAGUAGAGUUUUUGGUUUUCUCUCCACAACCGAGACUGGAUCAUAGUCCACGAAAAUUUGACAAUAUUAGGGUUUUAAAUCCUAUUUGAUUUGCCACAAUAGUGGACUAUAUCAAACACGCCCAGAACUUUUCUUAAUUAAGCCAAAAGAAAGGUCAAAUCUCACCACUGUAUAUGUAGGUUAAAAGCUAAAUAUAAAUAUUUGUACUGCCUAUUCCAUCAUGUCCAAAUUAAUGGCCCGAGGGUGCUAAUAUAAUUAAAAUCCUUAAAUUUGGUAUGAGCCUGAUGUGUAUAUGAAAAACUCUCCAUUCUAUAUAAGAUGGCACUUGGUCCAUACAAAUAAAAUAUAUGGGGGUUAUCUAUUUCUAUAUGAGGAAAAUGAUGUUCUGAAGAACCACUAUCAUUAGAAAUGCUAUUUCUUAGCUUAAUCAUACAUGAGCUUAAGACAUGAUAAGGUAAAAACUGGUAAUAAAAAUUAUAUAUAAUUUCAAGUUCAGGCCAACAUACCCGAACAAAAUGCCUGAUUCCAGGCCAUAGAUAAUCUCCUCAACCACUUCAGAUUGCAUCUAGCGAUAAUCACAUAAAUACAUAUUGCUAUUAUAAGACUAACAAUAUAAUAUGACAAGAUAUGACUCAAUAAAAACCUUCCAGAAAAUCUAGACAGAAUUACCAGCUCCUGUUCUUUACGCUGGCGCCUGUAAAUACGUAGCCAUCCAUUAAGGAGAACCUACAAUUACAAAAGCACAUGACUCUGUGAAUAUGUAUAACUAAAAAAGAUAGAAACAUAAUUACAUCCUACUUGAGGAAAUCCUAACCAAUUUAUGGACAGAAAAGAAUUAAAUACAGUGCAAAACUGUAGAGCUACUGAGUCAUAUCCGCAUCUUAGAUACUAGUAAUUGCAGAGUCAAAUAUAAGGAGUUCCACCAGGAAUAAACUAAAUGCAUUCAUAACUCCUAGAGAGUUACCAAAAUACGAAGUUAUCUUCUCCUUUCGUUCNGACCAUGCACUCUCGCGUCGGGUAAUGUCGUAUGUAUUGUAUGAUAGAGGUGGUGCGGUGAUUGACCUCAAUGCUAAUGGUUAUCCCCAAGGUUCAACGAAUGGAGCUAUGAUCGUACCCAGAUAGAGAUGAUGGUCUUCCUCUGAUGUCUCCAAGUCGGCCAUAAUAGAAUAGGUAGGCGAAGCAGCCAAUAGCAGUCUGUUCUCGCCUAUCGAUAGAUAGCAGGUUGCUUCCAAGCUCAAACCAUUUGAAACGGAAUUGCUAGUUAUUUAUUGUUAUUGAUAGAGUGCUUCCAAGCUCNGCGCCUGUAAAUACGUAGCCAUCCAUUAAGGAGAACCUACAAUUACAAAAGCACAUGACUCUGUGAAUAUGUAUAACUAAAAAAGAUAGAAACAUAAUUACAUCCUACUUGAGGAAAUCCUAACCAAUUUAUGGACAGAAAAGAAUUAAAUACAGUGCAAAACUGUAGAGCUACUGAGUCAUAUCCGCAUCUUAGAUACUAGUAAUUGCAGAGUCAAAUAUAAGGAGUUCCACCAGGAAUAAACUAAAUGCAUUCAUAACUCCUAGAGAGUUACCAAAAUACGAAGUUAUCUUCUCCUUUCGUUCUCAAAAGAAGAGUUUGAUCCUGGCUCAGAAGAAAUGCAGCACGGAGCGAACAAGUUCAGUCGAACAACGUAACGAGUCUAAGGGCGGGAUCAAGCUAAAAAAGAAAAGGAAUGGACGGCCGUAGGCAUGCAUGGGCAGAAAACAUACAAAAGUGGUGCAAAAUUGUAGAGUGAUGGAACCACAUCAUAGAUACAAGUAAUUUACAAAGUUGUCCAUAAGGAGCUCCUACAAGCAUCUACGAUAUAGAAGAUUAGUCGUGAAUGAUGAGACUCUUUUUUAGCUCUUGUAGAAUUUAUUGCAAGGCACCAUUACAAAAGCAAAGACCAAAGGUGCUUCGUGCUCAAGAAUGCAGAUAUCCUAGUGCAACCUCACACUAACAAUACUAUGCUUCAUCGGUACAGCUUAAAAGUCAAGAUAACCUAGUCCACUAUUAAGGUAAAGUAUAAGGGGGUAGACUAAUAUCCAAUUUGAAUGACAACAUAAGACAUACCGGUUCAAAGAAAAUGAUACAAAAUUACUGACAAGAAGAUUGAAUGACAUGUGAGGACCAGCAAUCUCUGGAAUAAUAUGUAUGUCUUUACAUAGUCCGUAUCUAUGCCCUUUAAAAUGUUAUUAAAAUUAUAUAAAUGCUAAGUAGACACUAUAAAUAUCAGAUGGUGCAAAGGUUAGGAUACCUACAAACAUGAACGCAACAACAAAAGCAAGCCAUGGCAAGUGAAAAAUUGAAAUGGCAGAUGCUUCUUGAUCCUCCCCUCCAGCACCAACUCCUGCACAUUAAGGAUCACAUAUACAUUGGCAUAAGUCAUAACUCCUGGCCUGGUAGAUUAAAACAAAAAACAAUCUUGAGAGAAUUAUGAGGUCAAACUUCAGCAAGUGGUAGAAAGUGAUGGUAGAAUUCUCAAAAUUACAAGGCCCAAUCUGAAUCUCGAAGAAGCAUUGCUUUUUAUUACUGGAAAUUCCGUUGAGCAGAUGAUAGCUGCACUUUUUAAAUUAUUCUAGUAAUCCUCCCCAGUCCCCAUGGCCAAUGUGAUGUGAGAUGUAAUAUCUCAAGUUUGCUAAAUAGUAAGUACUGGAUGAUCAGUUCUCCAAACCUAGUUAUGAAUGUUGAAUAAACUGCUUCCAAGUCUACAUUGUCUCUGCUCAUCAGAAAUGAUUUGUACCCAUACCUGGGCACACCACUCUGUUCCUACUUUAUUUAGGAUUAUAGGCCAUCCUUAAUGUUUUAAGCACUAUUUCUUUCUUUUAUGAGCCUAUAAAUUUAGGUUGUAGGCAUACUGAUUUUGCAAGAGAAUUAAGGAUGUUGAAUCUGGGAUGGCUUGUAACUCGUCUCUACCAUAAAUAUAAGUUGGUUUCGCUUAUGGAAUCGGGAGUUUAACCAUGCUACACUGCGAUUCUCAAGUCUUCUUUGUCGCUUAUUUGUUUCACCUCUAUUUGCUAUUUUUGGGAUCGAAAUUCCAAAUAAAAUGGAAUCAAAAAGCAUUGCAUUCAGGGCUCUAUCUGUAUCUAAUUUGUGCAAUUUAAAACAGUGCAACAGCACAAUCUAUGGAUUCACUUGGGGCAGUCUAAACAUAUUAAUCGGCGGGGGCAUCGAUUUUUGUUCAGCUAAUUGACUUCCUGCUGCCGAUGCAUAGNUGCAUCGAUUUUUGUUCAGCUAAUUGACUUCCUGCUGCCGAUGCAUAGUGGGUCUACAACUCCUUUGUGUUCAUUACUGGGGUUGAAACGAUCGGGAAGCACUUUUAACAUCAGAUGGGCCGCAUACACAAUAAAGUAACUUCUAUUAGAAACAACAAGGCAGGUAUGGGUGAAUUAACUUCACAUUGCAGCUGUAUUACUAAAUCUAUUGUUCAUCUAAAAGAAAAUUUUGACAUAAAAAAGCAAAAAUUUAUAACCUUCGUUAAUCUAAGAACUAAACAUCAAAUCAAAGAUACCAGAUUUGGCAGUUGCAUUUAAAAUAUAACUCUAAGGAACUUACAUUACCUAUGGUGCCAAUGCCAGCUAACGUGAUCCCAACCCAGUCAACAGCAUUCAUCAUCUCCUUUAAAUAAUAAUGGGAAAAGAUAGAAAGUAUAGCAAGUCCACAACCAGAAACUGGUUGAAUGACUGAGACCUGGAAUCAAUCAAUUAUAACAACAUGUUACAGGGAGAUCUAAUAACCUAACCGAUUUUGCAGUAAUAUGCAGCUUGCAUCAUAAUUUGUUAUUCACAUAUUUAAAAACGCCUACAAUGAUCAAUAUUUGCACUUGAUGCAAACAUUGCAUGUCAAAAAAAGAAAAUUCAGACUAAAGUAUGAUCUUAACAGGACUACAGAAGGAGAUUGUAAAUAUUCUUGGCCAAAAAAAAUCAUGACCAAAGACAGAGAACCUUGGUUCUAAUGACUCUCAUGGGAAUCUAGAUAUGUAAUGUACCAGGAAAGUCAGAAUUGUGUUUCCCAUCAAGGAAUAUAGUAUAUACCAAUAUUGGGCACCUCCUGUAAAUAUAAAUGACAGUCGAAAUCAAUAGCUCUUUAGUCUACCCUUACCAACAAAUGCCCUGGGUAAAGGAAGGGGGAAGCAGAUGCGAUGGUCCAGUAAAAAUUGGAUUGUUAAACAAUUGUUAGUUUGUUUAAAAAUGUGCCUUCAUUUUACUUGGGGUCUCUCUAUUAUAUAUAUAUCGAACAUCAUACUUAGAUUUGUUUCUAUAUGACUACAGGAAAAUUUAACUACUCUCAAGUCUAGACUUUCAAGUUUUAAUCAACAAAUUCCUUAUAAAAAAGAAAGGGAUAGGGGAGGGUUACGAUAAUUUAACAGGUUUUUAUAUCAAAGUGGCCACCGUUCUCGUCAAAAUAUCUCAUUUAGUUACCCGAUCUCCACGGGGACUCAUUUAAAGCACUCAAAUCACUAGAUAUAUCACUCAAGUUAUUGAAUAAUUUUUUUAACAGAAUUGGAGAUUUUUUGUUCAAUAGAUUAGUUUUAGACAUAAGCAAUUAGGAUAUUUUUGGUUUAAUCACUUGAAAUCAAGUACAAGAACAAAUUAAGGCUGAAAGUGUUAAGAGAAGAUUAAAGCAAACAUAUUAUCUAUGUGAAUAUAUGUGUUCUGAAAGUGCCCGUGCAUUAUAAUUGUGAUUUUUUUUAUAUAAUAUGAGUCACAUGUAGUACAUAUUAUCUUGUGACUAGGAUUUCGUAAAGUUUUCUACCAAUAACUUUUCUACAUUUAAUCUAGUGAUAUUUAUAAUGAUCUGAGUGUUUGAAAUGAGUCCCUAUGGAGAUUGGGUAGCUAGGUGAAAUAUUUUAACCAGAAUGAUGGACACUUUGAUAUAAAAUCCUAAUUUAAUAUAUUCAAUUAAGAUGAAAAUAUAACACUUUGAGUAAACAAAGAAUUUGUACAAUUUUUGGUUAAAAAUAACAAGAGGAUUACAAUUAACAAAGCUAAGAGAUCCAUUUCAACAGUCUCCGAGAUUAUCAAUAUGAAAACCACACAAUCAUAGGCUUUACUAUUUAUGCACCCUUCUAAAAAAGAUAAUUUAAAAAAUAAUCUAUCUUUACUUUAUGUUUUUGGAUAUAGUAGGCCAACACUCAUAUGGUCGGAACAAGAAAAUAUGGAAAGAUGUCAUAUAACAUGAUGAAACGUCAAAUCACUAAGAUACAUACAUUUAGACAAGCAACCAAUUACUUGUUUAUAUUUCUUUGUGAAGUGUCUAAACUCUUCCAAUUUCUUUUUAUUUUUUUAGCAAAACUAGUGCACGUGCACCUUUAUCUUGUCUCUUUGUAGUAUUUUUAUUGUGACCGUAGCUUCUAUCUGUUUCAUUGGUUCUUACCCUAUUUAAAGUCUUCUCAUACAUUUCGGAUCUUCUUUCAUGUGGAUUAUAUAUAUUAAACUAUUCUCAGGUAUUCGCUGAUAUGAUAUUUUGCUUUUAUCUUUGCCUUCAUGCAUAAUCUCGGUGGCUUAACCAACUGCUUUGAUUAAACAGAUUCCGUGGACUCAGUUUGCAUAUCAGGAUGAAGAGGUACUUACAGGAGCUAGAGAUAAUGCUCGCAACAUCAGCAUGGCUCCAAAUAUAUCCAUUAGGAAACCACUUAUCCAUGGUUUGUUAAAAACAUACGCUCUUAUGACCUGGAAACAGAGAGAGAUGUGUUUAUCCAAGUUUCAUACAGAAAAGUUUUUUUAAAAAAAACAAAAUAUUAUUCUUGAAUGAAGAAAAAGAAGUUAACUGAUAACUACUAAAAACUAUUACUAUAGUAUGGGAUCAUGUACAACCUCUAAUAAGCAACGAUAGUGAUAGUGUGAUACACAAAGGGUAAGGUAAAAUUCUUUUUAGUUGAACAAAUACAGUGAUCGUAUGAGGAAACAAUUCAAAUUAAUCAAAGAAUCUUUACUGCAUUUGAGUUUUUACCAAUUUCAUGUGUAGAAAUAGUGGAGUAAAUGACUGAUCACUUCUGAGGGACAUAGCAUCCAAUAAAAAUCAAUAAACUGAAUCCUAGUACUCAAUUGACAACCCAGAAACAAAAUCUCCUUUUCGGUAUCGCAGCGUAAUUGUUAAAAGCAAAAUAAUGACACACAUGUUUUCAAUCCAAAUUAAUGGAUAUGAAAUACUACCCUUUAACAAAACAAAGCCUACAUCCAUACCCACCGACAGGAUCACAGCAUUACAAGAAAAUGGGUUAGAGAUUUAGACAAAUAAGAAUAAAGUAAAUCACAAAUUAUAGCAUAAAAAAGUAUAUUAAAGAAAGUGUAUAGAGAUUAAAGAAAAGGGAUUGGGGAUGUUUUGCCUUAAGCUUCAAGGAGAGAGGAGGGAGAAUAAUAGUGCCCUUUUUCUGGAGAACUUUUCCGAUGUUAUUUCCGGCGGUGGCUGCCAGCGUAAGUAAGAUCGCUUCCCACAUCUCUCUCGCUGCCCCUCUCUCUCUCUAUCUCUCCCUCCUGUGUUUCUUCUAUAUUUUUGUGUAAAAAAACAGCUCGUGAUCUUUUCCACUUAAUUCGCUUACUUUAUUUUAUUAGCGGAUUUCCACUAAAAGGCUAGUUAUUAUCUGCAGCUACAAGAUUUUAUGCAUUUAUUUAUUAUUUAUAUUUCCGAUGUUUAGAAAUAUUUUAAUUUCAAAUUAUGUUUAUAUAACAUGAGAUUAUGGUAAUAUCUUUUUUUCAUUUUAUUUAUAUAUAUAUGUAUUAGUAUAUUCCUGUUUCAGAUUAUUAUUCAAAUUUACAAAAAUAUACUAAAUUAAUAUGAAAUAAAUUACAAAAUUGUGGUCAAACGCAGCGCUCUUAUGUUCAAAAUUUCACUUUUAUAAUCUGAUGUUUCAUAUUUUGAUUUAAUUUUUCAAGAAUUUGACUACAGAAUUUUUUUUCGAAAGAGAUAUUUAACCACUUUUUUGAAGAUGAAAAUAACAAAUAAUCAAUAAAACUUACUCAAUGUGUAAAUAAAAUUUUAAUGUCCGAAAAAAAAAAACCGGUAUUCUUCCAAGAAUUCUGAAAAUAAAACAAAGGAAACAAGAAAAAUAUAAGCCGAUGUAUAUUAGAUUACAUAAAUUAUAAAAAUAAAAAAUAUAUUCAAUAAUUAAUUAUUAAUAAAAUCACGUGUAUAUGCAUGUGCUGAUUAAAAAAUAUACACAAUUAUGAUAACUCAGACAAUUAAACUCUUAAUUGCCCGGUGGUUAAGUGUUUAUCCUCUGUUGGCCAAGGUUCUGGGUUCGACUCUGACUCACCUCGAGAAUAUCUUAGAACAGAUACUCAAAUUGUAAGGCUAGACUACAUUAGUCAAAAAAAAAAACCCCUUAAUUAAGACACAAUUGAUAAAAUAUUAACGUCAUUAAUUAAGACACAUAGCCCUUCAAAUAAGGCACAGUUUACGCCCUUAACCAAAUAACGCCCUCAAUUAUAAGGCACAAAUAACGCCUUCAAUUAAGGCACAAUUAACGCUUUUAUCUCUGAAGACGGAUUCUAGAACUGUCGUCGCUGCGACCCUCAGCCACCGCCACCACUGCCACCACUUUUACGCUAUCUCUCUCGCACACGACCGCAAAACUAUAAACUCAGAUUAUCAACCGAUUACUCAGCGAGGCACAAAUCAAACAAAAAGUUUAAUUAAAAUCAAACAAAUAACUAUAAUCAACAGCAAUUAAUCAUGAUUUAAUCAAACAAAAAGAAAUUCAUCCAACUGGAAAAUAAAUGAACGAAAAACGCAUACGUUUCAUCUUUGACGGCACCGAAUCAGAACGGAGCAUAUCGACGAGCAGUAUCAUUUGAAAAGAAGGAAGAAGAUAAAUAUAUGUGGACGUGGAAUUUGAAUUUUUAGCCUCAAAAUUGGAAUCUGAUAAAUUGGGUGCGUUGACAAGUGAUUAACAAGGGGUGGUUGUUGAGAGUGAGAUCGUAAAUGAUGAUCCGAUGUUGGCCAUUUUUUAUUGCAAUUUUUGAUUGCAGACGAGACCUUCGAUUUGGAUAUAAAGCUAGAGAGAUACGAACAGAUAGAAGAUCCUUGAGCAUACAUUUUAAUUCAAUUUAUAAGCUCAAAUUCUAUACCUACUGCAAAAAACACUUUAGUUUUGAUUAUUGACUGCGGAAAUACUGUGUAGUUGAGGACUUGGUGAAUGUUACUAUGUUAGUAAUGCUGCUGCAACCUGCAAGCAAGCAAGGUGUGACAGGCAAGAUGGGUGUGACAGCUGGGUAACAGCUGGAGGCUUAGUUGGCAUGCUGAGCUGGAUGUGUAUAUGUCAAUUAGUCAUUCUGUUAUAAACUCAUUUUUCUAUAUUCUCUCUCUCUCUAGUCAAGUUCGUAAGAUAUUGAAGGAAUGUAAAUACAGUGUUGCUUUCAUAGAUGCACAUGCACUCUAGUGUUUUAGUAGAAGCUUACAUGUUCUAUCAACAUUCUUUAAAUUUGAAAUUCUUUAUGUUAAAAUGUUAAAAAGGGAUAAAGUUUCAUCACAAUUUAUUCAUUAUUAUAUAAUUUGUGGUAAAAGAAUACUAAAUAACUAUUUUUGUAUUCUGUAAAAAAAAAUUGGAGCUGAACAAAUAGUUAAGAUGCGAAAUAAGGACUAACAAGAGAUUAAUUGAAUCGAUCAGAGAUUAGUUAGAUAAUUAAUUGUAUAAUUGAAAAUUUAAUCCACUCGACGAGUUAUGGAACAAAGAUUAUUCAUUGAUUAAUCAGUCUUUCACAAUAAUAAUCUUUUUUUAGUUGUUCUCCCGUCCCUUUCACUUAAUCCGCUCGACGAGUUGUACUUUUUUAUUGUUUGUAUAUCUUCAUGUUUCUUCGCGUUCCAAUUCUCAAAAAAAUGUUAACUUUUUAAUUAAUCUCGUCAUCUAUUUUCAUCCACAUUUUUUUAUUUAUCAAUUAGAUAUUAAUAGAUCCUAAUAUCUCAUUUAUUUUUGUUAUUAUUUUAUCAUAUUUUAUAUAUAUUUUCUAACUUUCGUGUUCCAUCCUAAUAUAAAAAAUUGAGAGGGAAGAGAUGGAUGAAUUGUAUCUUACAAAAACACAUCUUGUUUUCUUGAAUCAUAAAGGCCCAAAUGACAAUUAACAUGAUAAAAUUCUCUUGCUAUUGUCCAUAUCGUAUAAACCGCAUUAAUUCGUAUCAUAAAAUAAUAUAUUCAGUUUUCAUGAUAUAAUUAUGGAUUACAUUUUUUAUGAAUCACAUGACAUGGGUUGUAUUUUUAACCAAGAAAUGUGGUCCAAAUCACACCGUAACAGAUAUAAUAUUAUUAUUUUAAUUGAUAUUAUACGAUUCUAAUCUUGAUUUUUUAUACAUUACUAUUAUUAGUCAUCAUUUUAUAACAACAGAAAUUAAAGUUCGAUAAAAUAAGUGAUAUUACAAAUGUUGAGGUCUAUGCAUGAAUAACAAAAUAAUCAAUUUACAACUAAAUCUCCGGGAGUAAAUGAAAAGAAUAAAAAUAAUGGACGCUCUUAUUUUUUUAAUAUUUGAAAAAUAUUGAUAUUUUGUAACCAAAGGAUUGGCGAACACCUCUCUGGCCGGGCCUAUUAUGAAGCCUUGUUAAGGGAGUUCUGCCCCCGCUGAGGUCUUCAUUAUCAUAAUGAAAUUAACACUUGAACCAAAUUCCAAAAACUUGAACUAAAUAUAGAAAAACUAGCUCAGCAACACCAAACUAUUGCAUGAGAAAACAACAAUACCACAAGGAAAAAUGACAAGUCAAGGGUAGUCAAACAACCCUUCGAAGCAUAGAAGUAAUAGUACGGAUUUGAGGAAUUCUUUUGCCCUGUAUUAUAACUCGGAAAUGUGCCUUGUCCACCCGGGACAGGCACAUAGUUAAGAUCAGGAGAAGGUGGAGGUGGAGGUGGUGAAGGCGAAUCAGGGCUCUCGCCCCAUGCAAUGUAAGAAGGUGGUGGAGAUGUUUUUGUGGGAGCUGGCGAUGAUUUCUUUGGCGGUGGUGGGGAUUCAAAAUAAUAAGAUUGCUCAGGCGGUGAAGAGUGGUGAGGUGGUGGUGGUUUCGGAGGCGAUGGGGGUGGGCUUGCAGUGCUUUUUAGUGGUGGAGGUGGGGGUGCACAUAUGACAGGACAUGAUUCACAAUCACUAAUGCAGAAUAAGCCUUCUGCGGGCGAUAUGGUAGAUGAUGUUCCGAAUGUUGGUUUGGAAAGCAAGAUCAUUUCUAUGAUCACAAGUGUUGUGGAGAAAAAUGAGCAUUUUGAGUUGAUGAAUGUUGGGCUAUUGGGAGGUUUCAUUUUGUGAGAGACAAGUAAAUGUUAGUAGUAUCUGGCUUUUUAUUUAUAGAGUAAAGCUAUAAACAAGCCAACAAAUCCUUAUACUAGUGUGAGCUAGAAUCCUCAAGUACAACAAAACAUGACUGAGAUUUUAUUUUAUUUUUUAAAAAAAGAGAAAAAGAGAAUAUUAAAUUUUCUUGCUGAGAUGGACAACAUGAGCUGGGGCUGAACUAGCCUUGUUUGAUUCCUCUGCAUUUUACAGAUGUAGAGGAUAGUUAAAAUACAUCACAGAGAAACAUAUUCUUUUCAUUUGAAGGGGGCAAAGUAUAAAACGAAAAUAAAAAAUAUAAGGAAAUUAGCUUUCCUUUUCAUCAUAUGUUCCUUUCUCCAUCUGCAAUCAAACUUUGUACAGGCAUAAAUUCUCUCAAACCAACUUUAACACUUUAAGCAUUCAUCUUUUAGUGUAUGUAUGCCUUUCUUAUACUUGUGGACUUUGGCUUUGAUCUUAUCGAGUUCAGUUUAAUGCCUUCCUUAUAGUUAUGGACUUUUGUGAUUGCGAAUUUAGCUUCUUCUUUUUUCUUUUUUAAAUCAUCAUGCUAGACUGCUAGUCUUUAAACGAAACAAAACUGUACAGUUUACUGUUCGACUUCCAACUCAAAUCUAUGAGCUUGGUUUGAUAGGCGGACUCCAGUCUGAAGAGGAAAAUAUUGUUUGAUUUUUCAGCUUGUCAAGCAAUGCUAAGUUCAAUAACAAAAAGUCCAUUUUGAUAUGUUAUCCAAAUGAGUUUACAUAAAAAAAUAUGUUCAGUAAUUUUAUCAAGCACAGUCCAAAUUUAAUAAAAUUGCCAAUAAUCGAUAAAUAUUUUUGUGUGUACUUUCUGUUUGAAAAUUAUGAAUAAUAAUCUCACAUUGAAUAGAUGUAUAAAUAUUUCAUAAAAAAUAGAUGUAUAAAUGUUAUGAUAUUUGUUUGGAGUUAGUAUUUAUUAUUUUUAAGCGUUUACAUUAAAAUGUAAUAAGAUAAUUUAUAUAUUAAUAUAAAUAUAUACACAUACAGACAAAUCUUUCAUAAACCACAUCACACACUAUAAUAAACAGGUUUUAAUAUCCAAAAUUUGGUUUCAUCAGACUCCGAUCUUACUGGAUCUCGUUUAGAACUUAUUUCUAAUUCCAAAAUCCUUAUCAAAACAAAUUUAUCUGAUCCCAAAAUCCUUCUCAUUCUACUUGAUAAUAUUGAUAUUGAUUAUAUUGACAUGUGUUUUACUCAAAACAAGUUAGAAUUUCGAUCUUUCCUGACCCGGCGCUUGAAACAUGUAAAAAAAAACUUUUAAUAAGGUGAAAGACUGUUAUAUAUUUUAUCGUCAAACCUUAACAAAAAUAUUAUUUUUAUAUUAUAAUUUAAAAUAUAUAAAUAUUAAAAAAAUUGUAAUUGUAAAAACACAAGCAGAAUAAAAAGAGCGAAGAGCGCCGGUACCAGAAAAACCCUAACAAGACCGCCGCACACACGCGAAUGGCUCGUACCAGCAACAUACUUCUCGAUUUAGAAGCCGACAACCCUGCUUCGUCUUCUAUAGGUACUUUCUCUAUCUCUCUCUUCUGCGUACAUAAAUGUUUUCGAAUUGUUCUCUUUGAAUAUACGUUUCUUUUCAGUUAAUUGCUUGUAUCGCAUUGAAUUACACAUUAUUUGCAGAAUCCAAACUUCUUUUCUGCGUGAAUGAUGAUUUAAGCCGGCAGCCUAAGGUUGCGAAAUCGAUUCAGCCUGAGAAAAAACCUGCAAUUAGGCCCCUCCCCAAAAGCCAAGGUACAUAGAUAACCCUAAUUUUUAAGUAUAUGCACGAUACUGGGGGCCAUUGUAUUCUCCUAUGUUGAAUUAUUGUCAUCUGUGAGUUUAAUUACAUCGUUAUCACGUUUUUUGUGUAUAGAUGUAUGAGGGGUGGUGUAAAGAAUUAAAGAAACUAGUGUGACUCAAUUUUUAUAUCCCGUAGACCAUUGUGAAAGACAUUGUUACAGUUUUAAUUGCCGGCUCUGCGUGAAUUGUUGUUGUUUAUAUAGAGACUGAGCUGUACUUAGUAGUUCAUCUUAUUGUAUGAUGAUCAGCAUAUGUAUUAUUUUUCACACUUGAAGAAGGGUUUUGAAGUCCGAGUUGAUUAAUAUUUAGUGAGAAUUGUUGCCGAGUCUUAUUUUUAUACUAUUUUUACAGUUCUGGAUAAACUGAAGGAUUUCUUACCAGUCAUGUCUGAAGCAAAUAAAAAAUUGCAGCUUGCUGCCAUGGUACUACUUGAAACUUGAAUAAUGUUGUGGGUUGUUUCUUUGCCUGCUAAGAAUUUUUACCAUUGUUAUGGUAUGAUAUAUGCAGGACAAUACGAAGGUAUUUGAUAUUGAAUCCAUUGAAGACGAUGAUUCACCACAUAUUGAAAUGGUAUGUAUAAUAUUUUUUUUUCAUGUUCUAUCUUUGCUGAAGUUUACCUACCAUAUAAUGUAAGUUAUGGUUGCGAUUAUAUAGGAUCUGAUGCUGGGUGUUGCUGACCUCAAUACCCCUGAAGCUAUUGCUGCGGCCGAGUCUGCAAUUAAUGGGAAUCAACCAGCUUCUUCCUCUGUGGCUACAAGUGAGUCGAGUGACAGCAGUGACGAAGAUGAAGUAGAUGACAAUCACAGUGAGAGCACCUCAGAUGAUGAGCACAAAGAGCAGCGUGGCUCUAAUAAACAUGAUCAGGGGAAAAAUGACAGGAGUCUUAAAUGCCCUCCUGUGAACAUAAAAAGAGCCAAGUCUAUUGGCACGAAACUAUACGAAAAAAUGAGAAAAAAACAACCAAACAAGCGGCCAAAGAUUGUGGAGCUUUAAUGAUACCUUAGCAACAUGAAAACUAAGUCACAAACUCUAAAGUUACAUCUUUCAGGAUUAUGUCAGAGGAUGAUGGUGCAAUCAAGCUAGAAAAAGUUUUGCAACCAGGUUUUAGCGACAUUGAGGUGAAUCUAUUUCAUGUUCUCUUGAAUAACCCUGUUGAUGGAUUUUCGGCAGUGUGGUCGAAGAAAGCAAAAGUUUUGAUAUAGUGUUACUAUUGUCGACCUACAUGAACCUUGUAGCAAUUGUUGUCUAUUCAAGAUUUUGCUCCGUUACUUUAUGAUCCAAAUUUGGACAUGUGGGAUGUGGUCAUUUUAUUUUGUUGCAAGCAAUAUACUAUUUUGUGUUGGAAGGAUCUGGCAAGUGAUCAAAGUUUGCCACGGGAGGAUAGCCCUCUAAGUUGGCCUUUUUGUUUCCUGCUUUUUCCUUCAGAAAACAUCUUGAUGUUUGUGUCUUUCAAAGCUGUUUCCAAGAAACAAUUCAACACCAUAUUUGUCACACUCUUGAAAGACAAUUGACAUUGCGAAAAUCUUUAAAAUUUAUGCAGAGUUUGGGAUAUAUAUACUCCAUCUACUGAUUUUGACUUUUUUUAUAUCUAAUUUGAAAUUUCAAAAAAAAAAAAAAAUCCCAUUGAACAUAAUUAUAUUUUCUAAAAUUNAUCCCAUUGAACAUAAUUAUAUUUUCUAAAAUUAAUAUCAAACAAGAGUUUAGAAUCUAAAAUUAAUUUGAUAUAAAAAUUGAAACUUUUUGUUGAACAUUAUUAUUAUUAUUAUUAUUACACCUUAAUAUACCUAUUAAAGUAUCAUUUUUAACAUCAUUUUUUUCAAGGCCAUGACAUCGAAGGAUAACUAAACUGCUUGCAGUUCUCGCUAAGAGGAUAUUCACCAAUGGCAAUGGGGGAUAUAAGUGCUGCCCAGAGUCCCUAGACUAUUGAAUUCGAGAAAAUCAUUUAGUUUUGAUUGCAGCUGAAAAGGAUGCAAAUCCCAGAUAACAUCAAAAACCUCAAACACCUCCAUGUACCCUAAUUUAUGACAACAUUAGUAAGUAAUUUACUAAUUGUGAAAAUUUCAGCUUGGAGGAGUAUACUUGCUAGUGACCUGGUGUGACUUUAAUUCAAACCUUAAUUGAGCAGACAAAUGUAGAAAGACAGGAAGCUCUAACAUUUCAGAAUGCAUCUGCUCUGUUUGCGGUGGGUAACUUGGGGGCCUGUCCAUCACUUCUCAUGACUUAUGAACUCGAGUCUGUAGAAUUUAACUCUGACAUGUUAUUACUUCCAAAUUCUUUUAACCUGUUAAGCUCUGGCAAAACCACUGAAGAAAGAUCUGGCCUAUCUUUCUGUUUAAUCUCGACACAUCGAAGUGCAAUUUUUGCAAAAGAAAGGGCCUCUUUGACUGGCCAAUCUGGAACACUAGGGUCAAGCAGAUCUGCAAAUGUUCCUUCAGCAAUAGAUUUCUCAACACGACGAAUUAGACCCAUGGGAGGCCUAGCAGUAAGAAUCUGAAGUAGCAUUACACCAAAUGAGUACAGAUCUGAUUUAACCACCAACUUGCCUGUUUGUUGAAAUUCAGGAUCAAUGUAACAAAAUGUCCCCGCUGCUGAAGUCAUGCGAUAUUGUGUGACAUUAUCAGCUAUUGAAGCUGGGAGUAGACGUGACAAACCAACAUCACCAAUUUUGCACGUGUAAUUGCUGUCCAAAAGGAUGUUGGCUGGCUUAACGUCACAGUGCACAAGAGGUUCUGGUUUCGCAUUGUGCAGGAACAGAAGUCCAGUUGCAAUAUCAGCUGCUAUUCUAAACCGUAUUCUCCAUGAUAUUGGGGGAGUGUUACCUUUUCUAAAUAGACGAUCUUCCAGACUGCCAUAGCUCAUGUAUUCGUAUACUAAACAGCCAUACUGGGGGCACGCACCCAGGAGAAGGACCAUAUUUGGGUGCCUCAUGCGAGAUAGGAUCUCAACCUGCAUAUAACAGAAACAAUUUUUUACAAAUGAACAGAAGAAAACAAAAAGGAAUUCAUAGAGUGAGUCAAUAUGUAGUAAUCUACACCAUAUAAAGACUGGCAAUUUUCACACCAAGUGGCAAGUAUAUCAUGAUUAAAAUCUGUCAUUGUACGGGUGUGGGAGCCAUCACACAUGACUGAUAUGUCAUGAGGUGACAAUCAACAGCAAAUUAAAUAGGGGGGAGACAGAUGCGAGUUUUAACCCAUAUAUUGCAAGAGAAAAAGGGCCAAAAGGCACAAAUUUUAUAUAAAAGGUCCGAAAUGGCAUCCAAAAAACAUUGGCCCUUAAUUUGCAUAUAUAUAACUUAAAACUUGAUUGCAUUAGUUGCUCAUAAUAACAGAAGUUUCAAUUACUAGCUCUUCUCUCAAAUCAAAUCUUCUUUCUAUGACUAUUUCCAAAUCCAGAUUUUGCUUCUAUGACUACUCCAAAUCAUUCCCCAGCCCUUCCUCACCUAUACACAUAUAACAAUUGCAAACACACAUGCAUACAGCGCAUAGUUGUUAGAUCAAAGUGUUCUUACUGAAGAGGUUGGACAAAACGGCUAAAACAAGUAUACAAAUUGCACUCCAAGUUAUUUGGUUAUGUGGAGUAACAUGUAUGGGCCCGGAUAUUCUAAUUACAAAUCUGGAGAAAAUACAAAUAAUAAUUGCGUUUUUCACUUUAGACACAAUUUUAUAUAAGUUUGGACUCUUCGCUAACAAAAUCAUUGCCUGCGUUUCACCGGAAAAGAAUAUGUAAAAUGUGUUUUUACCAUGUAAGGCAUGCUCUAGUUGCAUUAUCAAUGUACCAAUAUGGACCAGAUUUCUGAUCUGUUCCAUUUUGAGCAUUUUCUGUCAAAAUGGUGUAACCCAAACCUGGCAUUUUGAACCCAAAAAUUGAUUGGGGACGGGAAAAGUAAAUGUGCAUCCACAAUGAUCUCAAACAACAAAGAGAUGCUAAAAGAUCUCAAACAACAAAGAGAUGCUAAAAGAUAAUCUCUAGUGCAUUUAGAUGACUUAACUAUAAAGGGAUCAUGUAUGUAUAUACAUAAAUGUGAUUCUAGAAUGAUCUCAAACAACAAAGAGAUGCUAAAAGAAUUUAUUUAAAAUUUAAGGUUCUGCAGCAAAUGCUUAGUAAUUCUAAGUUUCUAUUUCAAGGAUUGUUUCUCUCUUGAGCGCGACCCUAUAUAUGAAUACUAUCUGCCAAAAAUUACAGCAGUAUCAGCAGAACCAUAUUAUUUUAAUCCCUAACCACUGUCUUUAAGAUCAAUCGAAAGAUUAAAUAAACUAAACGAGAAUUUUACCUAGAGGUACUGGUGGAUCAAUGGAGCUUCUCCCACAUAUUUACAUGGAUUUUUAAUACAAAACUAAACUUUAGAUACUUAUAGACAUGCUAUUCUUCCUAUUUUUGCGACUUGGUGACUGAAUCAAAGGAGUUGAUUAUUCAUCCACAGUUCAGACGUUCAACAAGUCACAUGUGAAGAUUAAGGGAAUACAUAGCUCAUGGCUGGGCCAAUGAAACUGUUGUGAGUUUAUGAUUCAUUCUGAGCAGCAUCCAAAUAGACAUGCUCAUAAUCAUAAGCUUUUCUUCUUUUAAAACCAUCGGCAUGCGUGGUUAAACAGAACCAAUGUGAAAAGCAAUCAUUUCCUCAUCUCCUAAACUCUUCAAAUUUGCUCCAAAGCUUUUUUCUUUUAUAAGUAACUCUUUCCUGCUCCGCAGAAGUCGGAGGAAAGCUAAAAUCGGAUUUCCUGUGAUUUACUAUAUACUUCUAGAGGAAAUGUUACUCAAGCUUAAUUGAUAGAAUAAAUCAUAUUACAGUCCAGGAAUAGGCGUUUCGUCCCCAGACCCAAAGGGUACUAAUUAAUGAAUUCAUUAAGAAUGUCGGCUUCACAUCUCUAAUAUCAUUGUAUUUUGAUAAUUACUUACAUCUAUCGUCAUCUGUUUGCUUUCAAGAAAGGUAUCUUCUAUACAGUGUACCCUUUCAUUACUACAUUAACAUAAACCUGAGGCAGUGUGACAGAUUUAUACCUCUCGUUGAAAUUGUUUAUUUCCCUGUGCAGCACCUAAUCCAAGAACCUUAAUAGCAACUUUUGUGUGGUCAAGCUUUCCGAUAUAAACUGGUCCAUAUCCACCUUCACCAAUCUUAAAGGAAUCUGAAAAGUGAUCAGUGGCAGCCUCAAUAUCUUCGAUUGUGUAUUUUCUGUACCUGACAUUAUUGUGAGAUAAAACUUCUAAUGCUCUGUAUUUUGCUUCAGCAUUCCUCUUAGCCUUCAAUUCUGCAUGCCUUCUUCUCUCUGCUUCCAGUUUAGCUACCUUUUCUGCCUUUUUCGCUGCUUCAAAUGCAGCUCUGUGCAUAUACAUCUCCUUCUCCUCAUACAAAUUAACAACUGCGUCUUCGAGAAGACCUGCUAUCUCGAAUUUGGGACUUUCUUCUAGUUUGCAGUGAUGAAUUUCCUUAACCUAAAAUUUAGCCAAACAUGUAAGAAAUUAGAGCAUACAACUUUCCGUGUCCAACAAUUAACAUCAAAAGUCAAGAGCCUUGUGUGAGCUUAUUUGACCAACUUAAGAUCAUAUAUUCAGUAAAAUAAUACUUUCCAAUUUUAGACGUUAGACAUUUAUUAACAAAUUAUAGAAGUAUUGAUUUUCCCAAAGAAACUGAAAACCAAAUGGAACUAGUCUACAUAAAAUCAAAGCCAAACCUUCUUAAUGGCUGUAUACGCUCCCUUCCAAGUUCUGUUGUAAAUGUCUAUAGAUUGCUUGAGUUCAAGCUUCAUCCUUCUCAACUUAGCUUCAACAUUUUUCUGCCAUAUUGCAUUAUUUAUAGAUUAGUUCAUCAAGUUAAGUCAUUUUUUUGAAAUUGACUCUUAUGCGGCUUUGCACUUACUGACUGCAAUCUGUGCAAUCUCUCUGUCGAUUCUUGUAAAGUGGUAACAUCUUCAUUCUGGUCAGUAACAACAUGUGAUACAAAGUUUAGAUGGUCAUUUGAAUCUUCGUGCACGCCAAGGCGAUUAUUGUUAGAAAUAUUCUUCUCCCCCCUGAACAAAGUGUCAAUACUGUCUACUGAUAAUUUUCGGUUCCAUCGCCUCCUCUCAGAUCUUACACUUCUCUGCUUUUCGCUGAAAGCCAUUAAACAUAAUAUAUUUAACAAACCUUCGUAAAAAAUAUUAUCGCAUAUCUGAAUUCUAUACAAUCUUUUUCCUUAUUGGGUACCUGACUUCUUCCUCUGGUUCAGAUUGCUUGGUUAGAAAAUGAGAUAACAUUUUUUGACAAUUUGGUGUACUAGAAAUUGAGGAAAGAAUGGCUGCAGGCACUGCAGCUAGUCUGACAGAUUGUAUCUCAGUUUUUGAAAUUACAUACACUGAACAAAAUCCUGGUGCAGAUUCAUUGAUCAUAGUAGGAAUGUCAGGGACCCUCCAUUGCCUGUUUGGGAAAUUGUAAAGUUUAAAUCAUGUGAAUAUGUAGGUGUGCAUGCGGCGAGACUCGAGAGUGCAUGUGUGUGUUAGGGAGGGGGGGUAGGUGGAGGGGAACCAACAUUUGAAGAGUACUCCUUGUUGAUGCUCCAAGAACAAAAUGGGUGAUGAUGUUGUCAUCUACGAAGUUCAGAAGCGCCUCGGAAAUAUCAUCAUGGUCAAUGACUAUCUCUUUUGCCAGAACCUUAAGUCAAAGAUCAAAAUCAGUGUAUGAAUCUUGUACUCAUAUAUCUAAAAUCUUUGGCUAAGCAUAUUUAUUGGUUCUACUAUAUCUUCUACUCACAAGUCACGACCCUGUUACUAAUUUUAGGUUUAUACCAUUUUAUUGAUCUUUUGAUUGAAUAAAUUUAAUUCAACUGAAUAAAUAUACACAAUAUAAUUAUAUACUGCAAUUAAUAGAUAAAGUAGUGACAAUAUCCUCACUAGAUGGGUAAUCUUCUUCUUUUUCAAAUUUUUUGUUUGGCCGAGAAAUACAUUAUAUACUGCAAUUAAUAGAUAAAGCUAGAGUGUCCUAAAUAAUUUAAACCAACAACUAUGAACNNNNNNNNNNNNNNNNNNNNNNNNNNNNNNNNNNNNNNNNNNNNNNNNNNNNNNNNNNNNNNNNNNNNNNNNNNNNNNNNNNNNNNAAAAAAAAACCCCAAACAACUUGUCUUUUAUAUAUAAAAUAUAAUUCUGAUUAAUUAUGCUUGAACAGUUAAACCUCUUUAAGUGACUUAGUCUUUAAUGCAGGAGGCACUGUUAAUUUUCAGAUAUAAAAUUCCCCUCUGUUAGUUUCAGAAUCACUAAACUCUAAUAAUGCCACUUCAUGCUUGUACGUAUAUGAUAUAUCUGUUGCUAAUUAACAUACCUCUUUUCGUGCACAGUAUGCUCGGAAGGGCUUAAAUAGUUGUGACAUGUCAGCAUCAGUUAAGUCACCCUGUUCAUCUGGAGCAGUAUUAUGUUCAAUGUAAGUGAAAAAUGUGCAAUAUGUCUCAAUGUAAUUGCAAAAUGUGUAACAUAAUAAAAAUACUUUAUUAUAGAUUUUGUCUCAGUAACAUUGAGUGUGCAAAAUAUCAGCCACAGAAAAUAGUUCUGCCUGCAAAUAUUCAUGCAAGGAAGCAGUUCAAUACCAUUAUAUGCUUAGAGUAAGGGCAAUGGAUUUUGAUAAUAUAAAUGUAUUUUCUGCAGUGAAUAAAGCAUAUGGAUUACUGCCUAUUUUUCAGAUACUCCCUCUACACCAAAAGUACUUAUAAUUCUUCGGAAGAGGAUGGCACUCUCGUCUAGAAGAGAAAAGUAUCCAGGAAUUAUCAACUACUAAGAGUAUAUUUACUUCACUAAAUUUCUAGCCACCCGCAGGUCUAUACUGUGCUUCAAUGGCUAAACGCCUCCAGUGGAAAUUUUUUGGCAAUAAUUUGGGGGGGAUAAUUUCAAAUUUUUGGACACCUUGUGUUGUGUGGUUGGGUGAUAGCAAUUGGCAAAUUCAGCGAGCACUCAGUUAUUCUCAAAAGUUUGUAUUGCAUUAUAGCAUUACUCAUUGCACUAUCAUUAAGAACAUAUCCCCGAACAAAAUGCGCAUAGUAUAAGAAAAACAUAAGGGGUACCUACGGUGUUGUUUCCUCCUAACAUGGAUGAGAAAGAGUGAUGAUUUAGUUUUGUGGGUCAAGAGAUUAUUAAUAGCCCAUCUAGCAGCAAAUUUGCUGUUAUUAUCCCUGGAAACACCCACCGCCACCAUUUUGUUGGGCAAAGCAACAUCAUCUAUAGGCACUAGACGAUCACCCAUUAUAUAUAAUCUGAUUGAUUAUUUGGUUCAGGACUUUCAACAAACACCUGGUGAGCGUCAAAGAAAAACAGAUAUAAGAAGAGAGGAGGGACGGAACAUGGAGGAGGCCGAGCUUGAUUGCAAGCCUCUGCCUCCUCCUUCCGUCCAAUUCACAGGAAAUUUUAUGAUUUUUUUUGUCAUAUAAGGAAAUUUUAUGAUUAUGGAGAUCUGGAAUUGGAAUGGAGAUGAUGGAGCGGGGUUGCCCACGUGGAUAAAGAAACAAUUUACUAACAAAACAUGAUUUGGUUUAAGUUUUUUGAUAAACUAAUUUUAUUUGAAAUUUGAAAUAAAAUAUUUAUCAAAAGAAGAAUUUCUAUCAUUCACUAAAAUAUCACAAUAUAUAAUUUAUAAAUUUUUAAUCUGAUUUUUAAUUUGUAUUAACAUAAUUAAUUAUUUACUUAAUUUCAGGAAUGAUGCUUUUCAAUUUUUGGAGAAGAAGAACAGGUUUGUUAAAGCUACGAUAAAAAUCAUAAUAAAUUCCUUCUAAAUUUGUUUUAAAUUUUCCUUCUAAUUGAUCUUUUAUGUAAUUUUAGUACAAAAUAAACAGGUAGAUUUUGAAUUGUUUACCCUUUCUCUUCCUUUCUCUGUUGGGGAACACAGAAACACAAAAUAACAAUACCGAGAAACUGAGAUAUAAAAUCAUUCAACUGAAGCGAGCACAGACAGGCUUUUCAGAUUGGGACGAGAGGGAACAAGUUAGGGUUCUCAGUUCUCACAGACAAUAAAACAAACACCUGGUCCGCGGUCUCAAAACCUCGAAAUUCAGAACCCAAAGAAUGUCAUCUAUAUACGUGUCGGAGCCUCCGACCAAAGGCAAAGUCUCACUCAAGACAACCUACGGUCCAUUGGACAUAGAGCUCUGGCCUAAAGAGGCUCCUAAAGCCGUACGCAACUUCGUCCAGUUAUGUCUUGAAGGCUAUUACGAUGAUACAAUUUUUCAUCGUAUUAUUAAGUCUUUUAUGGUCCAGGGCGGUGAUCCUACGGGCACUGGCAAAGGUAAUUUUGUUUGUAUACGUUUUAUUUGAAUUUUGUACGUGCUGGAAAUUAUUUAAUAUUGUUUAAUUUGAGUUAGGGUUUCUGUGUUUUUGUUUUCUUGAUAGAUAUGUAGUUUUUUUUUAUUAUGGUCUGGGUCGAAUCGGUAUGAGUACCUUCUAAUCAAAUAGGGCAUUUCAGAUAAAAAGAAGCUGGGAAGUGUGAGUAGGAGAUAUGCCCUAUGAUUUACGGGGAUGUAAAUCUUGAAUAAAUAAGGCCGGACUUGCUGGCUGUCGAUGAUUAAAUUUGUGGUUGGAUUGCUAAAUUUCUGCAAGUCUUUGUAGUUCAAUGACCUUGUAUGUUUGAGGACACUGCCCAUAGUGUCAAUCAAGUAUAGCUAUCCAUUAACAACUUUUACACAUUCAAACCACCUAUAUGUUGGUUUCUAAAGUAAUUACCGCACUUAUAUUGCACAAUCAUCAGUUCAUAAUUAGCCAUAUCAACUUUUACACAUUUAAAACUUAUUGUUGGCUUACGUUAGCUGCAGUAAUUUGUAGAGUGAGCUUCAGGAUUUAUUAUUCACAAUUAUUCUCUCGGUAGUUAUCAGACAGCCAUUAGGUCAUGGUAGAUCUCUACUCCCCCCUAGCUUGUUAUUCGAUUAUUAUGUAUACACUUUUGUGCCGCAAUGUUUGCUAGGUUUUUGUGUUUUCUAUUUAGUUUGUUUUUACUUCACUGACAUGGACCAUAAUGUAGUAGAAAUGGAGAAUAGUUAUUAUUUAAAUAUCAAUCUCCCCCUUGUGUCAUGAUGCUAUUGAUUUCAUAUUCACAGGUGGUGAAAGUAUAUAUGGAGGUACAUUUUCUGACGAGUUCCAUUCACGCCUCAGGUUCAAUCACAGGGGCUUGGUUGCAUGUGCGAAUGCUGGAUCACCAAAUUCAAAUGGUAGUCAGUUCUUCAUAACGUUGGAUCGUUGUGAUUGGCUUGAUCGUAAACAUACGAUUUUCGGAAAGGUAUGGCCAAUUAGAAUUCUGUUCAAUAUUGUUUUAACUUGUUUUUUUUUUAAUAUUUUAAGAAUCGAUGAUUUUUAGGUAACUGGAGAUUCAUUAUACAAUCUCUUAAACUUUUCUGAUGUUGAAACUGAUGCGGAUGAUCGACCAGUAGAUUCUCCCCCUAAACUGAUUUCAGUCGAGGUAUCUUAUUUUCUUUUCAUUUUGCCACUCAGUGUCAUUAUUUCCUUUGUAGCUACAAUAUUUAUAAUUUCUUUUAGAUAUUUGUUUUUUUGUUUUUAUAUGUUUUCCUAAUGCACAAACACAAACACAGAGGUAGUGAAUGUCAUUUACAUUUCGUUUAUAAUUGAAUCUUCUGUCGAUCCAGUCCACUACCUACAUUUCAUAUUGAACUUCCUAAUAGUAUUUGUGAAUUUUUCAAACUUUUUUUAUUUGUAUUACUGGUACAACUUAUACCUAAACUUUCCUGACUGUACCUUCAAAAUGGUUCAAAAACUAGAUAGUUACUUACAUAUUAGUCCAAAAAUAAGUUAAGGUUGGAGUCAUGUUUUCUUUAUUUCCCCUCUUCAUCUCUAUGUACCAGAUUCCCUUUCUGUGUGCAAAAAAGGAGAGAGAAACAUACAUGAAUUGAAAUGAUAGGGAAGAUAAAGCAUAGGAGAGAGAAAAACAAUAUAAUUUAGAAUUAACCUUAUAAACGUGGGAUUGUUUGUAUUGGAAGUAGCCACUUUGAAGACAAUAUAUGUUCCGAAAAGGGCAACUCUGCGAAAUCAUAUUUCUUUGACAGCAAAUAAAGUACAAUUAGUACUUUUUUUGGGGAGGUUGAAUAUUCACAAAAGAAACUGUUCUGGCACUGACAUUCUGUGUGAAGUAAAUAUUCUGCAGCUUUGAUAUACUUUAAAUAUAGAACUUGGGUAAAAGUGUUUAAAAAAGCUACGGAAUUUACUAAUCUCAAACAAGCGUUUUAACCAGAAUACAUGUUUAGUUAGAACUUAAAGUUGAAGAGAACUUGGUAUAACAUCAUAUAAUUCCAAAGUCUGAAAGUCAAAGGCGACCUUAUCUAAUAUAACACAAUAAUCAGAUCAGGAUAGCACAUAUAAAUACUUAAGAAAGAGACUAUAAAUGCAUUCGUGUUACAGGUGAUAUGGAACCCAUUUGAUGAUAUUGUUCCAAAGGCUGCCCCAGCUAAAGUUUUGGUCUCGUCAAAUGAUUCUAGCAACAGAGAUACAAAAAGGAAGGCUUCAAAGUAAGUUGUAUCCUUUUGUCUAUAGGUUUGACUACAACAAGAACUAUAUCAAACUUCAUACUUGUUUUUGUGUUGCACAUAAUAUACAGUUAUUGUUACACAGAAAGCUGAACCUGCUUUCAUUUGGAGAAGAAGCUGAAGAGGAGGAAAAAGAAUUGGCAGCGGUGAAGGUGAAAAUUAGAAGUAGUCAUGAUGUAUUAGAUGAUCCUCGUUUGCUGAAGGAAGACGGUUCAACUGGCAAAUUGGUACUGAUCAAUUUUUAUCACUACACUUCAGUAUUAUACCAAACCUCUAUGGUUGUGGCUUAGUAAAAUAAUCUGUUUCAAGAGGUAGCAUGUUGUUUUAAGAUAAGAUAUCAGAUUAUAAGUAGUCGCAACUGCAUUUUUGCAAUAUUUUUGACUUCUAGGUUUGGGAUGGGCAAUUGAACCUUGAACCUCAAAUAAUGAAAGUAGAUAAGGUUUGAAAGCAGUUUUAGUCUAUUUUGAAUGUUGAUCAGAGUGUUAAUAGGACUGGGCAGUAGUUGUAUAUAGCAGGCUUGCUUGUAAGAAGAAAUAGCCAUUUGUGAGCAAUAUCUUUUAAUAAUACAACUUUAGGAGACGUUUUCUGCAGUUUCUCUCCCCUUAUGUCCUUGUAAUCUUCCCUUGUUUUGCUGGUAAACUUCUUAAAUCAAAUUAAAAUAUAGGAGGAAAAUUAACUUGAUAUCACAUAUUUCUCUAUCUGUGUAGUGCUUAAAGUGAAAGUAAGCUUCCUUGUACAAACCAAUAAUAUUGAAAAGAUCUUCUCACUACAUUUCUGCUUACUGCUUACACAUUGCAACACAAGGCUUAUGAUGUGACCUUUUGAUGAGUACAUGUUAUAUUUCAUACAAUCAUACUGAACCUACUACAUAUAAUUGCUUUCUUUCUUGCAUUACUCAAAAUUGAUGUAUAACAAACAAGAUGCGUUAAUUUGAUUGAUGUAGAGUGAAUCAGAAGCCAAAGCUGUAAAAGAUGUGCAGUUAAGUGUGAGAGAAGCUUUAAGUUCAAAGAAGGAUGAAUCCUGGAAAGAGACGCACACUAAAUUUUCUGAGACUCUUGCUGAUAGCGAUGAUGACGAGGCCAACUUUGAUAACAGGAUGCGGUUGCAAAUACUUAAGAAAAGGAAGGAGCUUGGAGAUCAUUCAACUAAGCAAAAAUCACACAAUGGUAACAUAUGCACUAUCUGUAUUAAAUAUCCAAGUACUAGAGCAUUCAUAAUAGAUAAUAUAAAUAAUUGACUUGUACAUGAAGAUUUUACAAUGAACCUGAUUUUCUCUUUCUCCGCACGAAUAUAUAUUUCCGAACUGGUAAAACAACUUUGUUGACACACGUGCAUAGUACAUUGUAUGUGCAGACCUUUGCACCUUUUGUAAGAGUUGUUUGGAGUUAUAUAUGUUUGUGCACACAUAUCGUGGUAAUCGCUUAACAAAAAACUUCCCAUUUUACUUUAUAUCAGCUAAAACUAAUUAUAGAAAAUAAAUGAAUUAUUGGUUACAUUCUGUCCUGCUGAUAAUGACUCUAUAUGGUCAAAAUUGGUGACUUACCAUUAUAUAUUUUAGAUUACUGAUUAUAAUAGACUAUGACUGAAUUAAACCUCUCCCAGCACCUUGAGGUUUUAUGGUAGCUUGUAACUUAACAUGGAGAUCAUUUACGAGAGGUAUAUAGUUGGAACCCUCGUACCCGCGAUGUUCUUACAUUAUAGUUAAUUUGUAUGGACUCAAAGUAAAAAAAUUUCUCCAAAGAUGACCUUCUACUGAUCCAGUCUUCAAUCCAAAAUGGGUUUUCAAGUGAGGGGGAGUAUUGACUGUGAUAUUAUUAUCCAAUUAAGGCCUCUUAAGACCUUGAGGUUUUUCAACUAAGCUUGUGGGGCCAACAAUGGUUUUGUUCCUUGUUACAAUUUAUGCUUUUCUCCUACACUUUUCCCAUUAUUGAGGCUAUAUUUUGGACUUCGUGUUUUUAGUAGUUCAAUGAAGGUGGAAGGUAUAUGUUCAUGUAGCAUAGGCAUAUCAUUACUUAUAUAUUUUGCAAAACAAAAGUGAAUUACAGAAACCUAUAUUGAUGUCAUUUUUCAUUGUGGUCUUGUGUGCCAAUGCAAUUUUUUAAAAUAAAAAAUCAGGCAACUAAAAACUUGAAGAAAGCUAAUCGCUGAAAGAAAUAAUUAAUUCAAUCGAUUGGUUACUUUGUAAGUUCUUCACUUCCACUUGCACUAUAGUUGAAGAAAGUGAUCGUUACUUUUUUCUAUUCUGUAGUUCAUAUGAUUAUGUUAAGCACCGUAGCGCAUAUUUUAAUUGAAUUCUCAUCAUUUUCUUUCUUCAGAGAGUUCAACUCCAAGGAAUCGUGAACGCUCCUAUUCUCCACCCAGGUAAUAAUCUGAGUUUGAAUUCUUUUGUUUAAUACUUUUUUGUGCGAUGCUCAAACUCACAUUCUCAGACCAAACCCCUUCCUAGAACAGAAACAAUAGAACAAUGAACAAUAUAAAAAACCAACCCAGACUGCUGACAUAUUACUAAUUUAAUACAACUUCCGGUGACAAGAAAACAAAAACAAUAAUUCAGAUAGUUUACUGGACAUUUGAGAGGCCAAGCUCUUUACUUAGACAAUAGAAUUGAACUCACUAAUUCAAUAACGUAACUAUGAAAUGUUUUUACCCUCAUUAUCAGCUGUCCACCUGUGUUUCACGUGCCUCCUUUUCUGUGUUUAGUUGUAUUUCUUCUAGCAUUUUCCUUUCCUUCAUUCCCCUUUUUACCCUUCGGGGCACUUCUUUGAUUAGUGAGAAGUCAACAGGCUGUUUAGUCUAGGGUAUUACAGUUUGCUUGAAGAACAAUUUGCUGAUGAUAUGUGACUGUGUAGAUGGGUUUUUAGGGUUAUUGCUCAUAUCUUAGCUUCUUAAUAUAGUAUCUUGUAUAAAACAAUUUUAGUCGUAUUCACCAAUAAUACUAACAUAUGGGGAGAAUCAUUGUUUCUGGAACAUAACCAAGACGUGUUCAAUUGGAUUAUAAUUCAUGACUAUUAUGCAUGACUUUUAUGUAUAAGAAUUCUGGAGUUAUAAUUAUCCGUGCCUGUUUCAGUGAAUAGUUUAAGGACUAAAGAAUAUACCCUCCUAAUAAAUCUGCAUGAUUUCUCUUUUGUUUGCUUGUUGAAUCCAAUACGUUCACAUCUUAAUUUCUGAUUCCAACUAUUUGCAAAUUGUGCAAUAACAAAGCUUCAGGAAAAUUUGCAUGUUUAAUGUUAAAACUGAUGGUUUGCUGUCAUUCAUAUCAGGUCAAAUGCCAAAAAUUCCGAUGAUCAACCAAAAGUGGAGAAGUUGUCUUUGAAGAAGGGAAUAGGAUCUGAAGCCAGGGCCGAGCGUUUGGCCAAUGCUGAUGUGGACUUGCAACUGUUGGGAGAAGCUGAACGAGAUAGGCAGCUACAAAAGCAGAAGAGGCGCCGGCGUCAUGGGCACGAAGAUGAUGUAUGCCACAAAUUUAUAAUGUUCUUAUCAUUUGUCAUUUAUGACUUGCCCAUCCUCUUUUUUUGUGCUUUUAUUGCAAAUUCUUCUUUUGCCUUCAGCAAUUCUCUGAGGUAUUUAAAAUGAUUGCUCAUCAUUGACUUGCUGUCUUGAUAAAUACUGUUAACAGGCCUUAGAUUGCUACGUUUGCCACCAAUGCUUUUCUUGGUCACUCAUCAAUCAAGUUGCAUAUAACAUGUUUCAAAAAUUAGAGGGAGUUGGAACAACUGAUUGUUUUGAUAUUAUUGGCAGCAUAUCACCUUUUAAAUUAUAAAUAUUAUUCUUGAAAAAUUCAUGAGAAAGAAGUUUGUACCUAGUGCGCAAUGCUUUUGCAUGAGCAAGGUUUGAAAAUGUCUGAUGUUCCCAGCCUUGCCUUUAAUUCUAAUGAGGAGGCUGUUUCCGGUGUUCAAACCUGUGACCUUUUUUUUUUGCUAAAUAGAAUUUUUACAAAAAGGAAAAAGGAAAUACAGCAUUAGGGGCACACCCCGCACAAAAUGCAAGAACAGUCCCAAAUCCCAAUAGAGGGCUAAAAAACAGCAAGCUCCUAGCCGCUUCUAGCUACUAACAAAGCUUACAAUCAUCAAUAAACAGGACUAGGAAACAAAGGAAAUAACUCACAGGCAGAUUACAUGUGACUUUGUCGAUAGCAAGUAGACACAUUUAAAUUUAAUGAUAUUGGACAAAUAGAAACUAGUACAUUGGCCCAUGUUUCUAUUUUUCCCUUAGGGACGUUGGAUUAAAAUGAACACGACGCAGUGAUUAAGAAAAUAUUAAUGGCUACUUAAGUAUAGAGUGAGUGGAAAGUCGAGAGCUUUUGUCACUUUAAAUUUCUUGUUACUCAGUUGUACUAUUUCGUCUUUCUUUAUUUUUGUUUCAACUUUGAAUUCUUAUUGACAGGUGCUAGCAAAGCUUGAAAAGUUUAAGGCCACCAUGUCCUCCAAAUCUGUUGGAGCUGAUGGUGAAUCUGGAGGGCACAAGGAUGAGGACUUGUCUGACUGGACAAAAGUUAAGCUCAAGUUUGAACCUCAAUCUGGAAAGGUAAUUUUCCUUUCUCCUUUGUCGAGCAUCGCAUGAUGCAGUGAUAGCAUAACAAGAAAUUUUAAGAGAUCAUAAAGUAUGAAAAAUGGAGAAUGAUGAAUAAGACUCGCUCAAUUCCAAAGUGGGGGAUGCUCGGCGGUCUACAAAGGAAUGUACCAAUGUAAUUUAUGGGAUUGUGAGGCAGAUGAAGAUUAAAGGCUUGUGGGGCGACAAUUUGGACACCUAUCACCAAUUAUGUGAUAAAGUGGUUAUCCAUGGAAUUAGAAAGCGAGUGGUUACUGUAGAUAUUGUGAAUCCUUUUGAGGAAAAAGAAUCUUUUUCGAAGGGGAAAACAAUUGAUUGGAUGUAGGUACUCGACGUCAUGUUCCGGAAGAUAUUGGGUGGUGUUGGACUUCUGCUUUUAAGAGUAUGGCAGAACUUGUAUGAUAGGAUGAAUGAAUUUGCAAAUAAAGAUUUGUAUUAGAAGAUGACUGGGGAUGAAAUUGAUGCAACUUCUAUUUAACUUUUGGUAAUCAAGGAUCAUUUCUGCUCUUGAGAUUGGACGGGAUCAGUGACACUAUAUAAUCACUCUUGUUAUAUUGGUUGUCGAAACCUGAGAUGGUUUAUUGGUUGUCGAAAUCUGAGAUGGUGGAGGGGGAGAUUGUUCUAAAGAUUGAGGCUGACCUAAAAUUUUGUUAUGAACAAGCUCGCCAUGUUUUAAAGGAAUUAGGUAAAAAGUAUCAAGAUGACAAUCCAUGGAGUCAGUUUCUCUCAAGUAAUGAAUAUGGCAGAAAUGCCUUGCAACAGAUAAGAUGCAUUCGUCCCUCCAUUAACAUUACAGUGAAAAACCACAAGACAAUUCCAAAGAAUUAAAAUAUUUCGAGCAUAAAUAUAAAAUUGAAUCCACACGCAUGAUAGGUAUGUUAAGAUGGUGGUGUGUGAAUGCUUCUUUCCAUUUCUGGACUGUAGGUCACUGACUAUUCUCCUAAAUUCCAUUCACACACUACCAUCUCGACUUACCUAUUGUGCUUGGUUUCAGUUGCUCCUCAGGCCCCGAAAUAUUUUAAUUCCUUAGAUUUGUCUUGUGUUUUUUCACUGUAGUGUUGGACGGACUGAAUGUAUCUUAUUUAAUAGAAGGAACUUCUUCCAUAACCAUUACUUUGAAGAAAAUGACUUAAUGGGUUGUCCUUUUGUAUAACAUCAAACCAUCUAAACUACUCUUGAUGCUUUUUAUCUACUUCCUUUAAAAUAUGACGACGUUGAUAAAGUUCAUGAUCAGUUUCAAUCUCCGGAGUAAUCACCUCUUCACCAUCUCAGAUUUUAACAACCAAUAUAACAUAGACCAAAGGUGGUUAUAUAGUGCCACUAUUCACGUCCAAUCCCAAUAGAAAAAAUGUUUCUUGAUUAUUAUAAGUUUGACAUAAAUUGCAUCAAUUUUAUUCCUGGUCAUCUUCCUGAACGAAUCUUCAUUUGCGAAUUCAUUCAUCAUUUCUUACAAGCUCUUCCAUACUCUUGGAAGGGGAAGUUCAACAUCUCCCAAUAUCUUCUGGAACAUGAUGUACAUUUACCUGCUGAUCAUAUCAUUAUCAACUGUUUUCUCAUUCGAAUCAUAUUCUUUUUUAUCAAGGGAAUUCACAAGAUCCACAAUGACCACUUCCUUUCUAGUUCCAUAGACAAUUAUUCUGUGAAAUGAUAGGUGAUAGCUGUCCAGAACGUGGGGAUGCCCAUGCACAAGCCCUUUGAUUUUCAUGUCAAAUACUACCUUCACAAUCCUAUGAACUAAAUUGGUAUAUUCCUUUGUAUUCCGCUGAGCAUCCCACUUUGGAAUUGAAGAAGUCUUAUUCAUCGCUCUCCAUUUUGUCUCAUUCCAUCCCAGUUUGGAAUUGGAGAGGUCUUACUUAUCGCAUGUCAAGUUUUGUAGAAGAUCAUUUGAUUAGUGUUAUCUUAAAUAUUAGAUUGUGAUAGACACUAUUGCAACAGGAUAAUAUGACUCGCAGUGAGAAUGUGAACGACUAUGUAGUUCAUGACCCUCUUCUUGAGAAGGGAAAGGAGAAGUUCAACAAAAUGCAAGCAAAGCAAAAGCGACGAGAACGAGAAUGGGCUGGCAAGUCGCUUACAUAGUCCAGACUUGGUCCUCUCUAUUUGAAGUUAUGCUGGAUUUGGCAAGGUCACUCAUAUAGAACUUAAAUCUCAGCUAAUUCUGCAGAGUAUUUAAAUCUAUUGAUCUGUAUAGCUGUUGGCUUGAACUGCAUAAUGGGACAUCAAUCUGUUGGUUGUGCAAAUCCUUCCAAGCUGCAAAAGCAUCAUCAUUACCUUAUUCUGGAAUCCCACCCUCUUUUGUGACUUUACUGCAUAGCGGCCAGUCGGCCACCAUUGAGUGAUCUUGUAUAAUAGGAUCAUAGUACAUUUUGAUCCAUGUCAAUUGUAAAAUAUUAGAAGACAGCUGCAAUAGCAGCAAAUAUUCUCCGUUACAAUCAAUUUAGCUCCUUAUAAGUAAUCAGCAACUGAUGACGUGACUAUAAUGUGUUGAUGUUGUUUCUCUAUAUAACAAAGGUCAUAUUUGUUUUUAGGAAGAUUGUUUAGCUUGUUUACGAUGAUGCAAGUGAUUAUAAUCUCCCCGAUUCAUUUUCGCAAGAUUACAUUAUUUGUAAAAUUAUUAUAAUCUCAUGAAAGUGAAUAAGUUAAUUACAAUAUAAUUUACCGAGAUUAUAGUUCUUUUGAAUUUCAGGUAGAAUAAUAUGAUGGUUUGGAAUUAUAAUCUCAUAAACAAAUAGGUGAGGCAUAAAUUGUAUGUACUCAUAUUAUUGUAUUCCAGUAAAAAAAAGUAAAUGUAAAUUUGUAGUGUUAUAAAUACAUUGUGCAAUAGGAGGUUUAUUACUUUAUUUUGCUCAUUGUGGUGGUAAUAGGAUUAGAGUCUGUAAAUUGUGUUAGCGAGUUGCACCAUUAAUUUUAAGUAUAGUAACUUUGCAUGCUCUUAGGGUGAAAUUCACAUCUAAAAUUAUCUUCUGAAAACCGUAACAAAAAUUAAAUACUUCUCAAACAUGAUUCAACUGUGGUUUGUUGCAGGCUGUGAAUCAGAUUUCACACAGACUGGUACCAUGAAAUUGAGUUAUAAAGGGGUGUCGCAGAAGUCUAUCGCCAGUCCAUCUAUCAUUCUUAUUCAUCGUCAUACACCUCCUCAAGAAAUCCUUUGCCUCUCUGGACAGAAACUCCGGUAAUAUCUCCAGCCACUUGUCCACACUCUCCUUGCACAUUAUCAGCAACAUAACAUCUAGUUGAACAUUACUACACCACAAGGACUUGCCAACAAGCAUCUCCGCCACCACGGACCCAAGAGCCCAUAUAUCCACUCCCACAAUGCCUACCUCACCUGCAUUAUCACAACUCGUGCUUUUAGCCAAUCCAAAAUCCGCUAUCUUGAGAGAAUACUCAUCUUCCCCGUCCUCUUGUUUUGUCACAAAAACAAGAAUAUUAUCCGGCUUUAUAUCACCAUGAACAUAACCCUUGUGAUGCACAUGACAGAGGCCUUUGAGCAACAUAUAAGUAAACUUGCUCACUUCAAAUUCUUGCAUCCGAUCACCCGAAACCUCCAUAAGUUGCUCCAAAGUGCCUCCAUUGGCAUACUCAAGUAACAGAUUGUAGACCAGCUUACCGUUUUCAACACUAAAAGCGCAACCAAAACACUGGACAAUCUGGGGACAGCCUUUAAGAUCAUCUAGUAUAGUCUUCUCAAGUUGAAGAGUCGAUGAACUAUUGGCGUCUGCUAAUUUCAAGGCCACGUAUGAUGGAAUAGAGGACGACGAAUGUGACACUAUUUUUGCCAAGUAAACGGAUCCCCAUAACCCUUCUCCCAGAAACCUGAGUUUUUCCCACUCCAAGAUCGAAGCCUUAUUCAUGAUCAUAUUCUUCUUCUUCUUUAAUCUCUCGAGUUCUUGUUAUAAGACAACAGAAAUUGAUUUCUACGUUCGGGAUUUAGGUACUGGAACGUAUGUAUUAUAGACCUAAAGUAAGGGAAUCCAAAUACAGUUAGGACUUGUAUCUUCUUUUUCUAAUCGAAUUAUAAGAAUAUUUUCAAAGAACGAGCGUAUAUCUGCCUAAUGCCUAUAUCGAAACCUAUAUAUUCUCGUAUGUAUUCGAAUUAUUAAAUUUCCUACCCGAGUUGCUAAUCAUCGAACCGCCACUUCUAGCCUUGCUGGAAUAGGACUGUUUAAACUCAACUGUGAAUUAGGACUCGGAACCUUGCGAUUUGUUUUAAACAAGUCCUAUGUUCUUUAUGAUUUUAGUAUUUUGCCUAUAAAUAGAGCUUAUGCUGUUUGGUUUUUAUGCAUAAAAGAACCUGCUUAAUUAUACCUCACUUUAUUGAAAUUAUUAUAUUCUCGUUCCAAACCCCUCGUGUUUAUUUAACCUAGCUACAUAUAUCACCAAUGUCGUUGCCGGUCGAUAUCUUGCUAGAAAUUCUUUACAGGCUGCCAGUUGCAUCUCUUGUUCGAUUUAGGUGUGUUUGUAAAACAUGGUAUCAUAUCAUGGCCACUCCUUGGUUCGCUAAAUCUCAUCUCGCAUGUCAACAAGCUUCCUCAUCCUCAAAUAAGUAUAUCCUAUAUCAUGAUGACAAUUUGUGCACUUUAUUCACCAAUAGUGACCCCCUCUUUGAUAGUACUAAACAUUCUAAACUAUUCUACACGCCUGAAUUAUUCGGGAUUGAUUUCACUUGUAACAACCGGGAUUUAGAGAUUUACGGAGCUUGUCAUGGGCUAGUAUGUGUGUCGCGUGCGUGCUAUCAUAUUGGCAAUAACAUACAUCUGUGGAAUCCGAUUUGCAGAAAAGUCAAAAAGCUUCCGCAAAUCGAAACCCCAAUCAAGGAUGAGUUCGGUCUUGAAAUCCCAAUCAAGGAUGAGUUCGGUCAUGAACCGUCUGCUGGAAUGACCUUCGGAUAUUACUGUGACGACUAUAAGGUGAUAGUCAUUGUUUAUGUUAAAAGUACCUUCAUUGUUUUUGUUUACAGCUUGAGUACUAAUAGCUGGAACACCAUUCAAACAAUAAAUUUCUAUAUUGACAUAAAAUCUAUUGAUUAUUUUGUCUGCACUACCAAGUUUGUAGAUGGCACUGCAUAUAUGUUGACAUCCAUCGAACUAGUCGUUUGUUAUGAAUUGAACAAUAAGACCUUCCGAGUGAUCAAGCUUCCUGAAGAUAAUGAUAUUGCUACUAUGGAAGCAUAUGGAGAAACUAUAGCUCUCCUGGAAACAGACCAGAAUUAUCUAACCAUGUGGAUAUUAAGAGACAAGUCGUCCUCGUCGCCCUGGGAAAGGAAGUUCAGCAUUGCAGUGCCUGAAGUUAGUAGCCUUCGAGUUACUACUAGCUUUCAGGCUGUCGGAUUCUUGCCUAAUGGUAAAUAUUUGUUGAGGAAUUUUGAAUUGGAAGGGGAUUCAUGUGUAACCAAGUUGUCUUUGUGUGACACGGAGAUUCCAAAUUUAACAGAAUUUAGAUCAUUUACAGAAUUAAGAUCUCGUUUUAGACUUCCACCAAAAUAUCCAACCCUGCAUGGCCGCAUAGACUCUAACUUCGUGGAAAGCCUUCUUCUAUUUAAUGAAGAUAACCUGCAUCCUUUUUCUCUGACGGAGAUGGAUUCUACCUGCAGUUCUACCUUGUUUACGUUGCAGUGGAGCCCAACCCAAUAAGUUUUUAAUGCAUUGCAGCAUGGUGGAAGGAAAGAGCUUAGAAGAAAAUUUGAUAAGUACUCCGUCUGUUCUACUCAUUUCUAUACAAUAUUUUUCAUUGUGAGAGUUAUAUAUAUAAUAUAGUUUUAUAACUGUUUUCUGAAUUAAACAAUGAGAAAAAAUGAAGUUAAAAGGAAAAUGUGUUUUAUCCUUCUUAAAACGGUUUUUCUAUAAUAUAUUUGCAGGCCUGUAAGUUCUGGAAUGCGAAUUGGUGCCCGAAGUUUGUUGUUAUUAUUGUAUAGAAAAAUCACCAUACAAGGUUUAUUAUGAGUAUUGAAUUGGUGCCCGAAAUUUGUUGUCAUUAUUGUACAGAAAAAUCAUCAUACAAGAUUUAUUAUGAGUAUUUUUACUUGUUAGUUAAAUGUCUGAUAUGUUUUAUGCCAUUAUUGCAUCGAUUUCCUUGUCUCUUGAUAUAAUUUGUCGUUUCCUCAUGCUGUCUAUACCGACUUGCUCUCUGUACUACUCCCUCUCUCCCUCUCAUUUCUUUACCGUUACUAUUUUGGGAUGUCCCUCUCAUUUCUUUACGUUACUAUAAAUAGUAAUUCCGUCAGAUGCAUGAGUAUAUCUAAUUCCCUUUAUUAUACUUACUCCAUACCUUAUGGCCAAAUGAUAUGGAAAUGAAACAGAAGCCUGGAUUUAUUGGUUGCAGUUUGCUUAGGAGUUAGGAUGAACAUGUUUAAAAGUGUUUUUGUAAAUUGCUGCGUCAAGUUCAAGCUGUUUAUUGUUUACCAUCUUCUGUUGUUAUUUGAAUGCAUAUGCUUUAGUAUAUUUUUUCUUGCAAAUAUGUAAAUACUUCAUUGUGGAGAUGCCACUUAACUUGUUACAACUGCUGCUGUGCACAUAGUAUACCCCAGCUAAGUAAAGACUACAAAUGACUAGCUGAUCUCUCUUGUUUCUGCAUCUCUGCCCGGAAUCUAACAAUAAAUUCCUCAGCCCUUUCAUUAAUUCCAUACAUUUGUGGCGAUCCUAAGACCAAUGACUCCCACAUAUCAUCCGCACUUGUAUGCUUCUUCCUUUCUUUCACAUCGUCUUCCCUGCUGCUUCUUAUCGACUCUGCACUAACUUGUUGGUCAAUGAGUUUAGUCUUCUCUGUAUGUGGCAAACACUUCUUGAUCUGGUUGUUUGAUGCUGCUGUACUCGAUUCAUCUUUAUUUACAAAGAGCUGGUCUAUAUACACCGGAGGUGGAAUUCUUUUCUGAGCCCUGUAACGGCCGUGAGAGAUGAAUUUGCAGACUCUGCUAGUCCCUCGUCCCUGUUGGCGAUAAGAUGGAAAGGAUGACAAGGCUGCCCAGAAAGAUGGUUUUGCUGUAGCUUUGAGCCGAUUCUUCGUCUUUGGCUUCUUUAUGGCCUUGGUUAGUUGGAGCUUGUAGAGGUUGGUUUUUAUUUUUCGGGUGAAAACUCUCCAAGACUUCCUAGCCGAUGGAAGCCUCCUACCAUUGAAACAAGACAUGGGGGAUAAAUGUUGUUUGUGCAGGUUUUGUGAAGAGUACUUGAGAUGUCCUUAUAUAGACAGCCAUUGUGUGUCACUUGAGCAAUUUUUUACCAUACUACUUAGUUCUUACGCUACUUCUUAACACAAAGCAUAGUCAGUAGAGUACUUGUUAAGUACGAAAAGUAGUCAAUUUUCGUUCACUAGAAAUGAAUAAAUACUAAAGUAUUGUAUUAGAGAUGUAGACAUAAUUUCCUUUUGAUAUCUAUCUACCCCAACUUGUAAAAUAUUCCAAAGUAGCUUGAAGCUUAAGCACAAAGCAAGAUCAAAACUCUAAACAUUCGCUUGUCUUGCAAAGAACUUUUACCAAAGAUGGCUGCUCCAACAAUUCCUACAUAAUCUUAAAAGGGAGCUACUUGAUCCUUAUACGAAAUUCUGAAGGUGCAUGCAAAAACAGCUGGAUGCUUACUAAUAGUAAUACUUAAUCAUAAGCUAGUAACAGUUGUUCAGUGAAUAUGAAGAUGAAUCGCAAAAAAUAACCCACAUAAGAUCAGCUAAUCAUGUACUUUACAAUUGAUUUUAUGAGAUUAAAUGCUAAUUUAUGAAAUGCCAAUAUUAUAACUAUAAAUCUUUACAAGAGCCGCAAAAUAAUUACUACCAGAUCAGAGCAUCUCCAAUAACCUCUUAACUAAGCUCUUAAGACCAAAAAUAAGGAGCAUGAGAAAAAAUAGAGCUCUUGUGGCUCCUAAAAAUACUAAGAGUCUCUUCUCUCUCCUCUCUUUUUUCCUCUCUUUUAAGAACAUCUACAUGACUCUUGUUUUUUAUACUAGAAUACAAUAUUCACUCUCACCCAUCUGAAUUUGAAUUUUUGUCAUAGUGGAGUUCAAAUAAUAAUAAAAUAUAAUGUUAAGAGUGAAUAUAAAGAGCAUCGUUGAAGUUUAUACUCUUAAUACUGUACUAAAUUACUACGAGCUUAAUAUUUUAUAUUAUAUUUAGGAGCCAACUAGGAGACUAUGCCAUACAAAAAAAAAAAAAAAAAAAAAAAAAAAAAAAAAAAAAAAAAAAAAAAAAAAAAAAAAAAAAAAAAAAAAAAAAAAAAAAAAAAAAAAAAAAAAAAAAAAAAAAAAAAAAAAAAAAAAAAAAAAAAAAAAAAAAAAAAAAAAAAAAAAAAAAAAAAAAAAAAAAAAAAAAACUAA
rnacentral:lncRNA from 1 species